rnacentral:lncRNA from 1 species
UACAAAGCCAGUAAUAGUUUACGUAUAGGAAGCACUUCUAUAUGGAGAAGCAACUCUGCCACUUUGGGUGCAUUUUCAAUGUCUUCAAGAGGGGAAGAAGAUGACGAGGAAGCUCUAAAAUGGGCUGCUCUUGAGAAAUUGCCUACCUAUAAUCGUUUGAAGAAAGGGAUAUUAACCAGUUCAAGAGGUGAAGCUAAUGAAGUCGAUGUAUGCAAUCUUGGACCGCAAGAAAGGCAGCGGAUAAUUGAUAAGUUGGUCAAAGUUGCUGAUGUUGAUAAUGAAGAGUUCUUGUUGAAGCUCAAGAACCGCAUUGAUAGGUAACAUUUCUCUUUAUGCAUCAACGCAUGAUGCAUCUGCAUGUGUGCUUUGAUUUAACAUAUAUAUGAUUUUUUUUUUAAUGUUCCUUUUUUUUUUUUAUCAUAUAUAUGAUUUUUUUUUUAAUGUUCCAACGCAUGAUGCAUCUGCAUGUGUGCUUUGAUUUAACAUAUAUAUGAUUUUUUUUUUAAUGUUCCUUUUUUUUUUUUAUUCUCCUCUUGGAUUUUGUUAGAGUUGGAAUUAGCCUACCCACAAUUGAAGUUCGAUUUGAGCAUUUGAAUGUUGAAGCAGAAGCAUAUGUAGGAAGUAGAGCCUUGCCAACAUUCUUUAACUUCUGUGCCAAUAUAAUUGAGGUACGCACCAGAAAAACUGAAUAAAUUUUGCGUAGAAAUAGUUAUCUUUUGUUAAUAUUCCUUCUCGAGUUCUAACAAUCUGUAUAUGUUUGAAGGGUUUCUUGAACUCUGUUAACAUCCUCCCAAGUAGAAAGAAACAUUUAGCAAUUCUCAAGGAUGUCAGUGGAAUUAUAAGGCCAGGCAGGUAAGAAUUUAGAACUGAAAUAGUGUUGUUAUUUAUUUGUUUAUCCUUCAUAGCAAGUUUGGAAAAUUUGGGCAGUCUUCAAUUUCUUAUCUUAUUCUUUUUUUCUGUUACAGAAUGACAUUACUUUUGGGUCCUCCAGCUUCUGGAAAGACCACACUUCUGUUGGCUUUGGCUGGGAAGCUUGAUUCUAGUCUCAGGGUGAUUAUAUAGAUGAAAUCUCUAUAUUAGCAUCAAGCAUUAGUAGUUCACACUUUGAUUUUAUCUCUAAUUGGAGAAUCAAAACCUCUUCUUGUAGGUUUCUGGCAGGGUGACAUACAACGGGCACGACAUGGAUGAAUUUGUGCCUCAGAGAACAGCUGCUUAUAUCAGUCAACACGAUAAUCAUAUCGGUGAAAUGACUGUGAGGGAAACCUUGGCCUUCUCUGCUAGAUGCCAGGGGGUUGGAUCCCGUCAUGGUACGUUUGAUUUUUCUAUGUUGUUUUCCCUUCAACUGUAAAACUCAUUGAUUUUUGGGAAAUGCAGAAAUGUUAUCGGAGUUGUCCAGGAGAGAGAAGGCAGCAGGUAUUAAGCCUGAUCCUGAUAUUGAUGUUUUCAUGAAGGUAAGAGAAGCUGAAUGUUGUUUAAAGAUGUGUAGCAUAUAACAAACUUCACUCCAAUCCCAGUUUGAUCGAGCUUCUUAUAUGUCAUUGUCAAUUCUCAUGCCAUAGGCAGCAGCAACAGAAGGCCAAGAAGCCAGCGUGGUCACUGAUUAUAUUCUGAAGGUAACAUCAUUAUGAACCGCUCUAUACUUAUGUUUUACUGUAAAAAACAAGUAAUGUAGUUUCACUAUUUUGAUCAAAUUUCAUCAUAAAUUUACAGAUUCUAGGCCUGGAUGUCUGUGCCGAUACCAUGGUAGGCGAUGAGAUGUUAAGAGGCAUAUCAGGAGGACAAAAGAAGCGUGUUACAACGGGUAAAUGCCGAAACUCAUCUGUUUAUAUUAAUUCCACAGAAAGAUUAAUUCAAGCUUACGGUAAUUUUUAAUGGUUGAAUUAUAGGUGAAAUGAUGGUUGGACCAGCACAAGCACUGUUCAUGGAUGAGAUAUCUACUGGUUUGGACAGCUCUACAACUUUCCAAAUUGUGAAUUCUCUUAGGCAAUCCAUUCACAUCCUUAAGGGAACCACUCUGAUAUCUCUCCUACAGCCAGCACCAGAAACUUAUGAUCUAUUUGAUGACAUUAUCCUAAUAUCUGAUGGCCAGAUUGUGUAUCAGGGUCCCCGUGAACAUGUACUAGAGUUUUUUAAAUUCAUGGGCUUUGAAUGUCCGAAAAGAAAAGGCGUUGCUGAUUUCUUGCAAGAAGUAUGUUCUUGUAGAGCUCUUUUCUCUAGUUUUUCAAUAACAUAAAAAAGAGAGUUUUGACUUUAAGAGGAGCUUUUUCUCUAAGUUUUAUCAAUAAGAACCACAACAUGGAAGUAAGAUGAGAAACUUCAAAUUGAAUCUCCAUGAAUAAUGAAUAUGUUGCAGGUAACAUCAAGGAAAGAUCAGGAGCAGUAUUGGGUGCAUAAAGAGGAACCUUACAGGUUUGUCACAGUCAAGGAAUUCGCUGAUGCAUUCCAAGUCUUCUACAUGGGACAGAAAGUUGGUGAUGAGCUUCGUAUUCCAUUUGAUAAAAGGAAGAGCCACCGAGCUGCUUUGACGACCAAAAUCUAUGGCGUUAGCAAAAAGGAGUUGUUGAAAGCUUGCAUGUCUAGAGAACUUUUGCUGAUGAAGAGGAACUCAUUUGUUUAUAUCUUCAAGCUGUGCCAAGUAAUGACUUUACCUUGAAAUUACUUUAAUCUUUUCUUAGAAGUGAUAAUGAUAUAUUGAUAUUUCCCUGGUUCUAGCUUACAAUUAUGGGAUUGGUUGCUAUGACACUAUUCUUCAGAACGAAGAUGCACCGAGAUUCAAUAACUGAUGGAGUGAUUUACACUGGUGCCUUGUUCUUCAUUGUUCUUAUGAUCAUGUUCAAUGGAAUGGCAGAGAUUCCUAUGACCAUUGCAAAGCUUCCCAUUUUUUAUAAGCAAAGAGACCUCCGAUUCUAUCCUUCAUGGGCAUAUGCUCUUUCCACAUGGAUCCUCAAGAUCCCUAUCUCAUAUAUAGAGGUUGCUGUUUGGGUUUUCUUAACAUAUUAUGUAAUUGGUUUUGAUCCCAAUGUCGGAAGGUACGAAGAUAGCAAUAAAGUGCCAAACAUUAACAGGAACCAUUAAUUCGACAAUUUCACAAGUUGAUUAUUCUUGCUGCAGGUUGUUUAGGCAGUAUUUGCUGCUCUUGUUUCUUAACCAGAUGGCUUCUGCAUUGUUCCGGUUAAUUGCAGCAACAGGCAGGAACAUAGUUGUUGCUAAUACAUUUGGUUCAUUUGCAUUGCUCCUGCUUUUUGUACUAGGUGGAUUUGUCCUUUCACGAGGUAUACAAAGUAAAAAAAAAAAUUCAAAUAUGAUCUUUUUUCUUGAAGUUUAAAUUAAAUUCUUAUAUUUCUUGUUUAAUAAUGCAGAGGACAUAAAAAAAUGGUGGAUAUGGGCUUACUGGUGUUCACCUUUGAUGUAUGCACAGAAUGCAAUAGUGGUUAAUGAGUUCCUUGGUAAUAGUUGGAGAAAGGUAAUGCCUUUAAUAGGCCUUGUGUUAAUGUAUUUAUAUCCGAAUAACAUGCUGAUAUCUGGACUUCUUUGACAUGAAGGUUUUGCCAAACACAACCGAACCACUGGGAGUUCAAGUUUUGAAAUCUCGUGGGUUCUUCACAGAUGCUUAUUGGUAUUGGCUAGGAUUGGGGGCUCUGGCUGGUUUUAUACUGCUGUUCAACUUUGGUUUCACUCUGGCUCUAAGUUUCCUCAACCGUCUGUAUCCUUAUCAUCUUCAGCUUAGUUUUCCUAAAGUGGGCAAUUCUGAUAUAAUUUUUGCGUAUAUAUGUGCAGCAUUUGGCAAGAAUCAGGCAGUUAUAUCAGAGGAAUCUCAAAGUAAUGAGCAUGAUAACAGAACUGGAGGAACCAUUCAGUUAUCAACCAGUGGUAGGUCUAGUGACAAAAGUCACCCAAGUGAAAGCUCGUUUGAAAGCUUUUUGUAUGUUUUGAUAUAAACUAAUUUCUGUUGACAUGCAGAGAUUGGUCAUGACAUUAUGGGCACAUAUUCCUCAUCACUGAUAGAAGCAGAAGUCAAGGCCAAUCAUCACAAGAAAAGAGGAAUGGUUCUUCCUUUUAAACCCCAUUCCAUCACCUUUGAUGAAAUUACAUACUCAGUUGACAUGCCACAGGUAACAAUAAUUUUCAAACCUUAGCUGUGCAUGCAUUUAAAAAGUUGAAUGACAUCUUCAUUGUAUAAAACGUAGUCCUCAAAUUAGAAUCAACCUGUUUGAUUUUAACGUUGCAGGAAAUGAUGCGUCCAGGUGUUCUUGAAGACAAAUUGGUGCUUCUGAAUGGUGUGAGUGGUGCUUUCAGGCCGGGUGUUCUUACAGCUCUGAUGGGUGUUAGUGGUGCUGGCAAAACCACUUUGAUGGAUGUGUUGGCUGGUAGGAAAACAGGUGGAUAUAUUAGUGGGAGCAUCAUGAUAUCUGGGUACCCAAAGAAGCAAGAAACAUUCGCUCGCAUUUCAGGAUACUGUGAGCAAAAUGACAUCCACUCUCCUAAUGUUACUGUCUAUGAGUCCUUGCUCUACUCGGCCUGGCUCCGUUUACCCCUUGAAGUUGAUUCUCCAACCCAAAAGGUUGGUGCUGAAAUCCGAAGUGAAUCAGUUUUAUUUUCACUACUACUACGGCCACUGAAAUCUGAAAAGUUUAGAUGUAUCCUUGACCAUAUUUUUCACAAUGGUUUGCAGAUGUUUAUUGAGGAAGUCAUGGAGCUUGUGGAAUUGAAACCAUUGAGGCAAGCACUGGUUGGUUUGCCUGGUGUAAGUGGUUUGUCAACAGAACAGCGCAAGAGGCUUACCAUUGCAGUUGAGCUCGUGGCAAACCCCUCCAUCAUCUUUAUGGAUGAGCCAACUUCAGGUCUAGAUGCAAGAGCUGCUGCGAUUGUUAUGAGAACUGUUAGGAACACAGUGGACACAGGAAGAACAGUAGUGUGCACCAUCCAUCAGCCAAGCAUUGACAUAGUUGAAGCUUUUGACGAGGUGAGAAGAGUCAGUAGUUGAUCAAUAGAGUUAAUGUUUUUCUCUUCUGGUGAUGUAAUUAUGAUUGUUUAACUUGGCAUUGCAGCUGUUCCUGCUGAAGCGUGGAGGCCAAGAAAUAUAUGUUGGGUCACUGGGUCGCCAUUCUAGUCAUCUUAUCAAGUAUUUCGAAGUAUGAAACAUUUUCAUUUUACAGACAAUGGAAACUUAAUUUCAAAUUACAUUAUGAAGAGAAUUACUUCAAAUAAAUUAUGAAGCUAGCUAAUGCAAGUGGAUUUCUUUUUAUGAAGGGAAUUCGAGGAGUUAGUAAAAUCAAAGAUGGUUAUAAUCCAGCAACUUGGAUGUUGGAAGUUACUGCUCCAUCCCAAGAAACAGCUUUGGGGAUUGAUUUUGCUGAUAUUUACAAAAGUUCAGAACUCUACAGGUUGGUUCAGAACUCGACAGCUAGAAUCCAUCCAACGAAAUGCUAGUGUGUUUGUUUUUUGCCAAAAUUUCUGAUGCAUGUCUUAUGCUUCAGGAGAAACAAAGCACUGAUCAAAGAUAUAAGCAAGCCUGCUCCUGGUUCAAAGGAUCUCCAUUUCGCUACUCAGUACGCACAGUCAUUUUUCACCCAAUGUAUGGCUUGCUUAUGGAAGCAACAUUGGUCGUACUGGCGUAAUCCACCAUACAGUGCUGUUAGAUUUCUGUUUACGACCAUCAUAGCCUUGGCAUUUGGGACAAUGUUCUGGGACAUGGGUACCAAAACGUGAGUUAAAAUUUGCAAAUUGAAGCAGUAUAGUUAAUUGCCAUUCCUAGCCUUUUAGUUUAUCUACCUCUUAAUCUUAAAUUUUGACAUUUCAACUUACAGGAAAAAGCAACAAGAUCUGUUUAAUGCAAUGGGUUCCAUGUAUACUGCUGUUCUCUUCCUUGGUGUCCAAAAUGCUGCAUCUGUGCAGCCAGUAGUUUCUAUUGAAAGAACAGUCUUUUACCGAGAAAGAGCAGCUGGGAUGUACUCAGCCUUGCCAUAUGCUUUUGCACAAGUAAUUUGUCUGACAAAUGACAUACUUGAAAUAAUUUUUAGAAUUCUUUGUCUUUUUACUGAACUUUUUUAUAUUUUGUGCAGGCACUUAUUGAGAUUCCUUAUAUAUUUGUUCAAUCUGUCACAUAUGGUGUUAUAGUCUAUGCAAUGAUUGGAUUUGAAUGGACUGCCGCAAAGUUCCUCUGGUAUCAAUUCUUCAUGUUCUUCACUUUAUUGUACUUCACCUACUAUGGCAUGAUGGCUGUAGCCAUGACACCAAACCACCACAUUUCUGGCAUCGUAGCGUUUGCAUUCUAUGGCUUAUGGAAUGUCUUUUCUGGGUUCAUAAUCCCAAGAACAGUAAGUAUCAGCUAGUCAUCACUAAUAAAUAAAGAUGCUACAUUACCACAGCUUAUGCAAUCUUGAAUGCCUAAUUCUUUCCUUUCAUCUUUCAACUUGCUCCGUAACAGAGGAUUCCGAUAUGGUGGAGAUGGUACUACUGGGCAUGUCCAGUUUCUUGGACACUCUACGGCUUGGUGGCUUCCCAAUUUGGAGAUAUACAAGACAGGCUCGAGUCUGGCGAAACAGUGGAACAAUUUUUGAGAAGUUUUUUUGGUUUUAAACAUGAUUUUCUGGGAGUUGUUGCAGCUGUUGUUUUUGCAUUCCCAGUGCUCUUUGCACUCAUCUUUGCCGUAGGCAUUAAGGUAUUUAAUUUCCAGAAACGAUAGAAAUUUUGUUAAAUUUACACCAUUUUGACAUAUUUAGUGCACGCAUGUAAUAUAUAUAUAUUUUUUAAGAGAAUUCAAAUUUUGUAAGACAUAUUGAGCCCUUAUUCGUGUGUUAAUUAACUGAAGUAACUUGAACUCCAAAUUUAUUUAAUGUGAAGCCAAAAGAGGUGCUUAAUUUAUCAACGUACCUCUUUGGGCCGGCUCUGUAAUUGAAAUUAAAAAGGGUGGUUUGUAAGGCAAUCAUAUCAAAUUUCUUGAUAUUUUAAUAAAAUUCAAAGACGGUUCACUGUAAUAUCUUGUCCCCUCUAGGUUUCAAAAACUUUUAAAAUGAAAAAAAAAAUAAAUGUAAAAUUAUUGUUGAACUAAUUAUAAGAUAUGCAUAAGCUCAAUAUAGAUUGUGGCUUAAAACACAAUUUGUUACCAUUAUUUCAAAAAGCUUGUUGCAGCAUUUAAAAAUUAUUUAGAUAAAUGAAUAUUUUAGUUAAAAUCGAUAAAUGAGUAAUUGUUACCUUGUCUUUAUUUGCGUGAAGUAGAGACCACGAUAAUUUUUGGGAGAGAGGAGAAUUGUACGCCACCAUAAAAGGGUUUUGCUAAACAAAGGAAUAGUAAAAUUAUGAAGAGAUGUGAAUCCAUCAAAUUCUAAUGAAAACGAACUGAAAUUUUUGUGUUUGUGUCUAUCUCUGAGGAUGUAUUGAGAAGUAAUGGAUGGAAAUUAACUCAUAUGAAAAAGGCUGAUUUGUCUGAAGUGGGUGCCUAAAUAUGCAAAAUACAAACGACGUCGUUCGUUUGGUUUUGGUUAUUCAGGCACCCAAUCUCAAGUUGUGAUUAAAACAAAGCAUUACAGAGAAGCACACAGACGCAAUCUCAACAGACAAAAUGCAGCCCAUUAAUGGCAUGAAUUUCAAACAAGUUGCUGCUCUUCUUCAUUAGCAUCAGUUUUUCAUCCAAACGCCACCUCAUUACCAGCAGAGUUAUGAGCAUAGACUCUAACAAAGCUCCUAUCCAAACCCCAGCUCACUAUAAUCUUGUACUCCCCCGCUUUCAAAGGCAAAAAUGGAAAAUGCAACAAAAUAAUGUAACUUGCAUGUUGAGUUAAUUAUUGAAUAAGAUAAUAAACCUUGUGCCUUAAAACACAAUAUGCUACCAUUGUUAUUUAUAGAAUAAUGUUUUCUUAAAGAAAGGUAUUAUUACAUACAAGACAGACAAAAAGAUAGCAUUGAUUAAUUUAUAUCAAAGAUUUGUAAUGAAAUCCAACGAAACUAAGAAAGUUUAUAAGGUAAUUUUGAAAUUUCAAGAAAAGUUAUUGAAGAAGUUUAGAAUUAUUCCUAUAUAUGAAACUAUGUAUCUUUUAAUGAGUGAUUAUUAUCUUAUGUUUGUAGGAGCUAAAUAGAGACCAUAAUAGUUUCUUGAAAGAGAAGAGAAUUAUACAUCAGCGUUAUAGCGUUUUGCUAAGCGAAUGUGUAAUAAAGAUACAAAAAGAUGUGAAUUCAUCGAAUUCUAAUGAAAAUGAACUCUAACUCUUAUUAUUUGUAUCUGUCUUUGAAAAUGUACUAAGAGGUAACAGGAGGAAAUUAACUCAGGGGGAAAAAAACACUAAUUUGCCUAAAGCUUGUGCCUAUUUGAGUGACCAAACGAAAAAAAAAAAAAAUACAAUACAACGUCGUUUUGAUUUUGUUUGUUCGGACACCCAACACCAACUUCGGACAAAUUAACGGUACUCAACUUAUACAUAUACACAAACACAAAGAAGUAAAAUUCCACAAGUCAAAAAGCAUUUUAGUGACCUGUAACUUGUAAGAGAUGGCCCAUUAACAAUUUAACAUGCCCAAUAGGUGUAGACUUUUAGCCCAUAUCAGUUGACUCUCAGAUCAAAGUUGGCUGGCUACUUAUAAAAUCGCUUUUGAAACAUUACAGUUCCAAACUAAUAAUAACCCAAGGAGAAAAUAUUAGAUUAUUAUUAUUUGAAAAAAGAAAUUACCUUUUUCUUUUUCUAUUAAAAACUUCUACCAAACCCAAUGUGGCACAAUCAUAUAAGAGAUGACAAAGAAGCAGAUACAAGGUCCAUUGUGCAAAUAAUUAUUUAAAUCCUCAACUAUGUACAAAGAAAAAUGAAAAAAAGACAAGUGUUAUUAUGCAAGUGCAGUAAGCAGCACCCAGCAAGAUGCCAAAAUUGUAAAUACAUUGAAUGCAUUUUAAUUAAAUAUGUUUUACAUGAUAGAAAAUUUUAAAAUCAACUCCAUUCAAUAAACACAAAGAUUCACAUUUUAAACCCCAUUUAAUAAACACAAAGAUUCAUAUUCUUCCCACACAUUGCAGUCUAAUUUUAAAUCUCCUUAGAUUCGCUUUGAGAUUCAUUACCAAUCCCUUUUAAGAAUUCAAAAUUUUCUAUUUUAUUUAUUUAAAAAAUUAUCAGUUGUUCAACCCAAGAUUUAGUGCAUGUUCGAAAUUAUCCAAAGCUUUUUAUUAUUAUCAGCUUUCCACUCAAAGAUUUACAAUAUGUAUCAACAAAUCACUUUGCUUACUUUAAGGAAAUCUAAGCAAACGGAUCACAAUUUUUUUUUUUUUUUCGGAAGUUGUAAGACAUAACACAAAGUCGCCAUCGUUGCUAUAAUUAAAGAAUACAAAAAUUUCAAAAUUUUAACACACAAAUGCUACUGUUUAAAUGGAGAAAAUAUGUAACAGAUAGAAUUAAAAAUGUUUAUGAAAUUCUUCUUCUUCUUUUUUAAGGAUGGCAAAAUGCCUGUGUUUGAGGCAUUUUUUGUAAACCUAGGCUCCCGAUAUAUUUGUUUUGUUGGAUUUGUCUUUCAAGACUAAUUUUUUUUUAAAAAAGAGUGAAGUUAUCGGCAACCUUCGUUGUCUUUAUAAAUCCCACUUCAAAUAAAAUUAUACAUAAGGGCAAAUAAAAAUUAAUACAUUUAUAUUUUUAAUAAAUUAUUUGCAUUCGUAAUUUAUCUAUUUUUUUUCAUAUUUUCUACCUAUCAUUCCUAUCUAAACAAAAUUAAAUUUAGAAUGACAAUUGUUGUUUUUCUAAUUCUUACUGAUUGAAUAUUUUUCUACUUAUGAUUAUUUUUAAAUUAUAAUUUAAAAUAUGUAUGAUUUAAGUCAAUGAUUGACAUUUAACCAUUUAUCGCUGAAUUUUUUUUUAAUUUGCAUGUAGGGUAACAACAAUAUUACAAAAGAAAAUAAACUACCUUCAGUUUUAACCCAAAUAAUAUCUAGAUAUUAGAGCGUAUGUGUAUUAAGAAAAAAAAGAAUAUUUUCAAAAAUAAAUUUUAUGAGGAGAAUAAACGAGUGCCAAUAGUCCAACUAAAAAAAAAAUCUAAUGGAAUCGAAAGUGAAAUUUUCUGGUAUUUGAAUUGGCUUUACAGAGAAUUAUAUAGGGACAUGCAUGGCAGAAAGUAGUUGGCAUGCAUGUGAUGCAUAUUAAUUAAACAAAUUAAGAAAGUUGUCCACGUUACAUUCUAAUUAAUUUGCUACAUUAGUCUCAACAUAAUGAAGGUUGAGUUCUAGGAUCAUUAAUAUGCCUAAUCUGAGAUAAUUGAUAAGCCUAAUCUGAGUUCUAGGAGGUCAUUUAAUAUACCUAAUAUAUUAAAGUCAUCAGGAAAAUUAAACAAAAUUAUAAAACUUAAUUAAUGCCGGGCUCCUAGGCUCGGCUUACAAUUACAUAAUUAAUACCGCGGCUCCGGCAUUUUUGAGACCCCAUAAAUAAGCUUUCAUUUCAACAACUAUCUCAAAAGAUUUUUUUUUUUUAAGUCAUAUAAAACCACCCGGUUCAUUAAAAUUUUAAAUCAACGUCAUUAACUUGCAAUAAGUAAGUUGUGUUUACAAAAAAAGUCAAAAGGGAAAUACGUUUAAAAUUGUGGCAAUGAUGCCAUUUUUUCAACAAAUAACUACUUAACAUUAGAUUACGAUAUAAGUACUAAAGAAAACAAGAUAAAUGAUGUGAAAAGUCUUCUAUCCGCACAAAAUAACCAAAACUCGAAAGAAUAAAUACAAAUUUAACUAACGUAUCUAUCGUUUGGUUAUAAUUUUUCAAUACAUUUUAUGUCUUAAAUUUAUGUUUUAGAGAUAGUUGACGAUACAACUUAAAAAUAAUUUAAGAUAGUUCUAUAAGAACAUUAUCAGAAUAAAUCAAAAUCGUAAAUUAAAGCAUAAGGCUUCUAUUUCAGCAACUCCAACAUCAUCCGAUUAAAUCUCAACAGAUAUAUCCAAUGAUGCCACCACUUUAUUGAUGUAAAAUUGUCUGAGUUUUACGUGGACAAGCAAAUGUCAAAGGAAGGCCACAACUGCCACUAGAGUUGGCAAAAUUUGACACAAUCCGAUUACCCGACACGAACACGACAUAAAUAAAUGGGCAUGAGUCGUCGAAUUUAACACGAUUAUUAAAUAGGUCGGGUCCGAGUCGACAAAUUUUUUUUCCGUGUGGGGUUAGGGUUAAAGUUCUUAACCUAUUUAUCCAAUCAAUGAGACGAUUAUAUUUUCUAUUUUAAAAUAAUUUACAAGUUCUUGUCAUCGAAACUCAAAUAUUAAAGAUGAUUCUCUUUUUUAUUUUUAUUUUUUGACAAGAUGAAUAUAAACACAGUGUUUUAUUUAUAAAAUUUCACAUACAUUUAGAGUUUUAAUGGUGUAAAUGUGUAAAAUAUUAGUAGACAUGUAUAUUUUAUAAUAUCGAUGUAUAAUAUUAUUUACAUAUAUAUAAUUAAAACUUCAAUAAUGUAAAUGUGUAAUAUUUUGGUAGAUAUGUGCAUUUUAUAAAAUCGAUAAAUUAUGUAUGUAUGAUAGUGUGUAAAUGUUUGAUGUAAAUUUUGUUUAAUAUAUAAAUAUUAAACGAGUUAUUGGGUAACUCAAUUAUUUUUCCGUAUCAGGUUUGAAUCUUAAUAUUUUGACACAAUUAUUAAAUAGUUCGAGUUUGGAUCGACCUAAAUUUGACACGAUACGAAACUGACAUGAAAAAAACACAAUUCAAUGACCUGUUUUGCCAGCUCUAACUGCCACCCUUUGCCUAAUAACACCCUCGGAAGGCCUUAAAAAUUCUCUUUUCAAAAUUACAGUUCUAACCUUAAUAAAUAUUAUAUUAAAGUGUAAAGACAUUUGUGACUAAUUAAUAUUUAUUUAUGGCGAGCGCUAAGUGACAUGUACACUCACUCACAUAAAUAAUGAUGGGCCAAUGAGUUGGGCCUACACCAUCCACUGUUGAUCUAAAUGUAAUUUAAGGGAUUCUUUAUUUAUUUAUUUGUUUUCCCUAAUCUCACGUGGUACAACCGUACAAAAUGAAAAAGACAGUGACCCUUGCAAAGUGAAUACAUCACGAAUUAAAUUAAUCAGCAAAAUUUAAUUAAAAAGAAAUCUUUGACUUGACGGAGUCUUUUUAGAGAGGAAUUUAACUGUCUUGAACAUUUUAGAACCAACCACACUAAUAAAGAUUCAAAUUCCUCCACUUAGAAGUGACAUUAAUUGACUGAGCUAGGAUAAUGCUUUUACCAUACUGACUAAAAUAAUGCGAAUGAGUGAGACUAGAAGACAAUUGUAAACAGUAAACUUACAUUAAAUCCUUCAAAUUUAAUUUUUCUUCUUUUUGGUUUGGGGGUAGGGAUGGUAAAAUUCUCUAUAGGUUUGGGGCCCUAUGGAGCCCUACCUCAAAUGAAAAAAAAAAAUUGAAUAAUUUUUGAAAAAUGAGGUGGGAAAUAAGAGAAAAAUAAUUUCUAAAUUCUUAACAGGGUUGGGUUUAGCUUUAUACUCCGUACUUCAAUUCCCAUUAUAUAUAAAUAUUUUUAAUUCUUAUUUAAUAAUUUUAUUUUAUCAAUAUAAUGUCAAUUAAUAAACUUUCUUUUUAUUUUUAUGUAAUAUAAACAUGAUAUAACUAAAAGAAAACCCUAUAAUAUAAUUUUUUUUCAACUCUAAAACAUUGUUAUUUUUUUUUUCUCUUUUAUGAUGCUGCUCUCUUCAAAUAUUUUUCAAUUUUGAUAUCAUUUGAAUAUAUUGUUUAAACUUUUAGAUUUUUUUAAAUAAUUAUAUUAUUUUAUAAUAUGGUGAUAAUUUUAUUUUAAAUCUCUAAUUUUUAGUUUACUGAAAUUAUAUAUCUAUACAUACUAUAAAAUAGAUAACUAGAGAAUGAGAUGGGGAUGGGGAAAUUAUUCUCCACAUGGAGAUUUCUCAUCCUCACCCCACUAAAUUUACUGGGAAAUGAGGUGAGAAAUGGAGGCGAAAAUUUUUAGUGGGGUGGGAAAUGGGGUAGGCCUCCCCACUCCCACCUCACCCCAUUGCUAUCUGCUGUACGGCCAAGGCGGAUGUACGGUACAGCAGCAGGNNNNNNNNNNNNNNNNNNNNNNNNNNNNNNNNNNNNNNNNNNNNNNNNNNNNNNNNNNNNNNNNNNNNNNNNNNNNNNNNNNNNNNNNNNNNNNNNNNNNNNNNNNNNNNNNNNNNNNNNNNNNNNNNNNNNNNNNNNNNNNNNNNNNNNNNNNNNNNNNNNNNNNNNNNNNNNNNNNNNNNNNNNNNNNNNNNNNNNNNNNNNNNNNNNNNNNNNNNNNNNNNNNNNNNNNNNNNNNNNNNNNNNNNNNNNNNNNNNNNNNNNNNNNNNNNNNNNNNNNNNNNNNNNNNNNNNNNNNNNNNNNNNNNNNNNNNNNNNNNNNNNNNNNNNNNNNNNNNNNNNNNNNNNNNNNNNNNNNNNNNNNNNNNNNNNNNNNNNNNNNNNNNNNNNNNNNNNNNNNNNNNNNNNNNNNNNNNNNNNNNNNNNNNNNNNNNNNNNNNNNNNNNNNNNNNNNNNNNNNNNNNNNNNNNNNNNNNNNNNNNNNNNNNNNNNNNNNNNNNNNNNNNNNNNNNNNNNNNNNNNNNNNNNNNNNNNNNNNNNNNNNNNNNNNNNNNNNNNNNNNNNNNNNNNNNNNNNNNNNNNNNNNNNNNNNNNNNNNNNNNNNNNNNNNNNNNNNNNNNNNNNNNNNNNNNNNNNNNNNNNNNNNNNNNNNNNNNNNNNNNNNNNNNNNNNNNNNNNNNNNNNNNNNNNNNNNNNNNNNNNNNNNNNNNNNNNNNNNNNNNNNNNNNNNNNNNNNNNNNNNNNNNNNNNNNNNNNNNNNNNNNNNNNNNNNNNNNNNNNNNNNNNNNNNNNNNNNNNNNNNNNNNNNNNNNNNNNNNNNNNNNNNNNNNNNNNNNNNNNNNNNNNNNNNNNNNNNNNNNNNNNNNNNNNNNNNNNNNNNNNNNNNNNNNNNNNNNNNNNNNNNNNNNNNNNNNNNNNNNNNNNNNNNNNNNNNNNNNNNNNNNNNNNNNNNNNNNNNNNNNNNNNNNNNNNNNNNNNNNNNNNNNNNNNNNNNNNNNNNNNNNNNNNNNNNNNNNNNNNNNNNNNNNNNNNNNNNNNNNNNNNNNNNNNNNNNNNNNNNNNNNNNNNNNNNNNNNNNNNNNNNNNNNNNNNNNNNNNNNNNNNNNNNNNNNNNNNNNNNNNNNNNNNNNNNNNNNNNNNNNNNNNNNNNNNNNNNNNNNNNNNNNNNNNNNNNNNNNNNNNNNNNNNNNNNNNNNNNNNNNNNNNNNNNNNNNNNNNNNNNNNNNNNNNNNNNNNNNNNNNNNNNNNNNNNNNNNNNNNNNNNNNNNNNNNNNNNNNNNNNNNNNNNNNNNNNNNNNNNNNNNNNNNNNNNNNNNNNNNNNNNNNNNNNNNNNNNNNNNNNNNNNNNNNNNNNNNNNNNNNNNNNNNNNNNNNNNNNNNNNNNNNNNNNNNNNNNNNNNNNNNNNNNNNNNNNNNNNNNNNNNNNNNNNNNNNNNNNNNNNNNNNNNNNNNNNNNNNNNNNNNNNNNNNNNNNNNNNNNNNNNNNNNNNNNNNNNNNNNNNNNNNNNNNNNNNNNNNNNNNNNNNNNNNNNNNNNNNNNNNNNNNNNNNNNNNNNNNNNNNNNNNNNNNNNNNNNNNNNNNNNNNNNNNNNNNNNNNNNNNNNNNNNNNNNNNNNNNNNNNNNNNNNNNNNNNNNNNNNNNNNNNNNNNNNNNNNNNNNNNNNNNNNNNNNNNNNNNNNNNNNNNNNNNNNNNNNNNNNNNNNNNNNNNNNNNNNNNNNNNNNNNNNNNNNNNNNNNNNNNNNNNNNNNNNNNNNNNNNNNNNNNNNNNNNNNNNNNNNNNNNNNNNNNNNNNNNNNNNNNNNNNNNNNNNNNNNNNNNNNNNNNNNNNNNNNNNNNNNNNNNNNNNNNNNNNNNNNNNNNNNNNNNNNNNNNNNNNNNNNNNNNNNNNNNNNNNNNNNNNNNNNNNNNNNNNNNNNNNNNNNNNNNNNNNNNNNNNNNNNNNNNNNNNNNNNNNNNNNNNNNNNNNNNNNNNNNNNNNNNNNNNNNNNNNNNNNNNNNNNNNNNNNNNNNNNNNNNNNNNNNNNNNNNNNNNNNNNNNNNNNNNNNNNNNNNNNNNNNNNNNNNNNNNNNNNNNNNNNNNNNNNNNNNNNNNNNNNNNNNNNNNNNNNNNNNNNNNNNNNNNNNNNNNNNNNNNNNNNNNNNNNNNNNNNNNNNNNNNNNNNNNNNNNNNNNNNNNNNNNNNNNNNNNNNNNNNNNNNNNNNNNNNNNNNNNNNNNNNNNNNNNNNNNNNNNNNNNNNNNNNNNNNNNNNNNNNNNNNNNNNNNNNNNNNNNNNNNNNNNNNNNNNNNNNNNNNNNNNNNNNNNNNNNNNNNNNNNNNNNNNNNNNNNNNNNNNNNNNNNNNNNNNNNNNNNNNNNNNNNNNNNNNNNNNNNNNNNNNNNNNNNNNNNNNNNNNNNNNNNNNNNNNNNNNNNNNNNNNNNNNNNNNNNNNNNNNNNNNNNNNNNNNNNNNNNNNNNNNNNNNNNNNNNNNNNNNNNNNNNNNNNNNNNNNNNNNNNNNNNNNNNNNNNNNNNNNNNNNNNNNNNNNNNNNNNNNNNNNNNNNNNNNNNNNNNNNNNNNNNNNNNNNNNNNNNNNNNNNNNNNNNNNNNNNNNNNNNNNNNNNNNNNNNNNNNNNNNNNNNNNNNNNNNNNNNNNNNNNNNNNNNNNNNNNNNNNNNNNNNNNNNNNNNNNNNNNNNNNNNNNNNNNNNNNNNNNNNNNNNNNNNNNNNNNNNNNNNNNNNNNNNNNNNNNNNNNNNNNNNNNNNNNNNNNNNNNNNNNNNNNNNNNNNNNNNNNNNNNNNNNNNNNNNNNNNNNNNNNNNNNNNNNNNNNNNNNNNNNNNNNNNNNNNNNNNNNNNNNNNNNNNNNNNNNNNNNNNNNNNNNNNNNNNNNNNNNNNNNNNNNNNNNNNNNNNNNNNNNNNNNNNNNNNNNNNNNNNNNNNNNNNNNNNNNNNNNNNNNNNNNNNNNNNNNNNNNNNNNNNNNNNNNNNNNNNNNNNNNNNNNNNNNNNNNNNNNNNNNNNNNNNNNNNNNNNNNNNNNNNNNNNNNNNNNNNNNNNNNNNNNNNNNNNNNNNNNNNNNNNNNNNNNNNNNNNNNNNNNNNNNNNNNNNNNNNNNNNNNNNNNNNNNNNNNNNNNNNNNNNNNNNNNNNNNNNNNNNNNNNNNNNNNNNNNNNNNNNNNNNNNNNNNNNNNNNNNNNNNNNNNNNNNNNNNNNNNNNNNNNNNNNNNNNNNNNNNNNNNNNNNNNNNNNNNNNNNNNNNNNNNNNNNNNNNNNNNNNNNNNNNNNNNNNNNNNNNNNNNNNNNNNNNNNNNNNNNNNNNNNNNNNNNNNNNNNNNNNNNNNNNNNNNNNNNNNNNNNNNNNNNNNNNNNNNNNNNNNNNNNNNNNNNNNNNNNNNNNNNNNNNNNNNNNNNNNNNNNNNNNNNNNNNNNNNNNNNNNNNNNNNNNNNNNNNNNNNNNNNNNNNNNNNNNNNNNNNNNNNNNNNNNNNNNNNNNNNNNNNNNNNNNNNNNNNNNNNNNNNNNNNNNNNNNNNNNNNNNNNNNNNNNNNNNNNNNNNNNNNNNNNNNNNNNNNNNNNNNNNNNNNNNNNNNNNNNNNNNNNNNNNNNNNNNNNNNNNNNNNNNNNNNNNNNNNNNNNNNNNNNNNNNNNNNNNNNNNNNNNNNNNNNNNNNNNNNNNNNNNNNNNNNNNNNNNNNNNNNNNNNNNNNNNNNNNNNNNNNNNNNNNNNNNNNNNNNNNNNNNNNNNNNNNNNNNNNNNNNNNNNNNNNNNNNNNNNNNNNNNNNNNNNNNNNNNNNNNNNNNNNNNNNNNNNNNNNNNNNNNNNNNNNNNNNNNNNNNNNNNNNNNNNNNNNNNNNNNNNNNNNNNNNNNNNNNNNNNNNNNNNNNNNNNNNNNNNNNNNNNNNNNNNNNNNNNNNNNNNNNNNNNNNNNNNNNNNNNNNNNNNNNNNNNNNNNNNNNNNNNNNNNNNNNNNNNNNNNNNNNNNNNNNNNNNNNNNNNNNNNNNNNNNNNNNNNNNNNNNNNNNNNNNNNNNNNNNNNNNNNNNNNNNNNNNNNNNNNNNNNNNNNNNNNNNNNNNNNNNNNNNNNNNNNNNNNNNNNNNNNNNNNNNNNNNNNNNNNNNNNNNNNNNNNNNNNNNNNNNNNNNNNNNNNNNNNNNNNNNNNNNNNNNNNNNNNNNNNNNNNNNNNNNNNNNNNNNNNNNNNNNNNNNNNNNNNNNNNNNNNNNNNNNNNNNNNNNNNNNNNNNNNNNNNNNNNNNNNNNNNNNNNNNNNNNNNNNNNNNNNNNNNNNNNNNNNNNNNNNNNNNNNNNNNNNNNNNNNNNNNNNNNNNNNNNNNNNNNNNNNNNNNNNNNNNNNNNNNNNNNNNNNNNNNNNNNNNNNNNNNNNNNNNNNNNNNNNNNNNNNNNNNNNNNNNNNNNNNNNNNNNNNNNNNNNNNNNNNNNNNNNNNNNNNNNNNNNNNNNNNNNNNNNNNNNNNNNNNNNNNNNNNNNNNNNNNNNNNNNNNNNNGGGGAGGGGAGUGUUGGAUAAAAAUGUAGUGGUGCUGGGCAUAAACUAUGAACUGAUUGGGUUUGCUUUUCUUGAGAAACUGAGCCGAACAAAUUCCAACAGAGUCAAAAAAUUAUGAACUAACUACAAAUCAAACCUAGGAAUCGAAUUGAAUUAUUUCAGUUCGGUUUGGUUUUUGAGUUUAGUUUGGCUUAAUUUAGUUUUAUAUAGUUCAAUUCAUAAAAUUUAAUAUUUUUUCUUUUAUAUUAAUUAAAAUUUUAUACUUUUCACCUAAAUUUAAUUAUUUUUUUAGUUUAAUCCAAUUAUAAUUAAUCAUUCAUGUUUUAUGCAAGAAUACUAAUAAAAAUAUUAUUGCAUAUAUAUAUUACAUUUUUUUCUUUUUAAUUUUUACAGUGAAUCCAUUGAUUCUCAAUUUGAUUCGGUUCUAAAUCGAAAAAACGACCGGUUCACAUUUUUUGAACCAUUCGGUUCUGACUUGACCGAACUGAGCAGAAUGCCCACCCCUAUAAAAAAAAUAUAUAGUUGAAACUAGUUACUAUUAAAGGAAUAUUUAAUUUUAUUAUACAAAGUGAUGAUGUAUUGGUAUUUCACCCCUCAAUUUUUCAUUUUUUUUUUAAAAAGCAAUGUUAUGUUUAUGUUUAUUUUUUUUCGUUUGUAAACUUUUUACAUUUUCUGAUGUUCUAUCUAUGCUUUCGGGACAAAAACAAUGUAUAAUGUUAUAUAUAUUUUCAAGCAAUCUUUGGCAUAACUCAAAAUUUUCAGUACUCUCUCGUCAUUUGGAUGCAUGAAGAAAUUGUCAUUUACCUUGGGCAUGUGGACCGUCAUGCCUGGGGACCAACAUUAAGUUGAAAAAAAUAAAAAUUGUUGAUGCUGAAAUCUGAUCGCCCUUUGCCUGACCAGAUCGUUCCACCAACGCUUGUAUAUUCAAUGGAGAGGAUGAUGCCCUUUGCCUGCUUCAGCAAUUGUUCAAACUCCUGGGGUUGGAAUCACCCUUUUUCAUUCUCUCUAAUCCUGCGCUCACAGAAACCAAUUAGAGACGCCGAUGGUUUUGCCGGCGUAAACCCUCCGAUGCUUAAGUUAACAUAAGGUGUUUACGGGAAAACUUGUAUGAUUUAUGUCGUACAGAUUAGUUAUAAGAUUUCUAAUACGAAAAUAUCUCACAUAUUUGGGUCUAAAAUUCUCUGAUAAUAAUUUGGCAGAGUUUCUCCUUUUUUCUCCACUUUUCUGUCCCUUUUUUUCAUCGGUCUCCUAGCUUCUUAUAGCCGUUGUCCCACGUUUCUGCGUAUUCUUCAUGUCCCCCUUUUUCGGGUGAUGGCAGACCCUUAUGGGUCUCCAACCACUGGAUCGUGGGUAAACGUGGGAUGCCAUGUUCUUCCCAACGGUUCGGGGCAUAGCGAAACUGUCGUGAUUUCGUGAGAUCGUGUGCCAUUUCUUUGGGUGAUGAGCAUCUGGCCGGUAUAUAUCUCUGGUCGGUAUAUAUCUCUGGUUGGUGCUCGUCUCUAGUUGGCACAUGCAUGUAUAAGAUGUUUUACCAAGACUCUUCUCGUGCCAUUCAGCUAAGGAGAUUCGCCUCGGGGUGAGAGAUGAGGACAUGACCGAGCUGAUACUUUUCAUUACUCAACAAAAAUUGAAAAGGCAAUCAAGAUUUUUUAAAGACUUUUCCCUACGAUUAAGCUCACGGCCACCGGAAUUAUUAUUAUUAUUAUUAUUAUUAUUAAUUUAAAGAAAGAAGAUUAAGUGUGGAAAGUUGGCAACUUGCCACGACAUGACGCAACUUUGAUGGUCAUUGCUUGGUUGUGGAAAAUUAUUAUUAUUAUUUUUCAAAAUUAUUGGAUGUUGACGUGAUAAAUCAUUGUGUCAAGCACUCAUCAUUUUGUCUCAUAUUGUUUUCAAUCUUAUCGUUGAUUUAUGGGUCAAUCGAUCGUUGAUUUAUGGGUCAAUUUUAUCGUUGACUUACGGUCAAUCUUACCGUUGAUUCAUGAGUCAAUCUUAUCGUUGACUUAUGGGUUAAUUUCAUAUGACUGCCCAUGAAAGAUAAUUUUAAAAUAUUUUUAUUUUUUCGUAAAUUUUAAUUUAUUCUCAUUCUUAUUAAGAAGACAACAAAUUUUUCAUCAACCUACCCUAUUACUCUCUUAUCUUUGAAUAAAAAAUGAGGGAAAGUUGAAAUUUACAAUAAUUUAGAUAAAAUUUUAAAAAUUAUCUUUUCAUGAGAGGAAUUAUUCAAAAUUUACCCUCAAUUUAUACUCAUUUAAAAAAUAGAUGAAGAUAUUUCCAUCUCAUAAUUUGUUAAACCCACCCCAUUUCUAAAAGUUCUUUACAAAAAAUUCACCUUAUUUCUUAAAAAUUUUAAAUGGAGAACAAGUUAAACCAAUUAAUCAAUCAAGUCCCCCCCUUUUUUUUUCUUUUAGAUUUUAUCAAGUCUCUUAACCAUUAUUGACCAUUAAUGUUCCUUUAACAUUAUUUUGGUUUGACUAUUUUACCCUUAAUAAUCAUGUUAAUAAAAUAGUACUAAUAAAUCAGUUUGAAAGAUAAAUACUUGUAUAUAAAAUAGUCAAGAUGAAAUAAUUUGUAGGUUAAAUAGUCAAGUUGAAAUAAUUUGUAGGUUUUUUUUUGUACUUUUUUCCAUAUAAGGAUAAAAUAAUCAAAUUCAAUACAUCUUAAAGGCACAUUAAUAAUGGUUAAAGAUAGUCAAGAACCAAAAUCACAAAAAGAAUAAUGAGGAUUUAAUUGGUUCAUCGUAAUUCAAUGAGGAUUUGAUUGGUUGAUUGUUAAAACUUAUUCUUUAUUUGAAAUUGUUAAAAAUAUUGUAAAUUUUUUAUGAUUAUUUUUCUGAAGUAGGAUGAUUUCACACAGUGAAAGAAAUGGAAAUAUCGUCACUCAAAAAAAAAAAAAAUACUACUUCAAUUUUUUAUACAAGAUUCCACAUCCUUUAAGUAUUUAUCGGGUGGUCCUAAGAUUUCAAACAUUGAAGCCUUUUUACUUAUUAUAUAAUAUAUAUAUUCUGCCAAGUCUUUCCAAUGGCUAUCCCAAUUUUGGAUUCAAUUAUGGAAGUCAACAAGUGCUUUAUUAUUAUGUCACUAGCAAUUUUUAUUUGUUAAUUUUUAUAAUAUGCUUUGAAAACUUGUCCUUGGCAUUGCUAACUUCAACCUAACGUGGAUUAAACGUUGGGACAUAAAAAAAAAUCGGUUUGUACAUAAAAAAAAAAAAAUUUUAGCUGUAUGUGUUACUAUAUAAUUUUAUACUUUUGUCAAAUUGUAAAGAAAAAAAAUCUGCUUGUUGGGAAAUGAAAUAAAUAAUUUAUUCAAUUGGGAUCCAUCCGGGAACAUAGCAUGAGUCACUUGGAUGACUUCAUUAAACAAUUCCCAAAAAAUCUUCUUUUGUCGUUGUUUAAAAGGGGAAAGUAGCGCAUACUUUGCAGAGGUCCGGGCGGUUCUGCACUGAACAUUUUGGAUAGAUCUCUGCUGUGACAACAAAUCUCUUGGGUUUCUUGUUGCAAUGGAGGCCAGUGACAUUUACAGAGCAAGUCAGAGUCUACGUCGAACUUCUUCAUGGAGAAACAAUUCCGCCGGUGCAUUUUCAAGAACGUCAAGAGACGAGGACGACGAGGAAGCUCUCAUAUGGGCUGCUCUCGAGAAGUUGCCCACUUACAAUCGUUUAAAGAAAGGGAUACUAACAGCUUCGACAGGCGCAGCUAACGAAGUCGACGUGCACAAGCUUGGACUGCUAGAAAGACAGAGGUUGAUCGACAAAUUGGUCAAAGUUGCUGAUGUUGAUAAUGAGCAGCUCUUGUUGAAGCUCAAGAACCGUGUUGACAGGUAAACAUUUUUCUCUCUUCAGCUUGCACUGUUAGCUGAAAUUCAUAUAACUGUAGUCUAUAUAUAUAGGUCCAUGCAGUGAAUGAUUUCAAUUUCUUUGUAUGUCAACUGUUAAGCAUCUUUAUUGAUGUUUGUAUAUAUGUGCUGGUGGAAUUAAAGUAUUUGAUUUAACACACUCAUUUAAAGUGGUUUUGGUGAUGAAAAUAUAAUUAUGAGAUACGUUGGUUAGAAUUUUUACUAGGAGAAAAUAAAAUUUUAGUUAAAAUUCAGAAAUAAAUUUCUGUCCCCGCCGGUCCUUAUGAGGCUUCUUUCACCACUGGGCUAGUACUAGUCUAUACUAUAUAAAGUAAUUACAUGUGGAGUGUAAUUUUAUACUGAUCCCACUUAAUCAAAUAUUUCUUUUGUUUUACUUGUUAACAUCGAGGGCACUUUUGUAAGUUAACAUUUAAAUCAAAUUUCUUAUUUCACAAGCACAAAAUGUGAGAAUUCGUACAAUUCUUUGUCCCCUCUGCAAGUCUAUGUGUGAAAAAGAAAAUGUCCAUUGUUAUUGAAAAUCUUCUUCUUAAGGGGUCCUUACUUAUUGAAAAUCUUCUUCUUAAGGGCUCCUUACCAUUUCCUUUUUAGAAACAAAUGAGCCGAAAAAUAUCAUAAAAUUCUUUCAAGGCCCUCUGUCAAUUUAGUGGUAAAUUGAAGCUUUUUUAGAAGUUAGAAUUGCUACUAAAUCAAGCUGAAGUUGAGAUGGAUGUCUGAUAAAGCCUUUUAUGUAUGGAGCAUAAAUAUAUGAAUAAAGAAAAAUGAAGUUUUCAUAGGAAUGUAAAUGCUGAGAAUGAAGAGAAUAGAGGAUUUGGUAGCUAGCUAGAUAAAUUAAUGGUCACUUUCAAUAUUGUUAAUAAGAACCAGUGAUCUUUUCAUGGUGCCAUGAUAAAUGCCUAAAUGAUUUGUACAUUAUACAAUGUGGUCCUUUCAGUCAUUACUAGAAGAGCAUUGCUAAAAUUCACUUCAAAUUUUAUCCUUUAAAUGCCUAUUUGUUUAUUUAUGUGGCAAAUAGAAGAGUGAAAAAAUAAACUUUCCUCUAAAAGACUCCUCAGAUAGGAACUAGUUAAUAUUAUUUUAAUCAAAUCUUUUCCUCUACCAAAUUUAACUAUCCUCCAUUUUUUCUCAACAAAUUUGAUUACCCUCCAUUUUAUCACUCUAGCUAUUUUAAUCAAAUCUUUAUUUCUAAGUAAUUUUGUGUUGAUUUUAAAUGUCAUUAUCAUUAUUAUGUUUAUCUUUCAAUAAUUCUAUUGAUGUGCUCUUAAUAUAUUUUUCUCGAUAUGUUUGUCCAUUUUUAAUUUAAUCCAUACUAAUUGAAAAAGAACUAGUAACUAAUAAAUUAAGUAUAUAAUAUUAAUUAUAAAAUUACUUGAAAACAUACAAUAAUUUGAAGGGAAAAAAAUUACAAUGAGAUGUGUAUGAGUUUAAUGAUAUUUACUAGGGUGAAAAAAGUACUGUAAGAUAGUUGUAUUUUUUUUUUAAAGGAAAAAUAGAUAGUAAUUAUAACUGUUUUCUCUCUCUAAUGAAAAAAUAUAAUAUUAAUAGAAGAGGGAGAAAUCCAUCUACUAUGAAAUAUUAAGAGUGAAAAAAAAUCUUAUUUUAAAAAUUUUAAUUGAUUUAUCUUUUGAAGUGCUUAAUACUAAUAUGGCUCUUUAAAUAAAAAGCAAAAUCUUUUUAAAUAGCCUUGGUGAUGCUCUUACUUCUUAGUGAUUUGUGCUUGAGAAAAGUUGAAUAUGACUGUGUUGCAAUUAGAAACUAUAGCUUAAUAAUUGACUUGUAUGUAUUUGCCGGGGAGUUUGUUGCUAUCGAAGCAAUUGAAGUGCAACAAGUAAGGCCGAUGUAAGGGUAUUGGUGUACUUUUCCUCACAACUGCCAUUUAAAGUUAACUAACACCUGGUCUCUUGUAGUACUGUUAUUUUUUUAUUCACUUCUUACUAUGUGUAUACUCUAUAUAAUUAUAAUAAUUUAUAUAUACAUAUAACAAGUAAUAAAUAGCUUAAAAACAGUACCCUGAGACCACCAAAGACAUUCUCGUUAAUUUGGACAUAAAGUCCAUUUAUGUCAUUUCUGUAUGGUAAGGACGUAAUAGAGGGAAGGUCAGUGAAAGUUACACUUAUUUUAGAUGUGAUGUGUGCUUUGAUUUAAGUUAUGAUUUUCUUUAUUCUUUGAUUUUCUCAGAGUUGGAAUUAGUCUUCCCGAAAUUGAAGUUCGAUUUGAGCAUUUGAAUGUUGAAGCAGAAGCAUAUGUAGGAGGCAGAGCGUUGCCAACAUUCUUUAACUUCUGUGCCAACUUGAUUGAGGUAUAUGACUGCAAAUGUAAACAAUUAUUUUUUAUAAAAUUAGUUAUGUUGGUUUUGUUAAUUUUUCUGCUCAAGUUCUAACAAAGUGUAUAUGUUUAAAGGGUUUCUUGAACUCUCUCCAUAUUCUUCCAAGUAGAAAGAAGAAAUUUACAAUUCUUAAGGAUGUCAAUGGAAUUGUAAAGCCAAGCAGGUGGAAUUUAGAACUGAGCUAAUACUGUUUUUUUUUUUUUUAAAUUUAUCCUUCAUUGCAUAUUUAGAAUAUAUUGGGCAGUCUUUAAUUUCUCCUUGUGUUCAUAUCUUUUGUAACAGGUUGACAUUGCUUUUGGGUCCUCCAGCUUCUGGAAAGACCACACUUCUGUUGGCUUUGGCCGGGAAGCUUGAUCCUAGCCUAAAGGUGAUAUUUAUAUAGUGAAAAGCUAGCACUAAUAAAUUUCAAGCAAUCUGGCAUUGACCAUUGACAGUCCAGCCUCUGAUUUUAUCUCUAAUUUGGGGAAACAAAAUGUCUUUGUGUAGCUUUCAGGUAGGGUGACAUAUAAUGGCCACAACAUGGAUGAAUUUGUGCCUCAGAGAACAGCUGCUUAUAUCAGCCAACAUGAUGUUCAUAUAGGAGAAAUGACAGUGAGGGAAACAUUGGCUUUCUCUGCUAGGUGCCAGGGGGUUGGAUCCCGUUACGGUAGGUUUGGAUUUUUUUUGGUCCUUUUUUUUUUUUGCAUUUGGAUAAGCAUUAAAGGUCAUUGCUUUUGUAACAUGCAGACAUGUUAGUGGAGUUGUCCAGAAGAGAGAAAGACGCAAAUAUUAAGCCUGAUCCUGAUAUUGAUGUCUUUAUGAAGGUCAGAUAAGCUGAAGAUUGUUUAAAGAUGUGUACCAUUUAACCAAUCUGAUUCCUAUCCAAAAAGUAGUUUUUUCUAUGACUUACAUUUUGCCUUUUUAAUCUUGCGUUCCUAGUUUAUGAAUCAAACUUUAGUUCUAGAAUGCUUCGGCGUGAAAUUUGAUUGAGUUAGAUUCUUCAAAUUCAAACUAGUAAUUUAAGUUAGCCAAAAUGGAAACAAGAAAAGAAAAUACUUUGAAUUUAUAAUUUGCUUUUGCUUUUUUCACAUCUCUGUGAACUCUCUCAUAUCACAGGCAUUGGCAACAGAAGGCCAAGAAGCAAGCGUGGUCACUGAUUAUGUUAUUAAGGUAGCAUCAUUACAUACAACUCUACACCUAUGAUCUAUUUUCAAUAACAAGUAAUGUAGUGUCAGUAUUUUAUCAAGUUUCAUAAUAAAUUGACAGGUUCUAGGCCUGGAUGUCUGUGCUGAUACCAUGGUAGGGGAUGAAAUGUUGAGAGGCAUAUCAGGAGGACAAAGAAAGCGUGUCACAACAGGUAAAUGCCAAAACUCAUCAGUUCAUUUCUAUCACGAAGAAAGGUGUUUACUAUCCAUUUUAAUUGAAGCACAUGACAAUUUUCAAUGAUUGAAUUACAGGUGAAAUGCUGGUAGGACCAGCACUGGUACUGUUCAUGGAUGAGAUAUCUACGGGUUUGGACAGCUCUACGACUUUCCAAAUCGUGACUUCUCUCAGGCAAAUCAUUCAUAUACUUAAUGGGACUGCUGUGAUAUCACUACUCCAGCCAGCACCGGAGACUUAUGAUCUAUUCGAUGACAUUAUCCUAAUAUCUGAAGGCCAGAUUGUGUAUCAGGGUCCCCGCGAACAUGUACUAGAAUUUUUUAAAUCCAUGGGCUUCGAAUGUCCGAAAAGAAAAGGUGUUGCUGACUUCUUGCAAGAAGUAGGUGUUUAUGGAGCUCUUCUAAUGAUUUAUCAAUAAAAGAAAAAGGAGAUUUUAUUCUAUUGGAUCUACUUUAUCAACACGAAAAAAGAUAUUCUAAAACUAGGUUUAGUAAGUUUGUGAAUCACCAUGGAUGAUGAAUAUGUUGCAGGUGACAUCAAAGAAAGAUCAGCAGCAGUAUUGGGUGCGUAAAGAGGAACCUUACAGGUUUGUUACAGUCAAGGAGUUUUCUGAUGCAUUCCAAGAAUUCCAUGUGGGACAGAAACUUGGCGAUGGUCUUGGGACUCCGUUUGAUAAGAGUAAGAGUCACCCAGCCGCUUUAACAACCAAAAGCUAUGGCAUUAACAAAAAGGAGUUGUUGAAAGCUUGCAUCUCAAGAGAACUUUUGCUGAUGAAGAGGAACUCAUUUGUCUACAUCUUCAAGCUCAUCCAAGUGAGUAUUAACUUAAUUUUGAGUUGUUUUAAUAUUUUUAUUAAAAUGUUAUGAUUAAUGAUUUCCCUCUGCUACUAGCUCACAAUUACGGGAGUGAUUUCUAUGACACUCUUCUUUAGAACAAAGAUGCAUCGAGAUUCAGUAACUAAUGGAGGGAUUUACGUUGGAGCCUUGUUCUUCACUAUUAUUAUGAUCACGUUCAAUGGAAUGGCAGAGCUUUCUAUGUCAAUAGCUAAGCUCCCUGUUUUCUAUAAGCAAAGAGACCUUCGAUUUUAUCCUGCAUGGGCCUAUGGUCUUCCCACAUGGAUUCUCAAGGUCCCAAUCGCAUUUGUAGAGGUUGCUGUUUGGGUGAUCUUAAACUAUUAUGUAAUUGGUUUUGAUCCCAAUAUUGGAAGGUAAGAAGAUGAAAACAACGUGCCAAACUUUAUACGAAUGACUGAUGGUUUUAAUUAAUGCAAUCAAUCUAUUACAUCAUCUAUUGAUCCAACUGGUUUAUGAGGUUUUUUUUUUUUUUUUUUGGCAGGGCGUUUAAGCAGUACUUGCUACUCGUGCUUGUUAACCAGAUGUCUUCUGGAUUGUUCCGAUUAAUGGCAGCAACAGGAAGAAGCAUGGUUGUUGCUAAUACAUUUGGUUCAUUUGCAAUGCUCGUGCUUUUUGCGCUGGGUGGCUUUGUGCUUUCACGAGGUAGAAGAAAUAAUAAUUUAAAAAAGAAUGGGCUUACUAUUUGACCUUAGUUCUUAUGUUUCUCGUUUAAUAAUGCAGAGGAUAUAAAAAAAUGGUGGAAAUGGGCUUACUGGUGUUCACCUUUGAUGUAUGCACAGAAUGGAUUAGCGGUUAAUGAGUUCCUUGGUAAUAGUUGGCAAAAGGUGAAGCCUUGUUGAGCCUUGUUUUAAUUUAUUUAUCUCUGAAUGACAUGCUGAUGUCUGAACUUCUUUCAAAUAAAGGUUUUGCCAAACUCAACCGAACCGCUGGGAGUUGAAGUUUUGAAGUCUCGUGGGUUCUUCACAGAUGCUUAUUGGUAUUGGCUUGGAAUGGCGGGAUUGGCUGGUUCUAUCCUACUGUUCAACUUCGGUUUCAUUCUGGCUCUAAGUUUUCUCAACCGUCUGUAUCCUUACCUUCUUCAGUUUUGUUCUUUCUUAAGUGAGCCAUUCUGAUAUAAACUUUGCAAAUGAGUGCAGCAUUUGGUAGUCAGGCUGUUAUAUCAGAGGAAUCUCAGAGUAAUGAGUGCGAUAACAGAACUGGAGGAACUCUUCAGUUAUCAACCUGUGGAAGCAGCUCUAGUCACCUGACCCAAUCAGAUGGUAAAGCUCCUCUGUUAUCUUUGAAAAGUAUGAUAUUUUCGACUUUCAAAGCUAAUUAAUUGUUGUAAAAUGCAGAGAGUAGGGAUAACAUUAGGAGGAGAAACUCCACUUCUCAGUCCUUAUCCCUCACUGAAGAAGACAUUGCUGCCAACCAACCAAAGAGAAGCGGAAUGGUUCUUCCAUUUGAACCUCUUUCCCUUACCUUUGAAGAUGUAGUAUACUCUGUUGACAUGCCACAGGUAGCGUUAAUUCCUUAACCACUUAGGAUAGAUAGAAAGUUGGGUGAUACGUUGUUUAGAUGAUGACUAGUUGGUUUGAUAUGACUGCAGGAAAUGAAGCUUCAAGGUGUUCUUGAUGACAAAUUAGUGCUUUUGAAUGGUGUGAGCGGUGCGUUCAGGCCAGGUGUUCUUACAGCCCUGAUGGGUGUUAGUGGUGCUGGUAAAACCACUUUAAUGGAUGUUCUUGCGGGCAGGAAAACAGGCGGAUAUAUUACUGGGAACAUAAAAAUAUCUGGUUACCCAAAGAAGCAAGAAACAUUUGCUCGUAUUUCUGGAUACUGUGAGCAAAAUGACAUCCACUCUCCUAAUGUCACUGUGUAUGAAUCCUUGCUCUACUCAGCCUGGCUCCGUUUACCACCUGAUGUUGAUUCUGAAACCAGAAGGGUUGGUACUGAACUCAAUUGGAAUGUUGGGUCAUUGAGUCAACCAGAAGAGAAAACAGGUUGAAUCCCUAAAUACGUUCUUGGUUAUAAUUAUACUAAUUUAUUGUCUCACCCUUGUUUUGCAGAUGUUUCUAGAGGAAAUCAUGGAGCUUGUGGAGUUGAAUCCAUUGAGACAAUCACUUGUUGGCUUGCCUGGUGUAAGUGGUCUGUCGACAGAGCAGCGUAAGAGGCUUACCAUUGCAGUUGAGCUCGUGGCUAACCCAUCCAUCAUAUUUAUGGAUGAGCCAACUUCAGGGCUUGAUGCAAGAGCUGCUGCAAUUGUUAUGAGAACUGUGAGAAACACGGUGGACACUGGAAGGACGGUAGUAUGCACCAUCCACCAACCAAGCAUCGAUAUAUUUGAAGCUUUUGAUGAGGUAAGAAAUGUUAAUUCUGAAUCAAGUGAGUGAGUUUUUUUUUCUUUCCAUCACUUUUCUUUCCUGUCUACUGAUUUCUAUUGUCUAACAUGGUAUUGCAGCUAUUUUUAAUGAAGCGAGGAGGAUAUGAGAUUUAUGUUGGGCCAUUGGGUCGCCAUUCUAGCCAUCUUAUCAGUUAUUUCGAAGUAUGAACUGAUAAAAAUUUUGAUAAUACAAUGGAAUCUAAUUAAUGUGACUAACAUAAUUUACAUUAUGAUUCUAGUUGAUGCUCAUAAAUUUCUUUUCAUGAAGGCUAUUCCUGGAGUCAAUAAAAUAAAAGAUGGUUACAAUCCGGCAACUUGGAUGUUGGAAGUUAGUUCUUCAUCUCAAGAAUUAGCUCUGGGUGUUGAUUUUACUGAUAUUUACAAAGGCUCAGAACUGUAUAGGUAGGUUUACCAUCCUAGUAGGCUAUUUAUCCUGCUCACCAAAAUCCUUUCACUGCUAUGCCAAAGCAUUUGUUUAGCAAAAUGAUUACUGAUGUAUGUAUACCAUAUGUAUCAGGAGAAACAAAGCACUCAUUGAAGAAUUAAGCAAGCCUGCUCCAGGUUCAAGAGACCUCUAUUUUCCUACUCAGUACUCACAGUCAUUUUUCACCCAAUGUAUGGCUUGCUUAUGGAAACAACAUUGGUCAUACUGGCGAAAUCCACCAUACACUGCUGUUAGAUUUCUGUUUACAACCGCCAUAGCUUUGAUGUUUGGUUCAUUGUUCUGGGACUUGGGCACUAAAACGUGAGUUAUUAGUAUGAAACUGGAAUGUUUAUAUAUUUAGAUAUUCAAAGUCUUCUAGUUUUAUCUUCCUCUUAAUCUUAAUUUUGACAUUUCAAAUUUUAGGUCAAAGCGACAAGAUCUUUUUAAUGCAAUGGGUUCCAUGUACACUGCUGUUCAGUUCCUUGGUGUCCAAAAUUCUUCAUCUGUGCAGCCAGUAGUAGCUGUUGAAAGAGCAGUCUUCUACAGAGAAAAAGCUGCUGGAAUGUAUUCAUCUAUGGCGUAUGCGUUCGCACAAGUAAUAUGUUUGACAUAUGACAUUCUUGAAAAGUAAAAUUAUUUCUGUUUCUUUACUGAAAUUUUCUGUAUUUUGUGCAGGUUCUAAUUGAGAUUCCCCAUGUAUUUGUUCAAGCUGUAGUUUAUGGUGUUAUAGUCUAUGCCAUGAUCGGAUUUGAAUGGACUGCUGUAAAGUUCAUUUGGUAUAUAUUCUUCAUGUUCUGGAGCUUUUUGCUCUUCACCUUCUAUGGCAUGAUGUGUGUUGCUAUGACGCCAAACCUACAUAUUGCAACCGUUGUUUCAAUUGCAUUUUAUGGAAUAUGGAACGUCUUUUCGGGGUUUAUUAUCCCAAGAACAGUAAGUAUUGGCUUGCCAUUACUAUAAAUUCUACAUUGCCAUAGCUUGUAGAAUAUUGAAUGACUAUGUCUUUCCAUUCAUCUUUUUGACGAUAACAGAGGAUUCCAAUAUGGUGGAGAUGGUACUACUGGGCAAACCCUAUAGCUUGGACAUUGUAUGGAUUGGUUGCAUCACAAUUUGGAGAUAUAGACGACACAAGACUUGAGUCAGGUGAAACAGUGAAACAGUUUUUGAGAAGUUAUUUUGGUUUUAAACAUGAUUUUCUAGGAGUCAUUGCGGCUGUUCAUGUUGCAUUCACAGUGCUCUUCGUGUUUGUCUUUGCUCUUGGAAUUAAGGCAUUCAAUUUCCAGAGACGAUAGUAAUUUAAUUUGUCUUUGAGCAGUCGCUUUGAGUAUUGAAAAUUUGCUCUUUAUUUGUUUAUAUUUUUGAAGUAUGUCUAGAAUCACUUUUGCAAUGGAGAUUUCUGAGAACUGUCGGCAGACAAUGUAGUAUUGUGAUUUUUGUUUUGUGUUUUUUUUUUGGCUCUUGCUGCAAAAGUGUGUUCUAAAAACUAUUACUUGGAAAGCAUAAAUACGGAAACUAUUUUGUCAUAGGGUGUUUUUAUUCUCUUCCAAGUCUCUUGAGGCUUGAGGUAUAUGUACUUAUGUAGCUCUGCCACUACUUAAAUCAAGCCUUUUAAUGAUUCAUAUGGGCAAGAACUUUCCUCACUUUCUGAAUUCCAAGCAUUAAUAAACUAUUUUAUUUGGGUGAUAUUUAAUAGACUUCAUGCGGUUAUGAACUGAUAAGAUUGUAGUACAUGGACAAGAAAUAUUUGUUUGAAUUACAUAUCAUGUGCAUAACAUUUAAUCAUUGAAGAGUGAACAUUAUUUGUGAAAGCUGGAUGCCUGGAUCUAUAUGGAACGUCGCAAAUUGUGAUUUGCCAAAGCAACUCGGACUCCAGCUCCUUAGGUAGAUGAGAACAUCAAUAAUAAUAUAUAGAUAGAGAAACAUAAAAAAAAAAGGGCUACAAAUUUUGAAUAGGUCUAAAUUUUUCUGAAUAAGUCUGAUUUUUAGUCCGAAUAAUUUUAAAUGCAAAUGCCUGAAAGAAAAUUUUAUCAUGCUGAAAAUAUAAUUGAUCAUUGGAUUAAAGUGCGAAGAUUGCUACAAGUUUUAUUUUUCAAAUUAUCUUGCAGGUCACUCACAUUAUUUAAAUUAUCGCAGAGGAAGGUGGCUCAAAAAUCAAUUUGGACUUUGUCUACUCCUAUUUAAAAAAAAAAAAUUAUGAACACACUAGGUAUUAAAAUAAAUGCGCUUUUAAUUGCAAGACGAUUGACUAAAGUUUUUUUUUUUAUUAUAAAAACGUUCGCCACACUUAGAUCAUAAUGAAAAUAUUUAAAUCUUUUUUUGAUUCCACGUAUUAUUCUCGAUAGGCACAUAAGGAAAGAGGGUAUGAGAUUUUCAUCUGAUGUAUAGUUCUAAAGCGGAGAUAUUUUUCAAUUGACGAUUGUAGUGGAUGGCAACUCAAUUUGACGGUAAUUAUGCAGAAGCUUUGUAGAAUUAUUAUGUAGCUAUUUGACGAGAACCGAUCACUAUGAUCAAAGCUAUAUACUCUAUAGCAAAGGCUUUAUUCACAUAUCUAGCAGAAAACAUAAAAAAAGUGUUAAAAGAGUAUAUUAUUUUCUGGCACCACAAGUUUCUAUUAAUAUGGAUAAGAUCUGUCUAUACAUGUUAACUACACUAUUGAAAGAAACAGGAAAAUAAAAGAAAAAAAAUGAGGAACUAAAUGGCAACAGGGACAAUAUGAAAGGGUUGAGCCUUUUGUAAGGUAAGACCAAGUUCGUUUUUGAUAUCCAUGGUGUGAGGUGGUGAAUCAAGUUUGUUUUCCAGAAACGGCUGCGUUUUGGAACUGUAAAAGCUUCAUUAGCUCACGUGCUGCUCAGCUGAUUUAUAACAGAAAACGAAUUAGACAAAACGACAGGGAUGGAGAGCCUUUUGGAUAUCAGUUUAAGUAACCACAUGAGGAAGCAUGUGAUGAAGGUUGUUCCGAGUUCGUUAAAGGUUGUUAACCACGUGUCAAUAAUCUGUACAACCUGGAAAUCAAGCUGGCUAUCUAAACAAGGUAUAAAGGCCUGUUUUUUGGGGCAAGUUCAUUUUUUAUUCCUGAGUCUUGAAGUGAGGGUUUUGUGUGAGAGAAAGUGUUAUCUUGUUCUCUGUAAAGUCUGGUGUAAGGCUCUGUAACAAUCUCCAUUGUUGAUUCAAUAAAGCUCAUCUUAAGGCUUCUCCCGUGGAUGUAAGCUGAGCAUUCCAUGCUCAGCUGAACCACGUAAAAUCUUGGUUUCUGUGGGUUUCUUGGUUCUAGUUUUUGUUCAUGAUUCAGUUCUUGUUCUUUUGUUAAUAAGUGAGUUUAUCUAAUUAGAUCUUGGGUUUGUGCAACUUGCAUUGACUCUCACUAGAUCAGUCUAGUUUGGUUUAAAAGGCUUGAUGGUCACUACACAUGGUCUCUGGUGAAAUUCUAUCUUUGAGCUUCCAAUCAAAAGAGUCAAUAAGUGAACCAAUAUUACAUGUAACAUUUUGAUUGCUAAUGGCAACCUAGGACAUAUUUGUCGCCCACAUCUAAAGGGGAUUAGCUCAAAAUUUUGAGGAUUAGCUCAAAAUUUUGACUUUGACAUCAAAAUAGUCCACAAAAACCUCUCUAGGAUUAAAGAUUGAGGGCUAUCCCAUGUGCUUUGAAUUUUUCCUAUAGCCGGCAUGCAUUGACAAGAAGUUGUGAGUCCUUUGGCACCAUGAAGCCAACAAUUUUUAUGGCUACCAGGGCAUACCGAGGGAGUAAUAAGGGAGUUCCUAUGUGCGAUCUGAAGGUUUCUUUGACUAAUGCCUGUGGCAACCGAGUGACAUGAUGUCUGAUUCCUCAAUUGGGUUGGCAUUGCAAAUUGUUUGUUCUAAUUCUAAACGAGAUUUCGAUAAGAACCUCUAGAUUGCGAAGUGUUUCUGCCAAUGCCCAUUCCAGCAUACUUGAAGUCGUGCCAAUCCCUGCAAAAAACAAAUCCUGUUAUGUUAUCGUAAUUUGUCGACCGAUAAGAUAACUACCAAAUAUAAAUAACUGUUGAUACUAAUAAAUAAAUAUAAAUAUAAAUAUAAAGAUAAAUAUAAGAAAGUGUGGACAUCUGUAUUUUAUAAAGUGUGAACUCACACUUUAUAUAAGUAUAUAAAUUCUUUCUAGCUUUUGUAAUUAACAGUAUUCUACAAAGUAGCGACGUUUCUAAACAUUUUUAUGUACUGAAAAAGAAAUUUAAAAAAGAAAGAAGGAAAGAGAGACAGAAAAAUAUAAAUAUUACCAUUAUCAAAUGUUUGAUAUAAUUUCUAUCAAUUUCCAAGCUCUCACUUUCAAUGAUACUGAGAAGAGUAUCUGGCAUAUCAUUAGAUUCGGUGUAACCAUAUUCUUGUCUUUACUUCAAAUGUUGAUCAGUCAAGCGAUCAACCAGCUCCAACAUCCAGUUAGAAUAGCUUGUAAUACAACGCCUUAUACCGUCCAGGUCAAGAAUUUUUAGCACUGGAAAAUAAUCGGAUAACUUAGGCAUCCCUGCUGUAGGGAUGGCAAUGGUAUCCACAAACCCACAAACCCAUCCGCUACGGAUAAUUUUGUGGGUUAUAGGUGGGUUUCGUAUUAUAAUUUUGUGGGUUACAGGUGGACUUAGUAUUAGCUAAAUAUCCGGUGGAUAUCCAUGCUUUUUUAAUUUAAUUUCAAUUAAAAAAAUUAAAUCUAAAAAUAUACUUAUAAAGUUGUUAUAGUUUUGAUUGAAUUUUCUUUAACUUAAUGCAUGAAUUAAUAUCUACUUAUUAUAAUUUUGUAUGAACUAUUAUUCUUUAAUUUAAUGCAUGGAUUAUUUCAUUAUUAUAAUUUUGUUCUUCGGAUUAAUAUUUAAAAAGUUUUAUUCUUUAGGAAAUAUCAACCUUAAUCAUUAUUGUAGGAAUCAUGUUGGAUGAGUGUUAAUGGUGGUCAAUAAAAUGAAGAUCUUUUCUUGGAGCUUGUGUUGAAUGAUAAUAUGAAAUUUUCAUAACCCAACUUCAGAUCUGUCAAGAUACUGUUUGCUUUGGACCUUAACAACACCCUCACAGUUUUGUUUCUAGGGCGCCCAUACACCCCAAAACGCAUCUUGCCAACUAAGGUAUGAAUCAUCUCUUAUAAACACAGCAUUUCUAUCGUGCUUUGCCAAUGUGGGAUUCGAUUAGGGUGUUACAUACUCCCUUCCUUAGGGAUUCAGCAUUCUCGUUGAGGUUUGUUGCACCAUCACUCAAGAGGACACGCGGAGCUGCUCUGAUACCAUCUAUCAUGACCCAACCUAGACCUGACAAGAUAUUGUCUGUUUUAGGCCUUAACAAGGCCCACACGAUUUUACUUAUGUGGUGCCCAUGUACUUCAAAACGCAUAUUGCCAAUUAAGGUGUGGAUCACCCCUUAUAAACCCAGCAUCUCUUUCAUGCUUUGUCGAUAUGGGUUUCGCCUAGGGUGCUACAUAUCUGUCAUGACCCAAUCCAGACCUAACAAGAUAUUGUCCGCUUUGGGCCUUAACAAGGCCCGCACAAUUUUUUUUUUUCUGGGGUGCCCAUAAGCCCCAAAAUGUGUCUUACCAAUUAAGGUGUGAAUCACCCCUUAUUAACCCAACAUCUCACUUGUAUUUUGUUGAUGUGGGAUUCGCCUAGAGUGUUACAUACACCCCUCUUAGGGACUCGGUGUCCUCGCCGAGGUUUGCCCCACACUCCUAAAACGCGUCUUGCUAGUUAAAGUGCGAAUCACCCUUUAUAAACCCAACAUCUCUCCUGUGCUUUGCUGAUGCGGGAUUCACCUAGGGUGCUCCACACCUUAAUUGGCAAGACGUGUUUUGGAGUGUAUGUGCGUCCUAGAAACAAAAUCAUGGGGACUUUUUAAGGCCCAAAGUGGAUAAUAUCUCGCUAGGUCUAGGUUGGGUCAUAACAAAUGAUAUCAGAGUGGCUCCGCAUGUCCUCUUAAGUAAUGGUGGGGCAAAUCUCAGCGAAAACACUAAGUCCCUAGGGGGAGUGUAUGUAACACUCUAGGCAAAUCCUACAUCGAAAAAACAUAGGAGAGAUGUUGGGUUUAUAAGGUGUGAUCCACGCCUUAGUUGGCAAGACAUAUUUUAGGGUGUAUGGGCGCCCCAUAAAAAAAAAUCACGUGGGCCUUGUUAAGGCCCAACGCGGACAAUAUAUUACCAGGUCUAGAUUGGGUCAUGACAGAUGGUGUCAGAGCAGUUCCGUGUGUCCUUUUGAGCAAUGAUAGGGUAAAUCUCAGCGAGGACGCCGAGUCUCUAAAGGGGGUGUAUGUAACACCUUAAACGAAUCCCACAUUGACAAAGAACGAGAGAGAUGCUGAGUUUAUAAAGGGUGAUCCACACCUUAAUUGGCAAGACGUGUUUUGGAGUGUAUGAGCGUCCUAGAAACAAAACAGUGCGGGCCUUGUUAAGACUCAAAGCGGACAAUAUCUUGGCAGGUCUGGGUUGGUCAUGAUACAUACAAUACCUUUAAUUGUGUAUUAUAAUAAAUUUAACUAAAAAUAAAAUUUAUACUAUAUUGAUUUUAUUUCUUUUUUUAAUCUUAAAAAAUUGAUAAUUAAAAAAUCAUCUACAAUUUUCAAUAAAAUAAAAUCAAUCAAAGCAUAACAAGGUACUCUAAAAAAAUAAACAUAAAAAAGAUGUAAUGAGCUAUAAAAACUCAAAAAGAAAAAAAAAUAAUAAAUUGUCAUGCAAUAUUAUAUUGUCAUUAAACUUGCAGCAAUAUUAUUUCUUAGAACUUCCAUUUUUCGUGCUUCGGCUCCGUUGUUAAUAUGUGUUUCUUCUUCACCUUCUUGUCCAUCAUUGACUUCAGUUCUAUCUCUUCAUUGGUGUAAUCAUUGUGCUCAUUUUCUUCCUUCUCAAAAUGUUUAUCAUGUUGUGCAUGUCUUAUUAUAUAGUUAUGUAAUGUCAUGGUUGCAAUAACUAUCUUUGCUUGUUUAUUGAAUGGAUAGCUAGGCAUGUCUGUUAAAAUCUUCCAUUUUUUUUUUCAUACACCAAAAGUGCACUCUAUUACACUUCUAAGUGACGAGUGUGCAUGAUUGAACACCUCUUGAUAGCUUGUUGGUUGGCUACUUCUACGAAAAUAUGGAAGGUGAUAUCUUUCACCUUUAUAUGGCCUUAAAAAGACCCUCAUUUUUAGGUACAUUGCAUCCACCAAAUACUAUUUUCCUAAAUAUUUAAGAUAUAAUUUUAAUAAUAUUGGAGAAAAAUAAACUAUUGGAGAUAAACUUAAGAAAACUAAGAAAAAUUUAAGAAAAAUAUUGAAGAAAAAUUUGAUAAAAAUAAGAAGAAAAAUAAUGUAAAAAUGACAAACCUCGAGAUGGUUUAGGAAAAUUCAAAAUAGGGUUACGUAGUGUUGAUAAAAAUAUCCUUGUGUCUUGAGCGCUUACUUUCCAACCUGCAAUUGCAAAUAUAAACUGCAUAUCAAAGUUACAUUCAGUCAUUAUGUUCUGAGUUGGUAUGCCUUUCCGGCCAAUGUAUGUUAUUUGAUCCUCAAGAGUUAUAGAAACUUGAAUAUGUGUGCCAUCUAUAACAUCGAUACAAUCCUGAAACUACAAUACAAAAGUACGUGUCAAUAAUAAUUACAACUUUAUAAACUGUAAAAGUUUAAUCGAUACAUCAUUUACCUUAAAGUGAGGCAUAUAUCUAAAAUCUCCCAAUAUUUCUUCAGGAAUAUUUUCCAAAAGAUCAUGGCAUAUCAACCAUUGCAUUAUGUAUAAGUAUGUAUGUAUUUUCCGUAUAAGAAAAACUAGUUUGCUUACUGGGUUUUGUACUCAUUAUAGUUUAUUGUGAUUCAGUUUCCAGAAGUCAGGAUUGAUUCGUGAUGAGUGAGAAGAUGGAUUUGAAUUGAGGAUAGUAGAUGGUUUGGUUGAGUUUUUAAGUUAUUCCGCUGGCUUUUGUAUUUGAGGCUCGAAUUUUAUCGGUUGUAAAGAGUUAUUUAAAUUCAUAUGUGAGUUGUGGACAUACUUGCCCUUAGAUUUCGGAUUGGGGUGUUACAAAUGGUAUCAGAGCGGUUCCCGACCGGAAAUGUGUGGAUGUUUAUGACAUCCUACCUCGCUUGGGAAGGAUUUUGUAAGGAUGAAUAGAACUAAGUCUGUGCCAAACCUUUAGGCUUUGUGAUUUUGCUUGAGUCUUAUAAGGAUUUAUUGGUCAUAAGUGAUUUUGAGAUAUGGAUUCUUUUGGGCAUAACAAAAAAAUGAAUUUCGAGGACGAAAUUCUUUUAAGGGGGGAAGAGUGUAAUAUCCCAAAUCUCCUAAGGGUAUUUAAGUCUUUUUAAUUUUUAGUGAUCCUUUUUACCCUAGUAUAAAUAGAACAAGAUGUCUUUUUCAUUAUCAGAGAGAGAGGAAAAGAGUGCCAUAGGCAACACAUGGGAUCAAGUUGUUAUUGCUGGGAGAAGUUUUGGAGGUAAGUUUUAAUCUUGGUUUUCAUUAAAUUGUUGUGGAGAAGCAUGAUUGCAAUAGAAGUAGAAACCUACGAUUUUACAGAAAUAUGCUGACAGUGAAUUAUUACGAAAAUCAUAGUACUUUGUAUGAAUUGAUUUUGAUUAUGAUUUUUGGGUAUGUUAAACUAGACAUCGUCUAGAACGUUUUGAAACUUGUUUCAAGUUAAUCGGAUAAGAUUUCAAUUAAUUAUGAUUUUUCAAAUUCAAGUCUGAAAACCUGAAAAUUUAUGAUUUCAGUGAAUAACGUGAAUUACAAAAUUAUUUUUACCAUAGUGAGAGUUCUUCAAAAAUUAUGAAAUUUGGACCAAUGAUUUUUAUAUAUGUCUAGUAUGAUUCUGGAAAUUUUCAUGAUUUUAUGAUAAAGCAAUAAAUUGUUUUGUAUUUGUAAAGCAAGUGUGUUCAAAACAGAAAACUGUUUGACAGUAUUGAUGAUGUCUGAAACGUGAAUUAUUUUCAAUAGUUUUUUAAGGAAUUAUGUUAUGAAAUUUUUAUCAAUGAACUUUCAAUGUGUCAGCAUAUGGUCUGUAAAAUUUUAGAUUCUUCUAAUAAGAGGAUAAUUUAUUAAAAAUCGGAGAAGUAUGAACUGUUAUGUUUUGAGGGCCGAUUAUUGAGGACAUUUGAGGUUGAGCUUAAGAGUUGUUUAAAUUGAGAUAUUUGAGGACAUUAGAGUUUAUGAUUGAGAUUUGAUGAUAUCUUAUGAGAAUUUAUUGAUGAUUUUAGGUUGAUGGUAUCAGUACGCAUUUGUUACAUGAGGAUGCCAAGAGGUAAGUAAACUAGACUUUAAAACGAAUCACACUAAACAAUAUAUAUGUUUGACUUGUGUGAAAAACCUAUUUUGAUAUAUACACGGAUAUGGAUUUAGAUGUCUCUGCCCAUGUGUUUAUGUGAUGUGUUGGCAUGUGUUGAACGUGAUUAUGUACAUGGGCAUAUGUAUGUGUGAUGGUUCAUUGGCAUGAGCACGAAAAUGCAUUGAGUUUUCUAUGAAUGAGAAAGUGGAUUUUAGCAAACGGAAUUUCUGUUUUAUGAGAUUUUGCAUUGGGGGCCACCUCUUGAAGUUGUGUGGGGGCCACCUCUUAGGACUAUGCGGGGGCCACCUCUUGAGGGCUAGAGUGCCGUAAAAUGCCACGCACAGCACAAAGUGCCACAUCGCAGGAUACGUAUUUCAUCGAAAGAAAAUGAGAAAGUUUGAAAGCGAUAGAAAUAGAUUUUUAUGAAUUUAUUUUACAGUAUUUCCAAAAGAUCAUGGCAUAUCAACCAUUGCAUUAUGUAUAAGUAUGUAUGUAUUUUCCGUAUAAGAAAAACUAGUUUGCUUACUGGGUUUUGUACUCAUUAUAGUUUAUUGUGAUUCAGUUUCCAGAAGUCAGGAUUGAUUCGUGAUGAGUGAGAAGAUGGAUUUGAAUUGAGGAUAGUAGAUGGUUUGGUUGAGUUUUAAAGUUAUUCCGCUGGCUUUUGUAUUUGAGGCUCGAAUUUUAUCGGUUGUAAAGAGUUAUUUAAAUUUAUAUGUGAGUUGUGGACAUAUUUGCCCUUAGAUUUCGGAUUGAGGUGUUACAGUACUGAACUGUUUGGUAAACACUAGUUGCCGCAGUUUGAAAGUUAUACUGAUAUAAUUUUUCACUUGUUUAAUACAAAAUCUAUUAUAUUUUUAAUAAUUUUGUCAAAAUUAUUAUUUAAAAUUUAGAUUUACUACAUAUUAAUUUUUAUUUUAUAGUUACAACUUUUUUUUCCACAGUAGUUAUAACUUAAAAGUUACAACACCUCAAUUCCAAACAAGAUCUAAAUUUUUUAGAAAAUAAAAACGUUGCAAUGGCAUAUGCAUGAAAUAUUUUACAAAUAAAGAAACCCAAACAAGAUAAGCAACAAAUAUUAUAAUAAAAAUUACAUUGAAUAUGCAUGAAAAUGUGAUGAAUGAAAGGAUAUGCAUGAAAAAGUACUGUCACUGAAUAUGCAUGAAAAAAGGAUGACUAAAGUAUCGUAUCUUGCAUUGUUGCCGCCGUAGAGAACUUUUGAUGUAAUGUAAAAUAUAUAUGAAGUGGAAAUAAGGUAAACGAAACUUGAAUUAUAAUAAAAGAUUAUUAAAAUUGUUUCCAAUUUGAAUAAGGAUAAUUUUGGAUUUAGAUAAUAAUUAUAAAGAUAUUUAUGAAAUUGUAUUAAAGGAUAAAGUUGAUUCUCAAAUCAAAAUUUAAAACCUACUCCAUCAUUCUUUUUCAAAAUCAGCUGUAAGAGGAGCUGAUUUUAACAAAAGUAAUUUUGAUUUUUUUUUUAAACCAAAAACCAAAAUUAGUUUUUAAAUUUUCAAAAUCACUUUCAAGGUUUCCUAAGUUCGUCCAACAGAAUGCCAAUUAAUGUUUUUGUUUUCAGGUGAAACAAAGCUCUCAUUGAAGAUUUAAGCAAGCUUAAUUAUGUUUUACAAAUUAAUAGUAAAGACAGUAAGGUUCCUGUCCGAUUCUGAUCUGAAAAUAGUUCUAAAAAAAAUAUUGUAGAGGAGUACAAUUCAAAAACUUAAAAGAGUUGUAUGAAUUUUAAGUAGUUUGUAAAUCGAGAUUUGUUCCAGACUAAUUCAAAAUUCAGUUGUGAGUGGCGCCAAAGUUUGCUGUAGUGGUUGCUGACAUGGAAGGUGUGGGCCCAUCACUGCUGAGUUGGAAAGGAAGUUAGUUUGGAUAACUAACUAUUUGAACAAGUGCUUAUUGACCAUUACGCAUGCAGCUUUUUACUAUAUAAGGAUGCUGGUCAAUGAGGGUUCUUUAACUCAGUAUAACGAUCCCUAUCAUGAUUGUUGUUGAUGCUUAAAUCUGCUCGCCUUUGGACCGACCAGAUUCUUUCACCAACGUUUGUGUUAUCUACUGUUGCUCGUUCACUGGGAUUGGAAUCGUCCUCCUUUCUCACAAUAGACCUGCGCUCACCAAAAACGGAUCAGAGACGCCGGUGGUUUUGCCGGCGUAAACCCUCCGAUGCCUAAGUUAGCUCAAGGUGUUUACGGGAAAACAGUGCAAUUUAGAUCUCAAAAUGGUUUCUAAAUUAUUCGGAGUUUUAUAAGAAAAUAGCCUGGUUUCAAUUUGGCAGCGUUUUCCCUCUCUCAAUUUUUCUAUCCCCUUCUUCAUCGAUUUCUCCUUCUUUUAUAGCCGCUGUCCCCACGUUCCCGCUUGCCCUUCAUCCCACCUUUUUCGGGUAGUGGUAGCCCCUCAUGGGGCUCUGACCGUUGCAUUGUGGCAAACGUGGGAUCUUAUGUGUCCUUCAACGGUUCCGGGAAAGGCGCAGCGGCUGCGAUUCUGUGGGAUCAUGUUCCCGCUUUUCUGGGGAGUGUGUAUCAGUUCGGUAUUAACAUAUGGUCGGUAUACGCUCCCGUGCUCUGCUCGUACCCACAGCUGAGGUGAUCCAUGCCGGGGUGGAGGUAGUAGCAUGGUCGACCUGGUGCUUUUGUUAACUCAACACCAGUCCCCAAGUUUCUGGUAUUGCGAGUGAAAUGAGUUAGGAGUAGAAACUGAUAGUCAAAUCUUACCAACCUGGGGAGCGUCUCGCAUGGCCUUCUGCUUACCAGGACAGAUCUGAGGUACCAUUUUCCUUCUAGGGAGAUUCCGACCUGAGCAUGGGCCUAACUGAGCCUGUCCGUUGCAUAUCUGGGCUUUCAUCUAACCUGGUCUCUUGUAACGGUUGGUGACGUGGCGCUUCCCGACUUUUCGUAUUUGAAAUUUGAAACGACGGGCUAUCCGUCCUCGAUAUAUGGGGGGGUGAGCUGGCAUAUCCCAUCACUUAAAUGCUUCCAUUUCCCCCUUUUCGUUUCAAAUCCCUAGACUGGAGUCUUCACCAUCUUGUUACUCGUUUCUCCGCCGUUAACCAAAUUUUCUCUGAACUUUGCUCACACUUCCAGCGUCCGGAGUAUCCAUUUGCUGGGUGUUUUCUCUGUCACGGCAGCGCUAUCAGUGUCAGUCUAUUCCAGGUAUAGCCUUUAACCUUUUCUUCGGCUGUUGUUGAUUGGGUUCUGUGUUGCCCCUUUGUGUCCAUAUACUCGAGUUUUCUCUGUCUUCUUUUGGGAUUCCGGUAUGUCAAAUCGGAAGAGGAAGUUAAUUGUUGAUGAGGGUGAUGACGAAUCAGGGGAUUCAGGCCUCAACGUGCCAAUACCCACCGAUAUUUUAGGUCCCUCCAGUAGUGUAGGUCCUCCUCAUGGUAGGGAUACCCUUGAGUACCCACGCCCCCUGGUUGUCUCUCCCUCUCCCGAAUUAGAGCUUGUAGGAAAUAGGGGUGGACCUGCGUCGGGCUCUGGUGAGAACCACAGCUUUGGUGGGGUUGGGAUCCCUGAAGGAGUUGGUGAUGGUGAGGGGAGCAGUUCCGGACCGAGCAGACCUGCUCAGAAAAGGAACCUAGGCCAUAGGGUGGAGGCUGAUUCCUACCCUAUUGAUUUCAUGGCUUGUGCCACCACCCCCACCGAUCUAUUUAAACUUAGGAAUCUCUACAACAUCCCCAACGAGGUUCUUCUUGUAGUUCCUGGAAAAGGUGAUGUCCCUAGUUGGCCUCCGAAAGGGUAUGUGACGAUGCACUUGGAGAGUUUCAGACUAGGAGUUCGGCUGCCCCUUCAACCUUACUUUGCCAAGAUACUGGGCGGUAUGCACCUGGCCCCAGGUCAGCUACACCCAAAUGGGUGGAGGGUUCUCUCGGUAAUGUUUGUGUUGUGGGAGAGGUGCGGGUCGGAGGAGCCUUCUCUUGUUGAAGUGAAACAUCUGUACCAGCUGCGGAGUAGCCCGAAGGAGGCAGGCUGAUACUAUUUCAUAUCCAGUUCCGCAAAGAGGAAACCGAUCACUGGGUUUCCAUCUUCAUGUAAAAAUUGGAAGAACAAAUUCUUCUUUGCUGGAGGGAACUGGUGUCCAGCGGUUCAGUCGCUUGGUGGGGACAUUUAUCUUCCCACCCAUUUUGUCACCCCAGGUCGUUCAUUUUUUGCCUAUAUUCUUUCUCAAAUUGCCACUCAUUGGGUUCUUUAACCUUGUUUGUUUUUUCAGAAUCGUGGGGUUUGGUGAAGGAUCUUGAAGACCGACCUUUGCUUCAAGUGGAAACUGCUCUGUUGAAUGCGUCUACUUGCCAAGACCUCCUGUCGCCAACAAACUUGGUCGGUUCCCGCUUAGUCUUGAAGACCGACCUUUGCUUCAGGUGGAAACUGCUCUGUUGAACGCGUCUACUUGCCAAGACCUCCUGUCGCCAACAAACUUGGUCGGUUCCCGCUUAGUAGAUAUUGCCACUGGAAUGGAUAACAAGAUCCUCAGCGCGUUGAGCAGAAAGCGUGGUCGGGCUCCGAGUAGCUCCAGCAACCCUCCUCCUCCUCCAAAGAAACCCAGCGUCGGUCCUUCCAAGGCGCCAGUUCCUGCUCUGCCCCCUCCUCCACCUCGUAAGAGUGGUGGGGAUAAAACCUCCGACAAGAGUCCUGAGGUCAGCUUGCAGUCUGGGGACCGCUCUUCUCCCCUUCCAUCUCGGGAUCAAGGUGACUACCUGAGCCCAUAUCAGAAGGAUUACAGAAAAUCGGUUGGGCCCAAGAUGGUGAAGGACAUCGAGAGCAUGAGCCUCUCCGAGUUAGCUGCUUCUGUUCAAAGAGUUUCCUUCAGGCUGGCCACAAUGGUCUCGUGCUACAAGACCGGGUCCGCGCGUCAUGAGAGGAAGCUCCAAGCUGAUAACCAGGAGUUGAAAAAGAAAGUCGAAUCUGCUGACCGUUCUAAGGAGAAAUUGGCCGAGCUGAACAAGCAGCUUACGGUGCUUGAGGAGAAAGUUGCUGUUGCUGAGUCCACUUCCUCCAAGCUUGAGGAUGAGUUGGGUGAUCUGAAGUCCGAUCUUCAGGCUACCCAAAGUGAAAGGGAUACUCUGAGGGUCGCCCUUGAAGGAGAGAUCAAAUCCCUGAAGGACCAGCUGGCUGAGGAGAAAAGCAAAUCCGCUGACGUGGAUGAUCGACUGGAUGCCGAGUAUGACUCCGGGGUUGUUUUCAGCUAUAAGUGCAUUAUGUCUGUGCUUAAGGAAGAAUACCACGAGCUCGACAUGAGCAAACUGGAAUCUGGGGUGGAGAGGUAUAUGGCUGGGGCCGGCCAGGGAGAUAAGGAGCAGGUGGAGGUUCCUUUUGAUGAGGUGCGGGAGGGAGGAGCUGGUCAGUGUGUUUUUGAAGUGGGACAAGGGUCCGCGCCUCCUCCUCCCAUUAUUGCUGAUCUUCCACCUCCCGAGACAGCCGACCCUUCUCCUGCUGAGGCCGUUGACCUUCCUAAUCUUUAGGUCUAUUUUUGUAAAAAAACUCUAGUUUUUCAUUUGCUUUGUAAACAUUUGAACGUUUAUAAAAAUUUUUGAAUGCUCUCUAUUGGCUUUCUUGUCUGGUUUUGCCUGUUGGUUCUUUGGUAAAUCGAACAGGAAUAGGCAUCCGUUUGCCUUAGUAAAAUUUUCGAAGCUUUAGCUGCUGGUCUUUCGUUGACCGAGCAGAAACAGGCACUUUAUUGCUUUAGUAGGAUUUUUUGCAGAAUUAGUUGCUGGUCUUUCGUGGGCCGAGCAGAAGUAGGCACUUACUUGCCUUAGUAAAAACUUUGUAAAUUUAGCUGCUGGUCUUUCGUUGACCGAACAGAAGUAGACACUUACUUGCCUUAGUAGAAACUUCGUAAAUUUAGUUGCUGGUCUUUCGUUGACCGAGCAGAAGUAGGCACUUACUUGCCUUAGUAGAAACUUCGUAAAUUUAGCUGUUGGUCUUUCGUUGACCGAGCAGAAGUAGGCACUUACUUGCCUUAGUAGAAACUUCGUAAAUUUAGCUGUUGGUCUUUCGUUGACCGAGCAGAAGUAGGCACUUACUUGCCUUAGUAGAAACUUCGUAAAUUUAGCUGCUGGUCUUUCGUUGACCGAGUAGAAGUAGGCACUCACUUGCCUUAGUAGAAACUUCGUAAAUUUAGCUGCUGGUCUUUCGUUGACCGAGCAGAAGUAGGCACUUACUUGCCUUAGUAGAAACUUCGUAAAUUUAGCUGCUGGUCUUUCGUUGACCGAGCAGAAGUAGGCACUUACUUGCCUUAGUAGAAACUUCGUAAAUUUAGUUGCUGGUCUUUCGUUGACCGAGCAGAAGUAGGCACUUACUUGCCUUAGUAGAAACUUCGUAAAUUUAGUUGCUGGUCUUUCGUUGACCGAGCAGAAGUAGGCACUUACUUGCCUUAGUAGAAACUUCGUAAAUUUAGUUGCUGGUCUUUCGUUGACCGAGCAGAAGUAGGCACUUACUUGCCUUAGUAGAAACUUCGUAAAUCUGCUUACUGGAAAUAUUUCUUCAAGUGUUCGGCGUUCCACGACCUUUUCACGUCUCGUCCAUCCUGGUACGCUAACUUAUAAGCUCCCGGUCCAGUGGCUCGUAUCACCCUGUACGGACCUUCCCACUUUGGGCCAAGAGCGCCAUGGUUAGGAUUCCUGGUGUUCUGGUUCACCCUCCUAAGUACCCAAUCUCCUGCUCGGAACUGCCUUACGCGUACGUUCUUGUUGUAAUAACGCAUGACCCUUUGCUGACACUGGGCCACUUUCUGCGAGGACCCUUCCCUUUUCUCCUCAAGCAGGUCUAGGCUUAAGCAGAUCUGCUCGUUGUUUUGCUUCUCAAUGAAAUAUUCCGUUCGAUGUGUCCCCACUCCAAUUUUUGCUGGGACUACCGCCUCAUGACCAAAAGCUAAAGCGAACGGUGUUUCUCCUGUGGCGGUUUUGUGAGUUGUCCUGUAGGCCCACAGUACUCCUGGUAGCUCGUCAACCCAAGCUCCCUUCUUCUCUCCCAAUCUAGUCUUUAGGAGCUUCUUUAUCACCUUGUUGGCUGCUUCCACUUGUCCGUUUGCCUGGGGGUGUGCGGGGGUGCAGAACUUCAGGUCCACCCCCAGGUUUCGGCAAAAUUCCCUGAAGUUGCCGUUGUCAAAUUGCAUCUCAUUGUCUGUGAUGAUGGAGUAGGGGAUCCCAUAUCUGCAGAUGAUAUUCUUCCAAAUAAAAUCUGUUGUCUUCCUCUCCGUGAUCUGGCUGAGGACUCCUACUUCCACCCACUUGGUGAAGUAGUCUAUUGCCACAAUUGCAUGUGUCGCCGCUCCUCGUCCCUUAGGCAAUGGACCAAUCAAGUCGAUUCCCCAUUGAGCGAAAGGCCAUGGGGAUGUCAUAGCCGUCAGCUUUUCCGGGGGUUGUGCAGGAACCUCGGAGAAGCUUUGGCAUGUUUUACAAUUCUUUGCCAUCCUUUUGGCAUCCUGGUGCAUGGUUGGCCAGAAGUAUCCUUGCCGGAGUGCCUUGAAGGCUAAAGUUCUUGCUCCCGAGUGAUUGCCGCAUAUUCCCUCAUGAAUCUCUCUCAGCACAUAAUCCGCCUCCUCAUCAUCCAAACAUCUCAAAAGGGGCAAGGUGAACCCUCGGCGGUACAGCACUCCAUCCAGUAGCGUAUACCUUGCUGCUCGGCAUUUUAAUUUUCUUGCUUGCCUUUUGUCCUCUGGUAAAACUCCAUCGCGGACAUAUGCGCGAAUCGGGUCCAUCCAGGAUUCUCCAAUACUUACUCUCAUCACCUCUGCUUCUUCCUCAAUACUUGGUGAGGUCCUUACCUCUAGUGGAACUGACUUCGGUAACUUUGGAUCUGCAGUGGCUGCCAUCCUAGCCAGCAUAUCUGCUCGAAAAUUCUCAUUCCGGGAUAUCUGCUUUACCUCCACUGUUUGGAAAAGCCCAACCAUCUGCUUCGCCUUCUUUAAAUAAAGACCCAUCUUCUCUCCCCUUGCUUGGAACUGAUCAUUGAGCUGAUUACACACCAGUUGGGAAUCUGCUCGAAUUUCUACCUUUUCUGCUCUUAGAGCGUGUGCAAGUCCGAGCCCGGUGAUAAAGGCCUCAUAUUCAGCUUGGUUGUUUGUGAGCUGAAAGUCAAACUUCACUGCAUACGUUAUUUCGGUUCCUUCUGGGCUCCGUAUUACAAUUCCUGCUCCGGAUCCUUGCUCACUACAUGAUCCGUCAACCAUUACCAACCACAACCCCUCUGGUUUCUCCUGCUCUGCUGCUUGCUCCUCCCGAAUUUCUUUCCCUGUAUCGGCUCGGUCAACCAUAAAUUCAGCCAGAGCUUGGGCCUUGAUUGCUCCUCGGGGCCUGUAAGAGAGGUCGAAUUCACUUAGCUCUACGAACCAUUUUACUAGUCGACCCGAUGCAUCUGGUUUUUGAAGUGUUUGCCGAAGGGGCUGGUCGAUUAUAACUAUAACCUGAUGGGCCUGAAAAUAUGGUCGGAGUUUUCGUUCUGCCGUUAUUAGAGCUAGCGCCCACUUCUCCAUCAAUGGGUAUCUAGUUUCCGCCUCUACCAAGGCCUUGCUCGUGUAGUAUACCGGGUGUUGCUUUUCUUCCUCUUCCCUGACCAAUACCGAGCUGGUAGCCCAUUUAGAGAUUGCUAAGUACAACAACAGCUGGUCACCCUCUCUCGGAGUCGAUAACAAUGGGGCCCGGGUUAGGUAUUCCUUCAACUGCCCAAAUGCUUCCUCACAUUCCGAUGUCCACUCCAUCUUUUUCCCUUUCUUUAUGGUUUGGAAGAAAGGGUGGCAUUUAUCUGUGGCCCGCGAGAUGAAUCGGUUUAAUGCUGCCAACUUCCCUGUAAGGCUUUGCACCUCCUUAACUGUUCGUGGGGACCUCAUUUCUGUCACCGCCCGUAUUUUCUCCGGGUUGGCCUCGAUCCCUCGGUGGCUUACCAGGAAUCCUAAAAAUUUGCCCGAGCUGACCCCAAAUGCACAUUUCUCCGGGUUUAGUUUCAUCUCAUACUUCCUCAGUAAUUCAAAGGUCUCUUCUAGAUGCUUCACAUGAUCCGUCGGCUCUUUGGACUUUGUAAUCAUAUCAUCCACAUAUACCUCCAUAGUGUAUCCAAUCAACGGUUUGAAGAUCUUGUUUACCAACCUUUGAUAGGUGGCCCCUGCAUUUUUUAGGCCGAAAGGCAUUACCCUGUAACAAAACAAACCCAUGUUAGUUAUAAAGGCAGUGCUUUCCUCAUCCUGCUCGUCCAUGGGUAUCUGGUUGUAUCCAGAAAAGGCAUCCAUGAAACUGAGCAGACUGUGACCUGCUGUUGAGUCCACCAGCUGAUCUAUUUUGGGUAGGGGAAAACUGUCAUUUGGGCAUGCCUUAUUGAGGUCCGUGAAGUCCAAACACAUUCUCCACUUCCCGUUGGCCUUUUUUACCAGGACUACAUUUGAAAUCCAUUCUGGGUACUUGGCUUCCCUUAUAAAUCCUGCUUUCAACAGCGCGAUCAAUUCCGGGCAUAUCUUCAUGAGACCAGGCGAAUAUAUCCGCAUGAGACUGUAGGCAAUUUACCAGCUCGCCUUUUACUGCCCCAAUCAAUCCUGACCCGAUCUUCACUACUCUGCUCGAGUUGCUUUUGCUAACCGCAACUUCCUCCAGUUUCUCAACAGGCUCUUGGCGGCCCUUUUUAGACUCUCCUCGAUUAUCUAGAGAAGUAACCUGUAGUGUCUCCUUGGCCGCCGUAGCAUAACAACUCCUUGCCAUCCUCUGGUCGCCUUUUACUACGCCAACCACCCCAUUUAUUCUGUAUUUCAGCGCCAAGUAAUGCGUGGAUACAACACAUUGGCUUAUCCUCAUGAAUGGUCUCCCCAGUAUCAUCUGGUAAGGGCUUCUUUCCUCUACCACGACGAAGUCCAGCAUCAUCGUUCGUUCAAACGGCUUUGUCCCCACAGUAAUCGGGAGUUCAAUGAUCCCCAAGGGAGUUAACCGUCCCCCUCCAAAUCCUUUUAAGGAAGUAUUUGUCCGCUCCAGUUUUAAAUCUGAAAUCCCCAUAUCAUCUAAGGCUGACUUAAAUAGAAUGUCAACUGAACUGCCCGUGUCCACCAGUAUUCGCCGCAAUUCUGUGCUAGCCACCGAUGCUUUAAUCACUAGUGCAUCCUCAUGAGGAUAUAAAAUACCCUCUUCAUCCUCAUCUGUCCACAUAAUGGGAACUUGUCGCACUUUUGCCUUCUUGGUUGCUGGCAAAUUGAAAAGCACUUCUUUGCUAGUCAGGGCGUAUCUCCCAUAGUUCUUCCGUGCCCUGUUCGAAUCUCCGGCCAAUGUUGGCCCUCCUGCUAUCACACGGAUAGUCGGCUGUUCACGUUCCAGAUCCCUCUCAACUCCCUCAUCCCGCGUAUACUGUGAUUCAACGACGGGGAACUGCUGUACGGCCAAGGCAUCCAAGUAUUGGUUCCUCACCAAAUCCUCCACCUGAGUUUUUAGGUCACGACACUGGUUUAUUGUGUGACCAUGAGUAUCAUGGAAUUUGCAGAAUCUGCUCUUAUUUGUGAGCAGGUUUUAUUACGGGGGCAGGAGGGUAUAGCAGGCUUCGCCCUUCGAUCCUCUCAUAUAACUCCUCCAUAGAGACUUUUAAUGGGGUGUAUUAUCUAUACGUCGAGCUCUGGUCAAGCAGUUGGACUGCUCGGCUAUCCUGGGUAUCGUCCCGAGCUGGCAUUGAUGGUAGCUGACUGGGUCGUCCAGCUCUGGAGUUGACUACAUGUAGUGCCCUGGGAGCGUUGUGAUAAGGGUGGGCAGCCAACUGCCGGAAUUCUCGUUGACGCUCCGAGAGUAGGGGGCGUGGAGGCUGAGCCCGGCUGUGUUGGAACUGUUGUGGUCUCUGAGCUAUGGGGUAAGGGCGGGACCGAGCUGAUAUCCCGCCCAUUAUUGAGGAUUCCCCAACUCGCUUUCCCGACCCGCUCCCGUUCGGGGUUCUCCUUUCUUUUCGUCUCAGCUCCUCCAACUGUUCACUUUUUAUCCUCGCCGAUUUCUCCUAUUCUAUUUCUAUAUCACUCUUCGCCUGCUCAUACCCCGCCGAAUAAUUCUGCACUAGGGGGCUUCUCAAGUUGUACCACAGUCGGCUUAUCCUCACGCCCUCUUUUAAUCCCCUCAAUGCCUGCGGGUGAUUGAAAGCUCCCAGAUCAAGCACUGCCCGGUGGUAUCAUUUUACAAAUUCCCGAAAGGAUUCAUGUUCCUCCUGUUUUAUCCCUAUCAGCUCCAUCAUAUCGUCCUUUGGGGCUACUGCUCCUCGAAACUGCUCGACCAACUCUUGGCACAUCUGCUCGUAUCCUUUUAUACUUCCUCGUGGCAGCUUGCGGUACCACUCUCGGGCUCGUCCCUCUAAUGUCAAUGGGAAUACCCUGCACCUCUAAGCUAAUGUUCUAGUGUCAACGGGAACGCCCUGCACCUCUGAGCUGAUGUCAGCCCCUGCACACCCGUCAUAUCGUUGAAACGCUCAAUGUGCACCAGUGGGUCACUUCGCCCGGAGUAUUUGAGGUCGGGGAAGCGGAAAUCUCUUGGGAUUAUGGUACCCAUGAUCUCGAUUGAUAACGGAGAUUCUUCAUCUAACAUUAUCCUCCAGCUUGGGGGCUUUCUCUUGCCCUGUAUCUCCUCUAUCACCUGCGCCAACCUGCGCACCUCCCCCUCCAAUUCUAUAGCACGGUUAGGAUCACGCGCAGCUAUCUGGUCUCGCUCCUGCUCGGCGUUCUGCAACCGCUGUCGGAGCUCUCCUUCAUCAACACUGGCACCUCGGCCAGUAGUUUCCAGUACCCGUCCGGGGUGAGUUUGGUCUCUCCCUUCAUCCCCGUGUUCUCCUGGGAUUCGUUCAAACGGCUUUGUCCCCACAGUAAUCGGGAGUUCAAUAAUCCCCAAGGGAGUUAACCGUCCCCCUCCAAAUCCUUUUAAGAUGGCUCCUGCAUUUUUUAGGCCGAAAGGCAUUACCCUGUAACAAAACAAACCCAUGUUAGUUAUAAAGGCAGUGCUUUCCUCAUCCUGCUCGUCCAUGGGUAUCUGGUUGUAUCCAGAAAAUGCAUCCAUGAAAUUGAGCAGACUGUGACCUGCUGUUGAGUCUACCAGCUGAUCUAUUUUGGGUAGGGGAAAACUGUCCUUUGGGCAUGCCUUAUUGAGGUCCGUGAAGUCCACACACAUUCUCCACUUCCCGUUGGCCUUUUUUACCAGGACUACAUUUGAAAUCCAUUCUGGGUACUUGGCUUCCCUUAUAAAUCCUGCUUUCAACAACUUCUCCACCUCGGCAUUUAUGGCCUCGUACCUUUCCUGGUUGCAGCAUCUCCUCUUCUGUCUCACCGGCCUUGCCCCCUUCUUGAUUGCCAACUUGUGGCAAGCUACCCCGCGAUCAAUUCCGGGCAUAUCUUCAUGAGACCAGGCGAAUAUAUCCGCAUGAGACUGUAGGCAAUUUACCAGCUUACUUUUUACUGCCCCAAUCAAUCCUGACCCGAUCUUCACUACUCUGCUCGGGUUGCUUUUGCUUACCGCAACUUCCUCCAGUUUCUCAACAGGCUCUUGGCGGCCCUUUUUAGACUCUCCUCGAUUAUCUAGAGAAGUAACCUAUAGUGUCUCCUUGGCCGCCGUAGCAUUAACAACUCCUUGCCAUCCUCUGGUCGCCUUUUACUACGCCAACCACCCCAUUUAUUCUGUAUUUCAGCGCCAAGUAAUGCGUGGAUACAACGCAUUGGCUUAUCCUCAUGAAUGGUCUUCCCAGUAUCAUCUGGUAAGGGCUUCUUUCCUCUACCACGACGAAGUCCAGCAUCAUCGUUCGUUCAAACGGCUUUGUCCCCACAGUAAUCGGGAGUUCAAUGAUCCCCAAGGGAGUUAACCGUCCCCCUCCAAAUCCUUUUAAGGAAGUAUUUGUCCGCUCCAGCUUUAAAUCUGAAAUCCCCAUAUCAUCUAGGGCUGACUUAAAUAGAAUGUCAACUGAACUGCCCGUGUCCACCAGUAUUCGCCGCAAUUCUGUGCUAGCCACCGAUGCUUUAAUCACUAGUGCAUCCUCAUGAGGAUAUAAAAUACCCUCUUCAUCCUCAGUACGGUACAGCAGCACCGGCCUUGCCCCCUUCUUGAUUGCCAACUUGUGGCAAGCUACCCCGCGAUCAAUUUCGGGCAUAUCUUCAUGAGACCAGGCGAAUAUAUCCGCAUGAGACUGUAGGCAAUUUACCAGCUUACUUUUUACUGCCCCAAUCAAUCCUGACCCGAUCUUCACUACUCUGCUCGGGUUGUUUUUGCUUACCGCAACUUCCUCCAGUUUCUCAACAGGCUCUUUGCGGCCCUUUUUAGACUCUCCUCGAUUAUCUAGGGAGGUAACCUGCAGUGUCUCCUUGGCCGCUGUAGCAUAACAACUCCUUGCCAUCCUCUGGUCGCCUUUUACUACGCCGACCACCCCAUUUACUCUGUAUUUCAGUGCCAAGUAAUGCGUGGAUACAACGCAUUGGCUUAUACUCAUGAAUGGUCUCCCCAGUAUCAUCUGGUAAGGGCUUCUUUCCUCUACCACGACAAAAUCCAGCAUUAUUAUUCUUUCAAAUGGCUUUGUCCCCAUAGUAAUUGGGAGUUCGAUGAUCCCCAUGGGUGUUAACCGUCCCCCUCCAAAUCUCUUUAAGGAUGUAUUUGUCCGCUCCAAUUUCAAGUCUGCGAUCCCCAUAUCAUCUAGAGCCGACUUAAACAGGAUGUCAACCGAGCUGCCUGUGUCUACUAGUAUUCGUCGCAAUUCUGUACCGACCACCAUUGCCUUGAUCACCAAUGCAUCCUCAUGCGGAUAUAAGAUACCCUCUUCAUCGUCAUCUGUCCACAUAAUGGGAACUUGCCGCACUUUUGCCUUCUUGGUUGCCGGCAAAUUGAAAAGCACUUCUUUGCUAGUCAGGGCAUAUCUCCCAUAGUUCUUCCACUCCGUCUACAUACUCAUCCAAGUAUCGGUUCCUUACUAAAUCUUCCACCUGAAUCUUCAGGUCACGACAUUGGCUGAUUGUGUGACCGUGAGUGUCGUGGAAUUUGCAGAAUCUGUUCUUAUCCCGUCGAUGAGCCGGUUUUGUUAUUGGGGCUGGAGGGUAUAGCAGGCCUCUUCCCUCGAUCCUCUCAUAUAGUUCCUCCAUGGAGAUCUUUAAUGGAGUGUAUUGUCUAUAGGCCGAGCUCUGAUCUAUUAGCUGAACUGAUCGGCUAUCAUGAAUGUCACCUCGGGCUGUCCCAGUUGCUAAUUGAUCUAGUCGACUAGCCCUGGAAUCGGUUGCAUGUAAUGUUCUAGGAGUGUUGUGAUAGGGGUGGGCAGCCAUCUGCCGGAAUUCUCGCUGCCGCUCUGGGAUUGGGGGGCGUGGAGGUUGAGCCCGGCUGUGUUGGAACUGUUGUGCUCUCGGAGUUAUGGGGUAAGGGCGGGACCGAGCUGAUGUUCCGCCAUCCCUGAAGAUUCUCCAGUUCGCUUUCCCAACCCGCUCCCUUUCGGGGCUCUCCGCUCCUUCCGCCUCAGCUCUUCUAGCUGUUCACUUUUUAGUCUUGCUGAUUUCUCCUCUUCAAUUUCAAUAUCUCGCUUUGCCUGCUCAUAUCCUGCUGAAUAAUUCUGCACCAGGGGGCUUCUCAGGUUAUACCAUAGCCGGCCUAUCCUCACACCCUCCUUUAAACCCCUCAACGCCUGCGGGUGAUUGAAAGCUCCCAAAUCAAGUACGGCUCGGUGGUAUCGCUUUACAAAAUCCCGUAGGGACUCGUGCUCCUCCUGUUUCAUCCCCAUCAGUUCCAUCAUGUCGUCCUCUGGGGCUACUGCCCCUCGGAACUGCUCGGCCAACUCCUGGCACAUCUGCUCAUACCCCUUUAUACUUCCUCGGGGCAGCUUGCGGUACCAUUCUCGAGCUCCUCCCUCUAGUGUCAACGGGAACGCCCUGCACCUUUGAGCUGAUGUCAGCCCCUGCACACCCGUCAUAUCGUUGAAACGCUCAAUGUGCACCAGUGGGUCACUUCGCCAGGAGUAUUUGAGGUCGGGGAAGCGGAAAUCUCUAGGGAUUAUGGUACCCAUGAUCUCGAUUGAUAACGGAGAUUCUUCAUCUAACAUUAUCCUCCAGCUCGGGGGCUUUCUCUUGCCCUGUAUCUCCUCUAUCACCUGCGCCAACCUGCGCACCUCCCCCUCCAAUUCUAUAGCACGGUUAGGAUCACGCGCAGCUAUCUGGUCUCGCUCCUGCUCGGCGUUCUGCAACCGCUGUCUGAGCUCUCCUUCAUCAACACUGGCACCUCGGCCAGUAGUUUCCAGUACCCGUCCGGGGCGAUGUUGGUCUCUCCCUUCAUCCCCGUGUUCUCCUGGGACCCGACCAGUACUUCUGUGGGGAUGCACCCCAUUAGGUUGGUCUGCGGGCGGAGGAAUGUCCUCGACUCUACGUCUCCGGAGGCUGGGUUCUGCUCCGACUUCAUCUCUUCCCACGGGGGUUUCACAAUCCCUUCUCCGCUCAUCCCUCAGCUCAAACAAUAUGGACGCGAGAGUCUCCAUUUGUUUCUCCAUCCGCUCCAGUCUGUCUUGCAUCAUCCUCUCUCGGGCUUCAUUCGCAAUUUCCCGAAGAGUGAUUGUCUCCCCAGCCUCGUUAUCCUCCCUCAAAGCGUCCUUCCUCGUCACAUCCAUGUCUAACCGUUCGCUAUUUCUCCGGUACUUCCUAAUUCGGUGGUAGCUUUUUAUCCAGCUCCCCACAGACGGCGCCAAAAUGUUGAUGCUUAAAUCUGCUCGCAUUUGGACCGACCAUAUUCUUUCACCAACGUUUGUGUUAUCUACUGUUGCUCGUUCACUGGGAUUGGAAUCGUACUCCUUUCUCACAAUAGACCUGCGCUCACCAAAAAUGGAUCAGAGAUGCCGGUGGUUUUGCCGGCGUAAACCCUCCGAUGCCUAAGUUAGCUCAAGGUGUUUACGGGAAAACAGUGAAAUUUAGAUCUCAAAAUGGUUUCUAAAUUAUUCGGAGUUUAUAAGAAAAUAGCCUGGUUUCAAUUUGGCAGCGUUUUCCCUCUCUCAAUUUUUUCUAUCCCUUUCUUCAUCGAUUUCUCCUUCUUUUAUAGCCGCUGUCCCCACGUUCCCGCUUGCCCUUCAUCCCACCUUUUUCGGGUAGUGGUAGCCCCUCAUGGGGCUCUGACCGUUGCAUUGUGGCAAACGUGGGAUCUUAUGUGUCCUUCAACGGUUCCGGGAAAGGCGCAGCAGCCGCGAUUCUGUGGGAUCGUGUUCCCGCUUUUCUGGGGAGUGUGUAUCGGUUCGGUAUUAACAUCUGGUCGGUAUACGCUCCCGUGCUCUGCUCGUACCCACAGCUGAGGUGAUCCAUGCCGGGGUGGAGGUAGUAGCAUGGUCGACCUGGUGCUUUUGUUAACUCAACAAUCGUAUUAGAGCAUCUUGACAUCAUGUAAAGAGUGAAAUCUCCUCUGUAAUUCUGGAGUAAUUUUUGCCACUAAUAAUAGAGAAUGAUGCCUGUUCUUGUUCAUUGAAAUUAUGUGUUGUGUACGAAUCAGUCUAGCUUGCUGUUACCCCCAAGUCUUGGUGUCUUUUACUCACUGAAUCAACUUUGGAGGAAAUUUGUUCGAGUAUUCAUGGAUGUUCAACUCAUCUUGAUUAAGUUUUGGUGUCAUGUCUCCUGGACAUCACUUAUAGCCUAAUUUUUUCCAAGUCUUGUCUGGUCGGCAUUAUUUUGAUAAAAAUUUAUGAAGCCAAGUCUGAGUGUUGUGAUUCGUCCAUACCUCAUUUGUGGAAAUUGUUAGAGUUUUAUUAGUAUUUCAAAAUAUUAACGUCGCACAAUGGAAGAAAAUGAGAACUUUACACUUGAUUUGAAUGUAUAAAAUUAAAUAUGUGCAUAGGACGAUAAGUGUUAAAACGAGAUUGACAAUAAUGAUUAAAUUGUAAUAGAACCUUCUAGAUGCAGAAAUCAAAAUCCCAUGCAUAUAAGUUCUCGAUAGAGCUGAGUUUAAGGGGUCUCUCUCUCUCUUUUAUUUAAAGUAAUUAAGAGGCAAUAUAAUUAAAAUUUUAAUAACUUUGUAAGAUAAUUUGGUACAUCAAUUUUUGGCCUGGUAAUUUAACAAGACUGCAUUAGCAAUUAUGAGGUAAUUAAAUAGCAAUAAUAUAUCCAUCAUUCUUCCUUUGUUGGAGCUUUUUAUGAGAAACAUUUUCUUUUAAAGAACAGCUAUAUUUUUCAACAUUCCACACGAUUAGGUAUGAAUUUGAUAAAAAUAAAAAAUAAUCUUCAAGUAACAUGAACUUAAUAAGUAGUUUUCUUUUGUGAAAUCAAAAUAGGUAUGAAUUUGACUAAAAUCAAAUAAAUCUAUAAGUUGUUCUAAUAAUUAAGUUAAAAAAUAAAAUUGUCAAUUUUUGUUUUGUCUUAAGUUGAAAAAAAUCUAAUUAGAACAUCUGACAAAGAUAUAUUUUAGUGUUUAGUAAAAAACUAACAAUGCUAAUUAACUUAUAGCCAGCACAGACGUACGUAUAAUGCAAAUAUUGGACGACUAUGCAGGUGCCUAUUUUGACGGCCAUAUUAUAUCAUGCUGAUGAUCAAUAAUUCAACAUUGCACAACGGAUAAUGCUUUAUAACUUCUCUGUUCCUGAAAGUGGCAUUGUCAAAAAGAGAAAUCUCUUCUUUUUGCGUUUUGAUGAGCUAGAGAGCUAUAGCUUUUAGCCUGAGUUGUUACUUGUUAUGGAGAGUGGUGACAUUUACAGAACAACUACUAGUUUACGUAGAAGUGCUUCCAGAUGGGGAAGCGCUUCUGAGGGUGCAUUUUCGAGGUCUUCAAGAAGAGACGAAGUUGACGAUGAGGAGGCUCUAAAAUGGGCUGCUCUUGAGAAAUUGCCUACUUAUAAUCGUUUGAGGAAAGGAUUACUGAGCACUCCAAGUGGGCAUGGUAAUGAAAUUGACGUAGACAAUCUUGGACUGCAAGAAAGGCAACUGUUGAUUGAUAAGUUGGUCAAAGUCCCAGAUGUUGAUAAUGAGAAGUUCUUGUUGAAACUUAAGAACCGUUUUGAUAGGUAAAAUUUUGUUUUUUUCAACUUACAUAAUUAUCUUCUUCUUUUUUUAACCACUGGAGCAGCGAGACCAAAAGCUCAAUUUAGACUUUACCCACUUCUAUACUUUUUUUUGUUUUCAAAAAAAGAUGUAGAAAAACUUAGCUAGGGCCGAACAUGAUAGGAUGAAACUAUGUAGUCUGGUGAUGUUAACCUCACAAAAAUAAAUGAGACUCUAUCCUAAACGAGGUUCUUUCUUCAAAGAUCGAUCAAAUUCAUAUUCAAAUAACCAUAAAAUCAAGAUCUUGACCCUUUACUAUAAAUAUAAAAAUCAAUGGUAUAAGAAAUCUAGGGUUGACAGUACAUUCAAGAAAGAAAAGAAAGAUUGUGAGUGAUAAGUUAAGAAAGGCACAAGAUGAAAUAUUGAUAAGUUCUAAAAGUUCUUUGAAGAAGUAAAAAGAAAAGCUCUCGUUAUUAUUAUAAAAUCAAAUCUAAAAUUUUCAAUAGACAUGGGUUUAUAUAGCUGAAUCUAAAAUAAAAGAUCUUGUUGAUUCUAAAAUAAAAAAGAAAUAAAAGAUUCCAAAAUGAAAAGGAAAUAAAAGAUCUUGUUUUAAAAUAGAUUAAGAAACAAGUAUUGCGCUUGAUUUUUCUUUCUAAUUUGAUAAUGCCUUAUUUAUUUUUCAUGCAAAUCACUCUAAAUCAGAUGUAAAAGAUUGAAUAACAUUGACAAAGCAUUGACUACCUUGAAUACUCACUUCAAGCAAAUUAAUGUCUUGAACAAGACAUGAAUUUAAGAUGUGCUCAAAUAAUCCAUUUAAUACUUCUUUCAUUUUUUUAGUUCUUACCCUUUUCAUUGGACCUUCAUGGAUGCUCAAUGAAUUUUCUAAAGUUUUAACAACUUGGUUCUCAACACUUGGAGUGUAGCUUCCUGAGUGAAAAUAAUUUAAAAAAAAAAAAGAUUUUGACUCUAAGUUGUUUAGUAUUUUUUAAUACGAAUUGUAUAUUUUUGGUCCCCUCAAAUUCACAUGUUUUGUGUUAUACUCUUCCAAUUUUUUUUCUUCUUUCAUUAUUUUGUCUUUUGUUGAAAUAAAACCAUGGUUAGGCUACAAAGUAAAGGUGAGGAAAACCCUUAGUAAAUGAAAUUCUUAUUAUUUAUGAGAUUAAUAAAAUUAAAAUUAAAGGGUGGGACUACUUGAAUUUAAAUUUUUGACACACCUUUUUAAUCAUUAAUUUUCAAAUAAUCAAUGGUAGAUAUUGAAAGUUAAGUUAGCAUUUAAUGAUGGCUAGAUAAAUUUAAAAAUAUACAAAUUAUAUCUUUAUUAGAAAAAAAAAAGAAAAAAUAUUGUCAAGGUCCAAAAGAGUAUUAUUUGUUUUGUAUAUUGGCUUAAUAAUACAAUUCCCUUCUCACCUGCCUAAGCAUUACACUUGUGUAUCUACCCUAAUGAUAUUAUUAUUCUGUACAAUUAGUUAAAAGGAUUCGGAAAAAAUAUGCAUUUCCUCUGGAAUAAAAAAAAGGUAAUCUAUUUUUAUUUAGUAUUUUAACUUAAUUUUUUUGAGUCAUUGAUACUUAAUGAACGUUUCUUUCUUUUUUUUUUAACGAGAAUCCAAGCCAACAGAAUUCUGGAAUGAAGACAUAUUAAUUAAUUCAAUUUCGGAACUCCAAGUCUCUGAUGCCAUCCAAAAUCCUUUUAUAUUAUUACCAAAAUACACAAUGUUACAGUCAAUUUUUUAAAUUAUUUUUCUUAAAAGCAUGUCAAUACAAUAUGUUACAGAUUUGCCCCUUCUGUUGAAAAUUUUGAAAGUUGCCAUAGUAUGCAUAAUCAGAACAUGAUUUUUAAUAUUUCUGUUUUCUUUAUAACCAAACCUCAUUGAAAAAACUAUAAUAUUUUAUAGUACUAUUAAAAUAACGUUCUGUUAAAAAUAUUAAUUCUUAUUUUUCAUAAAAAGUAUGUAUAUUUUUUUAAUGAUUAAUUUUCAUGGUUUCCCAUUACUUAUUAUUUUUAAUUUUUUUUUGUCAUAAGAAAAAUGUUAGAAAGGAACUGUAAGCUGAACUUAGGGUGUUAGAAUUCACAAUAAACCCAGGCGGGAUUAUUGUGUUAAUUGAUUAUUUUUAAUUAAUCCGCUUCGGCAUUACCUCUGUUUCUAUAAGCGCUGUGUUAACGUGUGUGUAUAUGUUUUCUUUUAUGUUUAAAUAUUAGCGUUUAAUGUCAAACUGAACAGUUAGCUCCAGUAUCUUUUAAACUACAAUUGUUGAGCAAAAGAAAUUAUAAUUAAAAAAAAAUUAAUAAUAUAUAAUAAAUUUAAAAUUAAAUAAUAAUUUUAACAAAAUUAUUAAACAUACAAUAAAUUUUUGAUUAUACAAAUAAAAAAUUAUAUUAACGUAACUUCUAAGUUAUAAAAAGUAAUAUUUAUCAAAUAUUUUAAUAUUAUAUUUUAAAAGAUACAGAUGUAUAACUUCAAUCACAAACGCACCUUUAAUACCAUACUUUGUGAAAACAGAUAAUCAUAUUAUGCAUUCCUUCUCAAACUUUUAUUUGGGGGGAAAUUUUAUCAGUUGUAUUCUACUUUCUGAAGUUGUUAUUUUCUUGUAUGUCGUACUUUGAUUUUAUCAGAGUUGGAAUUAGCAUGCCCGAAAUUGAAGUUCGAUUUGAGCAUUUGAAAGUUGAAGCAGAAGCAUAUGUAGGAAGUAGAGCCUUGCCAACAUUCAUUAACUUCUGUGCCAACAUAAUUGAGGUACCCACCUGCAUAUAUAAUUUAUUAAAUGUUUUCAAAACUGGUGAAUGAUCAAGUAAUUUUGUUAAUUUCUCUUCUAACAAUCUGUGAAUUUUUUUAAGGGGCUUUUGAACUGUCUUAACAUUCUUUCAAGUAGAAAGAAAAAUAUAACAAUUCUCAAGGGUGUCAGUGGAAUUAUUAGACCUGGCAGGUGAGAACUUAAUUGAAUAAUACUACUGUUUUUGUUGUGCCCAUGUCUUUUGUUACAAAUUUAGAAUAUUUGGGCAGUCCUUAAUUUCACAUUGUAUUCAUGUCUUUUGCUGCAGAAUGACAUUGCUUUUGGGUCCUCCAGCUUCGGGAAAGACUACACUUUUGUUGGCCUUGGCUGGGAAGCUUGAUUCUAGCCUCAAGGUGAUUGUUUUAUAUUGUUAAAAGCACUAAUUAUUCUUGAAGAAUUUGGCAUUGACCAUUGAGAGUUCACACUUUGCUUUAAUCUCUAAUUUGGUGAAUGAAAACGUCUCUAUGUAGCUUUAUGGUAGGGUGACAUAUAAUGGCCACAACAUGGAUGAAUUUGUACCUCAGAGAACAGCUGCUUAUAUCAGUCAACAUGAUGUUCAUAUCGGCGAAAUGACCGUGAGGGAAACCUUGGCUUUCUCUGCUAGAUGCCAGGGAGUUGGAUCCCGUUAUGGUUGGUUUGAUCGUUUUCCUAUUUCUUUUUUUUUUUUUUCCUCUCUUUGAUUGUAAUAGUUAUUUCUUUUGGAAAAUGCAGAAAUGCUAACCGAGUUGGCCAGACGAGAGAAGGCAGCAGGUAUUAAGCCUGAUCCUGAUCUUGACGUCUUCAUGAAGGUGAGAAGCUGAAGCCAUUUAUUAAAAAUGAUAAACAGUUGCAAAAAACUAUACAUAAAAUGGCUAUAAACAUCAAUGUCAAACACUUGAGUCAUUUACUUGAAGUUGGCCUUUUUAUCUUGUGUUCUUUGGUUAAUACAAGUAGAUAUCUGAUAAUCAUGGAGUUACACCCAGUACGAUUGAGCUUCUGAUUAUCAUCGAUUCACUGUCAAUUCUCAUGUAACAGGCUGCAGCAACAGAAGGCCAAGAAGCCAGUGUGGUCACUGAUUAUAUUCUAAAGGUUAGAUCAUCGUGAAAAGCUCUAAACUUAUGAUUUACUGUUGAGAACAUGUAAUUUCACUACUUUGAUGAAAUUUCAUCAUAAAUUUACAGAUUCUAGGCCUGGAUGUCUGUGCUGAUACCAUGGUAGGUGAUGAAAUGAUAAGAGGCAUAUCAGGAGGACAACGGAAGCGUGUUACAACAGGUAAAUUUCAAAACUCAUCAGUCCAUAUCUAUUACGCAGAGAAAUUAAUUCAAGCAUAUGAUAAUUAAAUGAUUGAAUUAUAGGUGAAAUGCUGGUUGGACCAGCACAAGCAUUCUUCAUGGAUGAGAUAUCUACGGGUUUGGACAGCUCUACAACUUUCCAAAUUGUGAAUUCUCUUAGGCAAUUCAUUCACAUCCUUAGGGGAACCACUCUGAUCUCUCUUCUACAGCCAGCACCAGAAGCAUAUGAUCUAUUUGAUGACAUUAUCUUAAUAUCUGAUGGCCAGAUUGUGUAUCAGGGUCCCCGGGAACACGUACUGGAGUUUUUUGAAUUCAUGGGCUUCAAAUGUCCGGAAAGAAAAGGUGUUGCUGACUUCUUGCAAGAAGUAUGUCCUUAUUGGGCUCUUUUUAUGAUUUUUCAAAAACAUAUAUGAGUCCCCCCCAACCUGAAAGAUGAUCUUUGCUUCUCAAAUUUUUAAAUAAAACCAUGAAAGAAAUUAUAGGACUAAGAUGAGAAACUUCUCAUUGAAUCUCCAUGAAAAAUGAAAAUGUUGCAGGUGACAUCAAGGAAAGAUCAGGAGCAGUAUUGGGCAAAUAAAGAGGAACCUUACAGGUUUGUCACAGUCAAGGAAUUUGCUGAUGCAUUCCAAUCAUUCAGUGUGGGACAGAUACUUGGUGAUGAGCUUGGAAUUCCAUUUGAUAAGACAAAGAGCCACCCAGCUGCUUUGACAACCAAAAAAUAUGGUGUUGGCAAAAAGGAGUUGUUGAAAGCUUGCAACUCAAGAGAACUUUUGCUGAUGAAGAGGAACUCAUUUGUCUAUUUCUUCAAGCUCUUCCAAGUAAUUACUUAGUUAAUCUUGAAAUUUUCAAAUCUUUUUCUUUGAAGUGAUAAUGAUUUACUAUUUUUUUUUUUCCUGUACUAGCUUACUACUAUAGCACUGGUUACUAUGACACUCUUCUUCAGAACAAAGAUGCACCAAGAUUCAGUAACUGAUGGAGUAAUUUAUGCUGGUGCAACAUUCUUCAUUAUCAUUAUGAUCAUGUUCAAUGGAAUGGCAGAGAUUUCUAUGACCAUUGCAAAGCUUCCCAUUUUCUACAAGCAAAGAGACCUCCAAUUCUAUCCUUCAUGGGCAUAUGCUUUUCCCACAUGGAUCCCAAAGAUCCCCAUCUCAUUUGUAGAGGUUGCUGUUUGGGUAUUCUCAACAUAUUAUGUAAUUGGCUUUGAUCCCAAUGCUGGAAGGUAAGACUAUAAAAGCAAAGUGCCAAACAUUAGAGAGACGAUUAAUCCCAAAUGUAUUAAAAACUAAUUAUCUUGCUGCAGGUUUUUCAGGCAGUACUUGCUGCUCUUGUUUGUUAACCAGAUGGCUUCUGCAUUGUUCCGGUUAAUUGCUGCAACAGGCAGGAACCUGGUUGUUGCUAAUACAUUUGGUGCAUUUGCAUUACUCCUGCUUUAUGCACUGGGUGGUUUUGUCCUAAACAGAGGUAUAACAAGUAAAUAAGUAGAAAAGAAAGAGCGUUAUCUUUUUUAAGUUUAACCUAAAUUCUUUCUUUUCUUGUUUAAUAAUGCAGAGGACAUAAAAUCAUGGUGGAUUUGGGCUUACUGGUGUUCACCUCUGAUGUAUGCUCAGAAUGCAAUAAUGGUUAAUGAGUUUCUUGGUCAUAGUUGGAGAAAGGUAAUGCCUUUGAAUUGGAUGAGCCUUGUAUUAAUGUAUUUACUGCUGAGGAAGGUGCUAAUGUCUGAACUUCUUUCGCAAAAAGAUUCUGCCAAACACAACCGAACCACUGGGAGUUGAAGUUCUGCAGUCUCGUGGGUUCUUCACUGAUUCUUAUUGGUAUUGGCUAGGAGUGGGAGCUUUGCUUGGUUUUAUAAUACUGUUCAACAUCGGAUUUGCUUUGGCUCUAAGUUUCCUCAACUGUCUGUAUUCUUACCUUCUUCAGUUUUGAUCUUUUUAAAGUGAGCCAUUCUCUGAUAUAGUUUUUUCAUAUGUGCAGCAUUUGAUAAGAAUCAGGCCGUUACACCUGAGGAAUCCCAAAGUAAUGAGCAAGAUAAACGACCUGGGGGCACUGUUCAGUUAUCAAACCGUGCAAGUAGUUCUAGUCAAAUAACACCCUCAGGUCAUAUGGCUCUUUUGAUACCUUUCAGAAAAGCAUGAUAUGUUUUGCGCACACCUUUUGAUCACAAUUGAAUAUUUUAAAAUGCAGGGAGUGCGGAUGACAUUAGGAGGAGAGAUUCCUCCUCCCAGUCCCUGGAAACAACAGCUGAGGCCAACCAACCUAAGAGAAGAGGAAUGGUUCUUCCAUUUGAACCGCAUUCCCUUACCUUUGAUGAUGUUACAUACUCUGUUGACAUGCCACAGGUAACAAUAAUUUGGAAACCAAGGGGUAUAUUUCAAAAGUUGGAUCAUAUCUUGAUUAAGUACUACAUUCUCCAGACAUGAUGGAUUGUUUUGAUUUAACGUUGCAGGAAAUGAAACUUCGAGGUGUUCUUGACGACAGAUUGGUACUUUUAAAUAGUGUUAGUGGUGCUUUCAGACCUGGUGUUCUGACAGCUCUGAUGGGUGUUACUGGUGCGGGUAAAACCACGUUGAUGGAUGUGUUGGCUGGUAGGAAAACUACCGGAUAUGUUACUGGGAACAUCACAAUAUCCGGGUACCCAAAGAAGCAAGAAACAUUUGCUCGUAUUUCUGGGUACUGUGAGCAAAACGAUAUCCAUUCUCCUCAAGUUACUGUAUAUGAGUCCUUACUCUACUCAGCCUGGCUUCGAUUAUCCCCUGAAGUUGAUUCCAAAACAAGAAAGGUUAGUACUGAAAUCCGAUGGUUUGCAAACUUUCUGUCAUUGUUUCUACUUGUAUCAUUGAGAGUUGAAACAGAUUAAGCCAAAUGAGUCAUCGUGAAGAGGAACAGCUUGAAUUCUUCAAUGCACUAUUGGACAUCCUUAUACUAAUUGUUUGUUUCACCUUUGGUUUUUAGAUGUUUAUUGAGGAAGUCAUGGAGCUUGUGGAGUUGAACCUAUUGAGACAAGCACUGGUUGGUUUACCCGGUGUAAAUGGUCUGUCAACAGAGCAGCGUAAGAGGCUUACAAUUGCCGUUGAGCUUGUGGCAAACCCCUCCAUCAUUUUUAUGGAUGAGCCAACAUCAGGACUAGAUGCAAGAGCAGCUGCAAUUGUUAUGAGAACUGUUAGGAACACAGUAGACACGGGAAGAACAGUAGUUUGCACCAUCCAUCAGCCAAGCAUAGACAUAUUUGAAGCUUUUGAUGAGGUAAGAAAUGUUAAUUCUAGAGUUAAUAUUUUUCUCUCGGUGAUUUAAUUAUGAUCAUUUAACUUGGCAUUGCAGCUGUUCCUGCUGAAGCGAGGGGGACAAGAAAUAUAUGUUGGGCCAUUGGGUCGCCAUUCUAGCCAUCUUAUCAAGUAUUUCGAAGUAUGAAACAUUUUCAUAUUGCAGACAAUAGAAACUUCAAAUAACAUUAUGAAGAGAGCUACUAGAAGAACAUAAUUAAUGCAAGUAUAUUUCUUUAUAUGAAGGGAAAUCCAGGAGUUAGUAAAAUAAAAAAUGGUUAUAAUCCAGCAACUUGGAUGUUAGAAGUUACCAGUCCAUCGCAAGAAACAGCUUUGGGGAUUGAUUUUGCUGAUAUUUACAAGAGUUCAGAACUCUACAGGUUGGUUCAUGAUGCGCUGCUAGAAUCCAAACAACAGGAUGGCAUGUCAGUGUUUUGUUUUUUUUCAAAAUUGUUGCUGAUGUAUUUCUUAUGCUUCAGGAGAAACAAAGCACUGAUCAAAGAUUUAAGCAAGGCUGCUCCUGGUUCAAAGGAUCUCCACUUCGAUACCCAAUACGCACAGUCAUUUUUCACCCAAUGUAUGGCUUGCUUAUGGAAACAACGUUGGUCAUACUGGCGUAAUCCACCAUACACUGCUGUUAGGUUUCUGUCUACGACCAUCACAUCCUUGACGUUUGGGGCAAUGUUCUGGGACAUGGGCACUAAAAUGUGAGUUACAAUUUGAAAUUGGAGCAGUAUAGUCAAUCUUGAAUUUACCUAUUAAUCUUAAAUUUGACAUUUCAAAUUGCAGGACAAAGCAACAAGAUCUCUUCAAUGCAAUGGGUUCCAUGUACACUGCUGUUCUUUUCAUUGGUAUCCUAAAUGCUGUGGCUGUACAGCCAGUAGUAGCUAUUGAAAGAACAGUUUUCUACAGAGAAAGAGCUGCUGGAAUGUAUUCGGGCAUGGCAUAUGCCUUCGCACAAGUAAACUGUCUGACAAAUGACAUACUGCAUAUGUAAAAUUAUUUCUGUUUCGUUACUGAAUGUUUUUGUAUUUUCUGCAGGUUCUAAUUGAGAUUCCUUAUAUAUUUGUUCAAGCUGUCACAUAUGGUCUUAUAGUCUAUGCAAUGAUGCAGUUUGAAUGGACUGCCGCAAAGUUCUUUUGGUAUUUAUUCUUCAUGUUCUUCACCUUCUUGUACUUCACCUUCUAUGGCAUGAUGGCCGUGUCUUUGACUCCAAACCACCACAUAUCUGCCAUUGUGUCGUUUGGAUUUUAUGCCUUGUGGAAUGUGUUUUCUGGGUUCAUAAUCCCAAGACCAGUAAGUAUCUGCAGUAUUUCCAUUACUGUUAUAAAUAAUGCAACAUUUCCAUAGCUUUUAGAAAAGACUGAUUGACUAAUUAUCUGCCUGAAUCUUUUUGACUUGCUCAAUAACAGAGGAUUCCAAUAUGGUGGAAAUGGUACUAUUGGGCAUGCCCAUUGGCUUGGACGUUGUACGGAUUGAUUGCAUCACAAUAUGGAGAUAAAGAAGACAGGCUCGAGUCAGGUGAAACAGUGAAGCAUUUUUUGCGAAGUUAUUUUGGUUUUAAACAUGAUUUUCUUGGAGUCGUUGCACUUGUUGUUGUUGCGUUUCCAAUGCUAUUUGCAUUCGUUUUUGGUCUAGGAAUUAAGUUCCUCAAUUUCCAGAGGCGAUAGUGUUGUGAUUUUUUUUUCCCCUCUUACACAAGUCUGUUCUAAAGUAUUACUCGAAACUAUUUCUUGCAAAUUUGUAAGUUUAGAAUUGCCUGAGCAAGAAUAUUUCUAACUUUCUGAAUUCAACGCUUUAGUAGAGUUUAAUGCCGUUAAUAAAUAUAUAAGAAAAAAAGGAGAUCGGCAAAUAGGUUUGGAUUUCAAUGAAGUUUAAAUAAGUCUAAAUGUAUAUAUUUGAAUGGUAUGUUUCAAUGUUAGACUAUUAAGUGCUAUUGUCUUUUUUUUUACAUAAUAAAAUUAUCUAAAAAAUAAUAUUUUGAUGUAUAUGCGUUAGUAUAUACUUGAAUUUUGUGCUUAUAAAUUUUUAGUUUAUAAGCUAAACACUUCAAAAGAUGCAAUUAAAUUGUUAGCAUAUCAAUUUUGAAUUUUGAUUAUGCUUACUUAAUAAUUUACUAGUUUUUUAAAUGCCUAGUAUGACUGGUAGUUAAAUGACUUUACUCAUGUGAGCAAGAAUCGAAUCCAAUGAGUCUUACUUAAUUUUAAUUUUUUGAAAAGAAAGUAUCCAAAAAGAAAAUGCAUGACAUUCGUUUGGGAUAAUAUCAAAUUACCAUCUAAUGAAAUUGUUAUUUUUAAAACUAUUGUAAACUUCAACUUAUCCUUUUAUUUUUUUUGAGGAAAAAAUUACAUUGGUCAGCUCCCAUUUUCCUUUAUCUUUUGAAAAAAAAAAAGUAAAUUGAAAUUUACAAUAUUUUGAUUUUUGAGGAUAUUUUAAAGAUUUUCACUUGACAAGAUGAGUAAUCUAAAAUUUACCCUAUCACAUAAACAACUCAGACCGCGCUAAUCAAAUACGCAUAAGUCUCAAGAUCAUCAUUAUAGUUAAGAGAUUUUACCGACCAAUCUAAUUGGCACCCAAUGUUAACAAUUUAUAAACAGAAGUUUAAAAAACAGCCAGGGAUAUUGAAUAAAACACAAUUUCUCAAAAAUGUCCAAGGAAUUUUAACAAAUGAAAGAAUUUUAACAAAACCCAAAUUUUAGAGUUUAUAUCCUUACAGCAAAAUAAAAAAAGAUAAAGAACUCAUAUCCAAAAACAUUUCCAAUGAAAUAACCCAAAAAUUUGGGAGUUAUCAAUCCUACAUUCCUACUGAAAUGAAAAGCCAAUGAAGCAUUGAGAGUUCGGUCAUAGGGGAAAAAAAAUUAAAAAAAUUUAUGUGACCAGUUUCAACAAAUUUUGAAAGAGUCAUUUUUCUUUGCAAGACGUUUUAUAAUGGGGACCACAAGGAAAAUGAGAAAGAAAAAGACGAUUUUCUUUUUAUUUAAAAAUAAAGAAGAUGGAAUUUGGUUUUGAUUGAAUUGAAAUUUAGGACGAUAAGAGAGGAAAUAUCAAUAUAUUUAAUUAGGGUUAGUUAUGGAAUCAUACGAGAUUUAAAAAGUGAAAAGCUAAUACUUAAUUUGAAACCAUAAGCCUACAAAAUAAAUAGGUGUAGAGAGUUAUUUUAUGGCUUGAAGUAGCAACAUCAUUUUAAAAAAUGCAUCAAGACACUUUUGUUCUUAAUUAUAAUACACUCUUAUCUUUUUUUUUUUCACAAAAAUACUCUUACAAUAUUAUUUUUAGAGAUAUUAAUGGCAAAAAUGUGAAUUUUUUAAAUUAGCCUUAUAAGUAAAAUAAAAAUUAUUACAAUUUUUAUUUUACUUAUUUUACUUUUAUGAUUGAUUUGAUAAAUUAUUUUUUUAUAAAAAUUAGUAAGAUUGAUGUACGGGUAUUAGACAUUAUUUUAAAUAGGUUGGUUUUAAUUUAUUUAUUGCUAGCAAGAUUAUUGUAAGGAUUAAAAAAAUACCAAUUGUUUCAUACUGAUAUUUAUUUUUUAAUUUAUUAAUAAGUAAUUUACUAAAUUAACUUUAAUUUACUAAAUUAACUUUUUCUUUCAAAAUUUGUACAAUCUUUUGAGUUUGUUCUCCAUGGAGUGUGGUGAUAUUUAUAGCGCAAGUACUACUUUACAUAGAAGUACUUCUAGAUGUUAUCAAAAAAAGAAAAAAAAAAAAAGUACUUCUAGAUGGAGAAUGUCUUCUGAGGGUGCAGUGGAGUAAUUCUGCCAGUGCUCAUCGAAGCGCAGUUGUGUGAGUACUACCAUUAAACAAAUCCUAUUAUGUUAUCAUAAUUUGUUGAUUGAUGAAAUAGUUACUGACGCAACUUAAAAAUAAUUUAUAACUGUGAAAUAAAGUUUAUUAAGUCGAUUCAUAAAGAAAAGAUUUAAUUUAUUAUUAUUUUUAAUUUAUCUAAAAAAAAGAAUUUAAAUUCACGCUAUUUAAUUUAGUAAAAUGAUGAAAAUAAAUUAGUUAGGGUUAUGAAUCUACUCUUAGUGGUAAAUAUAAUUUAAUAAAUUUUUUAUUUUUAUUUUUUAUUAUCCAAAAUAUUAAUUAUAUAAAUUAUCGUUAUUUUUCCAUUAAUUUUAUUAUGGAUUAAAUACUUAAUGUGCCAAAAUUCAGUUUAUCUACAACAAGUUAAAAUGCUAUUUUACCAUACUUUAUACUAAGAUAUUAAGAAUUUAUUGUGCCAAAACUCCUUUUUUUGUCUACAAUAAAUCACAAUUUUGAGAUAUAAAACAUGGAUGAAAUUAAAUAGAAAAUAAUUUAAUUUAUAUAAUUAAAAAUUAAAUUUUAAUGAAAUUAUAUUUUUCUACUAAGAGUUUUACUUUACCCUAACUAUUAGUGCUAUAGCCAAACAUAAUUGAAAAAAAUAAUGAGAAAUUAUCUACCGUCCACCCGUUUUUUCACUGUUUUUCAAAAAUACACAAAUCUUUUUUUUUUUUUACAAUGCUCCGCCUGAAGUAAAUAUUUUUUUUCAUUGGUCCACUCUCGUUAUAUCACCAUUAGAACUUUACUGACAUCAUAAGGGUAAAAUUAUCAUUUCACAACGACAGAGUAGUGGAAAGGUGAAAAACGACCUAACUUCAAGUGGAGUUCAGCCAAAAAAAAAAAAAGAAAAGAAAAAGAAUUGUGUAUUUUUGAAAAAAUACAAAAAAAUGGUGAUCGGUGGAUAAUUUAUUUUUUACAUUUGAAGGUAAAAAAGUCAUUUACACAAUAUUCCAUUAGUUUUCUUAAUGGUCUCCAAAUGAAAGUGGAAAGGUGAAAAGAAAUGUAAUUUCAUAUAGAUUCUAGCAAAAACAAAAUUGUGUAUUUUUGAAAAAGUUAGAAAAAACAGGUAGACGGUGGAUAAUUUUUCAAAAAUAAUUAUUAAAAUUAAAUUAUACAUAAUUUGAAAAAAUGGUAUUUAAAAAUUGGAAAUUAAAUUAAAUUUAUUUGAUGAAAAUAUAUUACAAAACAUUAAAACAUAUUUAAGAUAGAGAGAAGAGGAGAAGAAUUUGGAAAGAAAUAAGUGAAGAAAUGUGUAGAGAGGUGUGUUCCCCCAUAUGUUUUAUACUAAUUCAUGAUUAAUCCAUGCCACACACAUAAAUAAAGUCAAUUAUAUUAUGGCCAUACAUUUAUUCCACUAACCAAAGUAAACCUAACUCAAUUCAUUCAAGCACACCCAACUCAUUCCACUAACAAUUACUACAUUUAAUAUGAUAAAAACUUAUAAUUUCACAAUUACCACACUUAAAAAUGGAAGAAAAAACUUAUAAUUUCACAACAAAAGUUAUGAAUCAUACCUGAUGAUGACCUAACUUUUUGGACCUCUGGAACCGAAAUUUGACAUUCAUUCAUUUGUUUGAAGUAUCGAAUUGCAUAAAAUUAUUAUUUUUACCUAAUAAACCGUAAAAUCCACUAGAUUAAAUAUUUAAAAAUGUAAUUAGAAAUUUACAAUAUGUUAUAUAAUUAUAAAUGUAAAUUAAAACAUAAGUACAAAAUAACAAUUUUACCCCUAGUGGACAUACAACUUUUAACACUAAUUAGCUACUAAAGAGAAAUUCCAGUAUAAAAUAUAUAUGUUAAAUCACUAAUUACUCUAACGAAAAUAACUUGUAAAUUUUGUAGAAUAAUCAUGCUCAAGUGCGAAUCUCCACAUUUUAUAAAGUGAGGAUUCAUUUCUUACAUUAUUAUAAUAAACUGAUUCAUUUUGUACAUAAAUGUAAAAGUAUUUUUCAGUGUUGUAAAGGUUUUUUAUAUCGAUAUAAAAGGGCGAAUCUAAACUUUAUAAAAUAUGGACACCCGCUCCUUAGUAUCAUCAUGUUUAUGAAAAAAAGAGAGUAAGAUAGAAAUAAUACAAGAAUACCACAAGCAAAUAAAUGUACCUUAAACAAAUGCAUGCACAUUGAUCUAAAGAUAGUGAAAAAAUUUAACCAGUGAAAUGAUCGAUGGAUUAUUGACCAUUGGGUCGAUUAAAGGGGUUGAUCUCCCCGACCCUAGUUGUUUUUUAAUAAUUAAUAACAACAAAUUAUUUAGAUUAUAGGGUAACUUUUACCUGAUGAUCAGGUUAUAUAUUUUCAUUUAUGCGAGAGCUCUAAAAUUGAAAACAGUAAUUAUUUGUUAAAAUAUUGCAUUUACCCUUCGGCCAUAUGUUUUUGCUGAUAUUGUUUUAACAAACGUAAUAAAAUGAGAUAUUACAAAUUUAUGCGCUAAAAAUGAUCCUGCAAAUUCUCAUUCUCCCUUUAAGAGUUUAAGUUUUGAAUUCAUGUUUAAGACGUUAGAAUAUCAGAGUAAGUACAUCACCUUGCAUUACUUAUGCAAAUUAAAUUCUAGAUUUUAAUGAUAGAACUAGCUAGUCGAUUAAUUCUUUGCUUUGAUUUUGAUAACAGAGGAUUCCAAUAUGGUAGAGAUGGUUCGAUUGGAUAUGUCCAGUAUCUUGGAGAGAAAUAUAUUGGAGUCCCCACAUAAUAAUAAUAAGGGUGCCUCUAAGUUACGUUAAGCGUAACUUACGUUUUUUGUCUUUUUUCUUCUGGCGAAUUUCACACGAGUCCUUGUAUUCUUUAUGUUUAUGGAUGUAUUUGCCUUCUUUUAUCAAUUAUACAUCUAUUUUUCAUUCUUUCCAAUGUUCUUUUUAUUUUUUUAAAUAAUAACAUACGAUUAUCAAAUGGCCAAACCUAGGUUACGUGUAACGCAACAUACAUUCAAGAAGUGAAAUAUCUAUUGGCACCCUUGAAUUUUAUGGAAACUACAUUAAUUGAAUUAAAAUGGUAAAUUAAAAUAUCAAAUGGUAUCUAUUAAUCAGAAUUAAUCAGAGUAUAUGUUGAUAAUGCCCUUUAAUCAGAAUUAAUUCUUAGGAAUGAUUUUAACGGUAAUUCUGAAAGCUAUUGCAUGUUAAUUUUGAAGUCUGUCAUGUAUAUUUUUUAUAUUUUUUAUAUAAUUUCUCUUUAAUUUAAUUAUAUAAUUAAAUUACAUGCAAUAAACCUACAAUUCAAGACUAGGAUUAAUAAAUUUAGGACCAGAAGUUUAUUCUGAAUUUAUAGAUUUGUAUGAAUUUGAUAAUCAUUUAAUAAUGUUUAAAGAAAUAAAUAAAACUUUAGAGAAAAUAAAAAAAUCGAUAGGAGGGAUGGAAGAAGACAAAUACAUCCACAGCUGUAAAAAUUGAAAAUAAAAAGAAUUAGGAGGGCUCAUAUGAUAUUUGCCAAAAAGAAAAAGACAAAGAACGUAAGGUACAUUGAUUGUAACUUAGGCGUUCCCUAAUAAUAAUAAUGUUCUAGUUACAUGAGCUUAUGUCGGCAAUUUUUCUUUUAAUUAAAAUUUAGAUAGAUCUAAAUUUGACUAAAAUUUUAAUAGAUAGAUAAGUUUUAGUUAAUAAUGUUUAUAUGUAAAUAAUUAUUUUUAUGCAUUUAAAUUUAACGACAAGUCAAAAAAGUGCAACUGAAGUUUAUUGAUAAAAUUAUUAAUUAAAUCGAAAAACAGGCGCAGUCAGAACAAGUAAACAAACGGAAUGACUAACACGAAGUUAUAAGAAGUUUUUAGUCAAAAGCAAAGACAGAAAUCUCUGGACAUCCUAGAUCUUUUUUUCUAAAAUUUAAUUUUAUCCUAAUUAAUUUGAUAAACAAUUUGAUACACGUAUCAUUUAUUUAUUAGAUGAUAAAUUUGUAUAUGUUCUAAACGAAUUUAUUACGUUCAACAUUCAUUUGAUGAAUAAUACAGGCCAACUAAUUAAAUUUGCGAUAAAAUUUUUUAUUUCUUUUUUUUUAAUAAUUUCGUUGCCAAAAAUUAUUUAUUUGGACUAUUGGCACCUAAAUCCGCUCUCACCUUAGGAUUCGUACCUCGUAUUUCCUAUUUUCAACCAAAAAAAAUUUCCAUCUGAAUUAUUUGACACCCACUAAAAUUUGCAAUACUUCAACUUUAUUCAAAGUAAAAAUUAUCAAUAAAAAAAUUACAGUGAUAUUGAAAAGUACUUUCAAAUUUUAUUAUCUUUUUUAGUAUUGGAUGAAUUGGAAAAUGGGAACUAAUAAAAUUAUCCUAUUCAUCACAUGAACGGUAAUAUCAAACACCAAAACUGAAAGGUGCUUUCAAUUUGGGCAGACGAAUCAAUUAGCACCCACGUGUAGCUAAGUCGAAUUAGUCACUCUCAUUUGCAGUAAAGAAACGUGUAACUUCCAGAUUUUGGAUCAAUCAUGAAUAUGACAACUGCCCAUGUCGUCCGCCAUUUUAUACGGUAUCAUUCUGAAAAUAUUUUAACAUUUAUUGAUGAUAUAUAUGUAGCACAUUGCAGAUUAAUUACUGUAAAAAGCAAUACCUAUACCUGUUCUUGGACGUGCGAUUGUGGAAAAGUGAAGCACUUUUCUGGGUUUUGGUGCGCUUUAGCUAAUUUUAGUUAUAGCCUGAGUUAUUAUGGAGACUGGUGAUAUUUACAGGGCAAGUACUAGCUUACGUAGAAGCACUUCUGGAUGGAGAAGCACGUCUGGGGGUGCAUUUUCUAGGUCUUUAAGAAGAGAAGAGGAGGAGGAGGCUCUAAAAUGGGCUGCUCUUGAGAAAUUGCCUACUUAUAAUCGACUGAAGAAAGGAAUACUGAGCACUUCCAGCGGACAUGCUAACGAAAUUGAUGUGGACGAUCUCGGACUGCAGGAAAGGCAGAGGUUGAUUAAUAAGUUGGUCAAAGUCGCAGAUGUUGAUAAUGAGAAGUUCUUGCUGAAGCUCAAGAAUCGCAUUGAUAGGUACAAAUUUUCCUUUCUCAGCUUAGAUUCAAGUGCAAUGCUUUUUCCUUUUUGUUUCAUAAGAAAAAAACUUUGCCCCCUUCGGGGCUGCAUGCAAAUACACUUUUGGAUUUGCAGUCAUUCAAAUUCGAGUGAGAGAUAUGUCACAUCCCCAUUUAAAACAUUUUGAAAAAAUAAACAAAUUUAUGGGUUGCACAAGCGUCUUCAUGAAAGUGGCCUACUCCCAAGAGAUUAGAGUUUUAGCCCAUUUUUCUUUUUAUUAUUUAGUCUCACAUACUCAUAUGAAUGGAGUUUAAAAUCUACUGCUUGUUCUCAACACAACAGAUUUACUAUUUCAACCAAAUGGCAGCCAUUGAUUUUAACUGAAAUUAAAUACAAUAAAACCUCUAUGAAUUAACACUCAAUAAAUUUAUAAUAAAACCUCUAUGAAUUAACACUCAAUAAAUUAAUAAUCUCCAUUAUAUGAUAAAUUUUCACGGUCCCGAUUUAGGUCAAUAGACUAAAUUAAUAAUUUCGAUAAAAUAAUAAUAUAAUACUUUUCUAAAAAAUCUUAUAUAACUUUGUGGUCUUAUUCAAAUUAUAAAUUAAUAAUUUACUGAAAUUACAAAUGUAGUAAAUAAUAAUAAAGUUAUUUAGUUACAUAAAAUAUAACUUUAUUAUUAUUUUUUAAAAAUUUAAAUCUAAUUAGAUCUCAUUUUUAAUUUUUCUUAUUGCAUCUAAAAGUUCUGAAGUUGACUUCUCAAAUUAUAGUAAGAAAUCAUGAAAUAUUAUUGAUAUAUAUCAAUUGAAUUAUAAAUAAUUCUGUAAAUUAAUAUAAUUUCUCUUUUAAUUAAUAGAUUUUAUAUGCUCCUAACCUAUUAUAUUCUACUUAUAUUUUAUAUGCUCCUAACCUAUUAAUAUAAUUUCUCUUUUAAUUAGUCUACAGAAGUUCUACUUAUAUUCUUUUUAGUUUUUAUUUUUGUAGUUUUGGUCCUACAAAUUUACUGUUUUUAUAUUGCCUUCCAAAUCUGUUACUUUUAUUAGGAUGAUGUCACUCUUGUCUAAACAAAAUACCGCAUAGACCAUACAGUUAAUGGCGAAUCCAGCAAAAAAAUUAUUCAGGGCUAAAAUUAAGCAAUAACAGGAUGUAAAAAUUGAAACUUGAAAAUAUAAAAUACUUGUUCAUCUCCCAUCCGAUUUUUAAUUGGUGCCGAGAUGAUGAAAAGAUAAAUCCACCCGGCGGUUCAAGUCCCAACCCAACAAUAAUUAAAUAAAUCACACCAUAUCCCUUUGCUUUCUUCACGAACGCUGAGAGUAAACAGAGAAGAAGCUCGAAUGCCUGCAGCUUGCCGAACUAUUGUGACUGAAAGUGUGACACCCGUACUUCUAUUCUUGGAAAUUGGAAAUGUUUUGGGCUGUGGGCUAUUUUUUGUUUCGUCAAAAUGUGGCUAAAAAUUCACAUUAAUGCAAAUAACAUAAAAAAAAAAUCUGGAUUUUCUGUAAUUAUUUAUUUGAAAGUGGGUUGUGCAGUGUGCUUGCACAAAUUGUGUGGAAAAUGUCACCUAAUGAAAGCGUGUCGUCAUAAUUUGAAUUUGUUCCGUAAAUUUUCUUGCACUAAAAAAUCUGGGCAGUUGAGUUUCUGGUUUUUGAAGCUCCUGUUUUCAUGCGUGUUGUAUUUCAAUUUAAGUUAUGAUUUAGUUUCUUCUUGGAUUUUCUCAGAGUUGGAAUUAGCCUUCCCACAGUUGAAGUUCGAUUUGAGCAUUUAAAUGUUGAAACAGAAGCAUAUGUAGGAAGUAGAGCCUUGCCAACAUUCUUUAACUACUGUGUCAACACGAUCGAGGUACCCACCUGCAAGCACAAAUUAUUAGCUUUUAUAAAAUUAGUUUUGUUAAGUUUGUUAAUUUCUCUGCUCAACUUCUUAAUUUUAUUAAUUUCUCUGCUCAAUUUGUACCAAUGUGUAUAUGUGUUUGAAGGGUUUGUUGAACUCUCUGAAUAUCCUUGCUAGUAAAAAGAAACACUUGACAAUUAUCAACGAUGUCAGUGGAAUCGUAAGGCCAGGCCGGUGAGAAUUUAGAACUGAAAUAAUUUCGUUAUUUUUUUAAUAUAUCCUUCAACUUCAUAGCAAAUUUUGAAUAUAUGGGCAGUCUUUAAUUUCUUAUUGAUAUUUUUUUUUUCUUUCGGUACAGAAUGACAUUGCUUUUGGGUCCUCCAGGUUCUGGAAAGACCACACUUAUGUUGGCUUUGGCAGGGAAGCUUGAUUCUAGUCUAAAGGUUAUUAUUUCAGAGGGAUUUGGCUUUUGGCACUGUCUUACAUUCUUUGGUUUUAUCUCUAAUUGGAGAAUCGAAAUGUGUCUUUCUAGGCGUCUGGGAAGGUGACAUACAAUGGCCAUGACAUGCAUGAAUUUGUACCUCAAAGAACAGCUGCUUAUAUCAGUCAACAUGAUAUUCAUAUAGGAGAAAUGACCGUGAGGGAAACCUUGGCUUUCUCUGCUAGAUGCCAGGGGGUUGGAUCCCGCUACGGUCGGUUUCAUUUUUCUUUUUCCCCUUAAUUUCUUUCUUUCACUUUUGGAUAAGCAUCAAAGGUCAGUGCUUUUGCGACAUGCAGACAUGUUAGCUGAGUUGUCCAGAAGAGAGAAAGCAGCAAAGAUUAUUCCUGAUGCUGAUAUUGAUGUCUUCAUGAAGGUGAAAGAGAGGCUACCCGUAGCAUUUAGCCAAGUAGAAAAUAUUAGACUACAAUCCAACAAGUCUUAUUUAUUUAUUUAUUUAUUUUUUGUUGUAUCUAAUAAAAUGUAUGUGUUUUCUUUUUUAAAACUUGUCUUCAAUCUGGAGUUUCUAUGACUUACAUUGGCCAUUAUCAUGUAUUAGGCUGUGGUAAGAGAGGGCCAAGAAGCAAAUGUGAUCACAGAUUAUAUUUUAAAGGUAUCAGCAUUAUGAAUCACUUUAAAUUUAUGAUUUUUUUUUUUUUGGGCAGCAUUAUGAAUCACUUUAAAUUUAUGAUUUUUUUUUUUUUGGGUGAAGAAUUCCCAAUGUUAUGUCACUAUUUUGAUCAAUUUUCUUCAUAAAUUUACAGGUUCUCGACUUGGAUGUCUGUGCUGAUACCGUAGUAGGGGAUGAAAUGUUAAGAGGCAUAUCAGGAGGACAAAGAAAGCGUGUUACAACAGGUAGAUGCAAAAUAUUGUCGAUUAAUUACUGUAGAACAGAGAGAUAAAAAGUUCUUACUGUCCAUUUAGAUUUAAACAUGUGAGAAUUUUCAAUAAUUGUAUUACAGGUGAAAUGCUGGUUGGACCAGCACAUGCACUUUUCAUGGAUGAGAUAUCUACCGGUUUAGACAGCUCAACAACUUUUCAUAUUGUGAAUUCUCUCGGGCAGUUCAAUCACAUCCUUAAUGGAACAGCUCUUAUCUCUCUCCUGCAACCAGCACCGGAGGUUUAUAAUCUAUUUGAUGACAUUAUCCUAGUAUCUGAUGGGCAGAUUGUGUAUCAGGGUCCCCUUGAACAUGUGGAACAGUUUUUUAUAUCCAUGGGAUUUAAAUGUCCAAAAAGAAAAGGCAUUGCGGACUUCUUGCAAGAAGUAGGUGCCUUUAAAGCUCUUUUUAUGAUUUUUCCAAUAACAGAAACAAGAUAUAAAUUUAUUUAUUUUUCUUAAAGGCUGAGCUUUAUUUAUCUGAUUUACCAUCUAAAUAUACAUUUGACAACUGAGAUGACCAACUACUCAUUAAAUCUCAGUGAAUAAUGAAUAUGAUUCAGGUUACAUCGAGGAAAGAUCAGGAGCAGUAUUGGGUGCGUAACGAUGAACCCUACAGGUUUGUCACGGUCAAGGAGUUUGUUCAUGCAUUCCAAUCAUUCCACGUGGGACGGAAACUUGGUGAUGAGCUUGGAAUUCCAUUUGACAAGAAGAACAGCCAUCCAGCUGCUUUGACUACUAGAAAGUAUGGUGUUGGCAAGAAAGAACUGUUGAAAGCUUGCUUCUCAAGAGAACAUUUGCUGAUGAAGAGGAACUCUUUUGUGUACAUCUUCAGGCUCACUCAAGUGAGUAUUAACUCUAUUUUCAAUUGUUUCAAUCUUUUAUUUAUUUGUUUAUUUAUUUUUUUAAGGAUGAUGAUUUAUUGAAUUUUCCCUACUACAAGGUCAUGUUCUUAGCAGUGAUUGGUAUGACAAUCUUCUUAAGAACGAAGAUGCACCGAGAUUCAUUAACUGAUGGUGUAAUUUACACUGGCGCCUUGUUCUUUAUCCUUACAACAAUCACAUUCAAUGGAAUGGCUGAGAUUUCUAUGACCGUAGCAAAGCUUCCUGUUUUCUAUAAGCAAAGAGACCUCCAAUUCUAUCCUUCAUGGGCAUACGCUCUUCCCGCAUGGAUCCUCAAGAUCCCCAUCUCAAUUGUAGAGGUUUCUGUUUGGGUAUUUAUGACCUAUUAUGUAAUUGGUUUUGAUUCCAAUGCUGGAAGGUAAGAAGAUAAAAACAAAAUCCUAAACUUUGUAGGAGCUGCUGAAGAUUUUGUUACAUGUUUAAUAUCAAUUGACCCAACUAUUUACAAGGUGGUUAUGUUUGCCGCAGGUUUUUCAAGCAGUACUUGUUGCUCUUGAUUGUCAACCAGAUGUCCUCUGCAAUGUUCCGAUUAAUUGCAGCAGUAGGCAGGAGCAUGGUUGUUGCUAAUACAUUUGGUUCACUUGUAUUGCUCCUACUUUUUGUACUAGGUGGAUUUGUCCUUUCACGAGGUAUAAGAAAUGAAUAAGUUGAGAACAAAAACAUCGUUUUUUGUCAAAGUUUUAACCAAAAUUAUUACUUUUCUUGUUUAGUAAGUUGAGAAUAGAAUCAUCAUUUCUUCUCAAAGUUUAACAAAAAUUAUUACUUUCCUUGUAUAAUGAUGCAGAUGACAUAAAAAAAUGGUGGAAAUGGGGUUACUGGUGUUCACCUUUGAUGUAUGCGCAGAACGCAAUAGUGGUUAAUGAAUUCCUUGGUAACAGUUGGAAAAAGGUAAUGCCUCCAAUGUGCUCUGUAUUAUUUUAUUUAUCUCGUAAUAAUGUGCUAAUGUCUUCCUUUUAUAUAAAGAUUUUGCCAAACAAAACCAAACCACUCGGAAUUGAAGUUUUGGAUUCUCGUGGGUUCUUCACUGAUGCUUAUUGGUAUUGGCUGGGAGUAGGGGCUCUGACUGGUUUUAUUAUACUGUUCCAAUUCGGUUUCACUCUGGCUCUAAGUUUUCUCAACCGUCUGUAUCUGUACAUUAUUCAGUUUACUUACUUCUAAAAUUGACUGCUUCUGAUCUAAAUUUUGAAAAGAUGUGCAGCAUUUGGUACGAGUAAGGCUUUUAUAUCAGAGGAAUCUCAGAGUACUGAGCAUGAUAGCAGAACUGGGGGAACAGUUCAGUUAUCAACCUGUGCAAAUAGCUCAAGUCACAUAACUCGCUCAGGUCAUAAAGCAAAAUUUGAUACUUUUGAGGAAGCAUGAAAUAUUUGGUGUUGCCCUGUGAUUACAGUUGAUUAUUUUAAAAUGCAGAGAGUAGGGAUUACAUUAGGAGGAGGAACUCCUCUUCCCAGUCCCGGGAAACAACCAUCGAGACCGACCAACCAAAGAAUAGAGGAAUGGUUCUUCCAUUUGAACCGUUUUCCCUUACUUUUGAUGAAAUUACGUACUCUGUUGAUAUGCCACAGGUAACACUAUGUUGGAAACCAAGGGAUAUAUUUCAAUAGUUUGAUGACACCUAGAUUAAGUAUUACAUUUUCAAUACAUGAUGACUAAUUGGUUUGAUUUAACUUUGAAGGAAAUGAAACGUCGAGGUGUUCAUGACGACAAAUUGGUACUUCUAAAUGGUGUAAGCGGUGCUUUCAGGCCUGGUGUUCUCACAGCUCUGAUGGGUGUAACUGGUUCUGGUAAAACCACACUGAUGGAUGUGUUGGCUGGUAGGAAAACUAGGGGAUAUAUUACUGGGAACAUUACAAUAUCUGGGUACCCAAAGAAGCAAGAGACAUUCACUCGCAUUUCUGGAUAUUGUGAGCAAAAUGACAUCCACUCUCCUUAUGUUACUGUAUACGAGUCCUUGCUCUACUCGGCCUGGCUUCGUCUAUCCUCUGAAGUAAAUUCCAAAACUAGAGAGGUUGGUAUUGAAAUCCCUUGGUGUUUCAGACUUGCUGUCAUUUUUUCUUCACGUAUCAUUGGGAGUUUAAACAGUUUGAGCCAAUUGAGUUAUCUGGAAGAGAAGCAGCCUGAGUUGUAGAAUCCACUGUUGGAUAUUUAUUGUUUCGUCCGUGGUUUACAGAUUUUUGUUGAGGAAGUCAUGGAACUUGUGGAGCUGAACCCUUUGAGACAAGCACUGGUGGGUUUGCCAGGUGUAAAUGGUCUAUCAACGGAGCAGCGUAAGAGGCUUACUAUUGCAGUUGAGCUCGUGGCAAAUCCCUCCAUCAUAUUUAUGGACGAGCCAACAUCUGGGUUAGAUGCAAGAGCUGCUGCAGUUGUUAUGAGAACUGUUAGGAACACAGUGGACACUGGAAGAACGGUGGUAUGCACAAUCCAUCAGCCAAGCAUUGACAUAUUUGAAGCUUUUGAUGCGGUAAGAAGUAUUAAUACUGGAUCAAAGGAGUUAAGUUUUUCUCUUUCUGUGACAUGAUUAUGAUUAUUUAACUUGAAAAUGCAGCUGUUCCUUCUGAAGCGAGGGGGACAAGAAAUAUAUGUUGGGCCAUUGGGUCACCAUUCUAGCCAUCUUAUCAAGUAUUUUGAAGUAGGACAUAAUUGAUCAUUUUCCAAUUAUAAGCAAGGAAAAUUUAACUAGCAGUGAGAUACAUAUAUUACAUUAUGAAACUAGCUAAUGCACAUACAAUUUCUUUUUUAUGAAGGGAAUUCCAGGGGUUAGUAAAAUUAGAGAUGGUUAUAAUCCAGCAACUUGGAUGUUGGAAGUUACUGCUCCAUCACAAGAAAUAGCUUUGGGAGUUGAUUUUGCUGCCAUUUACAAAAGUUCAGAACUCUACAGGUUGAAUUGUGAUACUCUGCUAGAACCCUUUCAACAGAAUGCCAAAGUGUUUUUUUUUUUUUUAGCUGAAAAUUGACAUUGAUCUAUGCCAUAUAUGUCAGGAUAAACAAAGCACUCAUUCAAGAAUUAAGCAAGCCUGCACCGGGUUCUAAGGAACUCUAUUUUGCUAAUCAGUACCCACUGUCAUUUUUCACUCAGUGUAUGGCUUGCUUGUGGAAACAACACUGGUCAUACUCACGAAAUCCACACUACACUGCUGUUAGAUUCCUUUUUACGAUCUUUAUAUCUUUGAUAUUUGGGACAAUGUUCUGGGAUAUGGGCACUAAAACGUGAGUCACAUUAGGAAAUUGAAGCAUUAUAUUUAAUUAUUAUUUCAAAAUCUUGUAGUUUCAUCUGCCUACUAAUCAUAAUUUUGAGAUUUCUAAUUAUAGGACAAAGCAACAAGAUCUGUUUAAUACAAUGGGCUUCAUGUAUGUUGCCGUUUACUUCCUUGGUGUCCUAAAUGUUUCGUCAGUGCAGCCAGUAGUAGAUCUUGAAAGAUCAGUCUUCUACAGAGAAAAAGGUGCCGGAAUGUAUUCACCCAUGGCAUAUGCCUUUGCACAAGUAAUCUUCACAACAGAUGACAUGUUUUGAAAUGUAAAAUUCGUUCUGUUUCUUUACUGAACAUUUUAGUAUUUCCUGCAGGUUUUAAUUGAGAUCCCUUAUAUAUUUGUUCAAGCUGCACCAUAUAGUCUUAUAGUCUAUGCAAUGAUUGGAUUCGAAUGGACUGCCGCGAAAUUCUUUUGGUUUUUAUUCUUCAUGUUCUUCAGCUUGUUGUACUUCACAUUCUUUGGCAUGAUGCUUGUGGCUUGGACGCCAAACCACCACAUUGCUAGCAUUGUAUCAACUUUAUUUUACGGAUUAUGGAACAUCGUUUCAGGGUUCAUUAUCCCCAGAACAGUGAGUAUCGACUUUCCAUUACUCAUACAAUUAAAUUCUUCUUUUGCAUAGCUAACAGAAGAUUGAAUGACUAAUUCUUUCAUUUCAUCUUUCGAGAUAACAGAGGAUUCCUGUAUGGUGGAGAUGGUCCUACUGGGCAAACCCUAUAGCUUGGACAUUGUAUGGAUUUUUUGCAUCACAGUUUGGAGAUGUACAAGAUAGGCUUGAGUCAGGUGAAACAGUGAAACAGUUUUUGAGAAGUUAUUAUGGCUUCAAACAUGAUUUUCUAGGAGCUGUUGCAGCUGUUGUUUUUGUAUUGCCAUCGCUUUUUGCUUUUGUCUUUGCUUUAGGAAUUAGGGUGCUUAACUUCCAAAAGCGAUAGAAAAUUUUUUUUUUUCCUAUAAACUUUGCACGUUGGAUCAUCAUCUCUGUAUGUAAAAGGAUAGUUUCAAGUUCUUGUACUUCGAAGUUAUAUAAAUAAUGCCCAUGGCAUUUGAUUAAUGUCAACGCAAUUAACGAGUUCAUCAACCUUGGAAUUGUCCCGGACCCAGAGAGUUGGUCUUUCAAAAGCUGUACCACACGUGAAUUAAUAAAGGUAGUAAUAAAUGACUGAAAUAAAAUUUUGUCUAUAUGUACUGAUAUAAGUGACCGGUCCGAAAACCCAAAUUUUAUGAUAAAUAGUAUUAAAAUUAUAUAUUAUUUUAAAUUAUUAUAUUUACUUAGCCACCAACAACUUAUAUUUGAAAUUUUAAAUUUUAAAAUUCAUAUUUUCAAGUGUAAUUUCAUUAAAUUAAGUUUUCAAAUAAUUAAAAAAUAUGUAAAAAAUUAUAAAACAUAAAAUCCGAGUUUUUUAUGCUCGGAUGAAAAAGUUUGGUCCAGUGUCAAGCUUUUUAAGCCCGGUUUAGGUGUUCUAAAAAUAUGUCCAGACAGGAUUCGAGCACUGCCAUAACCAAGACUGGUCCAAGGUUUUGCCAUGUCUAAUAUAUACAAAAAAAUUUCAGUCCAGACUUAAAAUGUGGACGAGUUGCAAUGCUGUCAAUAGAUUUUUACAACAUUAUAAACUAUUUGACAAUGUUGUUUUUUUUUUUUUUAAUACAUAAGACUAUUGCUCAACUCAUAUUACAUAAGACUAACUGAUAUUUACAAAUUAGACUAUUACUGGGACCAACUUACAUCAAUGCUAAUAGAGCGCACUGCCCAAAUUUUAACCCUCACAAAUAUUCGAGAGAUGUCUACUCCUCACACUUGAGUAAGGAAGAAGACUGCUUUUACUCAAAUUUAAUUAAAAAAUAAAAUACCCCCACAAUGUAUUUGUGGGGAUUCGAACUGCUGCCCUCCACUUGGAGGGUAGCAGCCCUGACCACUCGGUCGAGUGGUCAUUUGACAAUGUUGUUGAGCUAUAAAAAAAAAAAAAAGAAGGUUUACAGUAUCGUAAAUCUAUCCUGGGUUUUUAUAAUAUUUAGGAUUCUUGCAAAAUAUUUUUUAAUGUCGUAAAAUAUUUUGCGAGUUCGUAAAUUUGUAUAUCUGCAUGAAAAAUCGUGUGGAUAAUUGUACUUCAGAAUAAUUGUACAUAUAUAUAAUAUGAUUUGCAUUUCGCCCCCUCAAUUUUAGAUUCCUUUUCGUUAUGGCCUAAUUAAGUUUAUAGUCUUUUCAAUAUGGUCCCCAUCGAAAUAAAACUGUUACAAGUUUGUGAUCAGUAUGCUCAAAGCCUCAAAGCAAAGUUCUCACAACUGAGUCUUACAAGCACCGGGAUAAGAAUUCAAAGCCUGUAAGCCAUUGAUUCAUUGACCGUUUAGUUGAAGCAACUUCAGCUCCAAGUCGAUUGACAUGAACCGACAAUUAGAGAAUUAAAGCACCAAAUCUGUUUCCAUAUUGAUAUUUUUUUUUUUUUUUUGGUUAAGAAACAAAAGAUUACAUAAAGAACUAUAUUAAGUUGACACACACACACACAAACACAUAGAUAUGCACUGUUGAUGCUGAAAUCUGAACUAGUUGGUUAGAGACUCAAUAUCAGAUUCCUGCAUCAGCAUUAAAUUUGUUUGGUGGGAAGCUGUUGGUUGAUCUCUAAGAAUAUUCUCUGACUAUGAGCAGAACAUUCAUGAGCAUAUAAUCUUCAAGCUGACGAUCAAUAAGUACCUGAAAUUACAGAGAAUGGUCAGAGGUGCCGGAAGUUUUUCCGGCGUAAACCCUCCAACGCUCAAGUCAGUUAUGGGGUUUACAGGAAAAACCAAAUAUGCCAUUUUUCAUAUGGCUUAAUAAACAUUGCUUUAAAACCAAAAGCUUUUUGAAUAAUUUACAGAAAAGUAAAAUAGAGUAUCCAGAAAGGAUUUCUCUGUCAGAUCCAGAGAAAAAGAGCCCUCCCUUGGUGUGGUUUUCUCGGGGUUCACCUCAUAGCACCUGGCCGAGGUGAUCUGCUCCACCUCAUAGCACCUGGCCGAGGUGAUCUGCUCCACCUCAUAGCACCUGGCCGAGGUGAUCUGCUCCACCUCAUAGCACCUAGUUGAGGUGAUUUGCUCAAGCUCAUACCACAUGGUCAUCUGCUCAAGCUCACACCACCUGGUCAAGGCAAUCUGCUCAACCUCAUUGUACCUGAUCGGGGUGAUCUGAUCAAGCUCAUACCAUCUGGUCAAGGUGACCUGCUCAACCAUUUGCUCACUUUCACUUGGAGGAGAUCAUGGUCGCUCUAUUUAAUUCCUCAAACAUGCACCUCUUGGGGCCGGUUCUUUAACUGAAAUAGCCCCUUUUUGUACCUUAUUUUUUUAGUUGACCAGUAUAUGAUCCCUGUAAAAUCAAUUAAUUCUUUAAGCACCAACUACUUUAUAUGAUUGAUUUUUAUAGACAGGGUUUCACAACUUCACAAUGUGCAUACAAACCUCUAUGCGGUAAUACUCUUUUUUGCUAAUUUCAAUUACCUUUUAUAAAAUAAUAAUCUUUUAUAAAUCCUUCAAAUUAUUAUAAACUUCAAUUUAUCUCUAUUUUUAUUUAAAAGAUAAGAAAAAUAUGAAGGAGCAUUAUGAAAUUUUUUUUUUCUUAGUAAAGGUGGGACUAAGUUGAAGUUUAUAAUGAUUUGGGUACACUUUAAAAAUUGUCAGUUCAUGAGGGAUAAUAUGAAAUUUAUCCUUAUUUUAUUAAUUUCUUAAAAAUAAGUCAUAUUGAUUUUUUAUUUUCCCGGAAAAGCAGUCAUCCUCACGCGAUUUCUAAAGUCAAACUAUCUUUACCUUACAAUAAAUGUCAUUGUUUUUUUUUUUUUAACUCCACAAAAAGGUCAUUGUUAUUGCCUUGUUGGUGUCGAUGUUUAACAUAAAAAAUGAGAACUAAACUAACAUAAGAAAAGUGAAAUACUCUAAAAUACUCCUACUUUAUUUAUUACAAAGAUAAUUAAAGAUUAGUAAUUGUAGAGAAAAGCUUAUGACUUUUGUUAAGUUAUAGUGUCAGCAACUUGUAGCACGGCCAUUUAGGUUGCAUUUGUGGCAGCGCAGCUGCUCCCCAACCUAUAUUCUGAUGAAUAUUCCCCGAGAAUAAAAGGUGGGGAGCAGCUGCACUGCCACCAAACGCAUGUUUAGAAGGCGUUGCCUUAUUUUUAAUACCCAUACUUGCACAAAAUGAUUAGGCCAUAAAUUACUCGCUGUAACAUAGCAUGACCCAAAAGUUAUUUAGGAUGGUUUGAAACUUUCAAUGAGAUACCCAAUAAUUACAAGUCAUGGGUUUCAAAUUAUUUUUCUUACUUCAUUAUGAUUGAUCAACUUAAAGGGGCAAAAAAAUAUGUAUGUCUUGAGUUCUAUUAUGCUUUUUCUUGCACUCUUUAAAACUUCGGAUGAUGAGAUAAAAACUCUUAGUAUAGUGUAGGUAUUCGAGGAAUUGAAGAUCAUCUACUCAUUUAUUUUAUGUUGUUAUUAUUAUUAUUAUUAUUUUACAUAAAUAAGGAAGACAUCUUAAUAAAUUUUUGAAACAUAAAUAAGAGACAAGAUGAGUAAAGAAUGUGAAUCACCGAUUUGAACUCCGAUAAAAGUUCAAGAGAAUCUGCAUUUUGAAACGAUUGAAAAUAUACAUCACAAACUGACGAACACAAUCAAAAGCAAAAGUUUAUGAAUAUGAUGUGUUGUUAUAACGUGUCCAAAGGAGAGCACUGCUAAGAUUUGAUUUGUGAUCAGAUAAUAAAAAUAUAGCUAAUAUGCUUUUCAGGAGAGUUAUGAGGUCUAUGUAUAUAUAUAUAUAUAUAUAUAUACUGAAUCUUUCAUAGAAAAACAUUAAAAAAAAAAAAUGAUUAUGGCUUCAAAUUCAAUGCGGGGAAGUGAUGCGAGAGUUUCCUAAAUCGUAUUUUUUGAAGUCGCUGUCCUGUAAUGUGUUUUUUGUUUUGUCGAUAAUUUUGUUAAGGCAGCCAAAACUGAACAAGCUAAGCAUGGCCAUUCUCGCAAAAUUUUGCUAUCCCUAAUUUCAUUUGAUCCUUUUUUACUGUACAGCAAGCUGUUUAGUAAUUAAAAUACACUGUUGAAGGGGGAAAAAAUUAAAUUAAUUUGUUUCUCAAAAUAUUAGAUUUAAUGUUCAACAGUUUUUUUUUUAUGUGGUUGUUUUAGUGGUAGGGAUGCAAUAAGGUAUUAAAAGUUUAUCAAAGAAUUAGUAGUAAAAACAAUUUCUCAGAGGGACUAAAAAUGAUAUUCUUCCAUAUAUAAAUUUUGUUAUUUGACUAGCAGAGACAUCAAGAAAUAAAAGAAAAUUGAGACUACGAAUAAAAAAAUUUAUCUAAUUAAAGAAAACAAGACUAGGACGCCUUUUCAUACUAAUUUAAUCUUAAUUAAUUACACUCCUUGUAGGGCUAUAAACCCUUAAAAUACUCGCAUUCUCAAGUUUUGAGGAUUUGUUAUUCGACUCAAUUAUAGAAUAAAAGAAGUUCGAAAAAGGAAAAAACAAAAGGAAACGACAAUUAAAUUAAAGAAAUAAAAAUUCGAAAAGUUUUCGGAAUUAGCAAACCAUUCAACUUUGAAUUUGAGGAGGAGAAAAAAAAAACAGCGGAACAUGACAUGAACUCAAUUCGCAAGACUUUCGGUAUUUAUUCUCUUGCCAAAAGCUUCAAAAGCACAUAUACUAUUUGCUCAAAUUUAAUGUCUCCUAUGCAUAUGUCAUCAUGCAUCAUUAACUUCCCUAAUAUUAAAUUCUUUUAUUUAUAUUGUGAUCUUCUCGAGUUAGUUAUAUUUAUGUAUGUCUAGUCUUUAUAUAUAUAUAUAUAUAUAUAUGUACCCCAAAUUUUUUUUAUUUCUUUUUAACGCAUUGUAGUUUAGAUGUAAUAGAAAAAUUUUUAGACAUGUUGAUGCCGAAAUCCGGAUGAGUUGGUCAAAUCUCAGAUCCCUGCAUCAGCAUUAAAAUUGUUUGAUGGGAAGCCACUGAUUAGUUAGCACCAUGAGCAGAUUUUCUAUGAGCAGAUGUUCCAUGAGCAGACGAUCCAUGAGCAGAGAACUCAUGAGCAGACAACCCAUGAGCAGACCAUCCGAUCCAUGAGCAGAUAACCCGUGAGCAGACGAUCCAUAAGCAGAUAACCCAUGAGCAGACGAUCCAUGAGCAGAUAACCCAUUAGCAGAAAAUCCAUGAGCAAUCAACCCAUGAGCAGACGAUCCAUGAGCAGAUAACCUGUGAGCAAACGAUCCAUGAGCAGACGAUCCAAGAGCAGAGAACUCAUGAGCAGACAAUCCAUGAGCAGACGAUCCAUGAGCAGACAACUCAUGAGCAGACAAUCCAUGAGCAGACGAUCCAUGAGCAGAGAACCCAUGAGCAGACAAUCUAUGAGCAGAGAACCCAUGAGCAGACAAUCUAUGAGCAGAGAACUCAUGAGCAGACAAUCCAUGAGCAGAGAACCCAUGAGCAGAUAACCUGUGAGCCUGUGAACACAACCAAUAGUCAGGAGGUGCCGGAAGUUUUUCCGGCGAGAACCCUCCGACGCUCAAGUCAGCGAUUUGGGUCUUACUUGGAAAAACCCAUACCACAAUUCAUGUGGCUUAAUUAUGAUUGCUUUAAACAAAAAGCUUUUAAGUAAAUUUAAAGGAAAAGAAUUCAAAAUAAUCAAUCUUAAAGAAAUCACAGGCAAAAGAGAAAUUUCUCAGUGGUAGAGAGAGAAAAAGGUCCAAUGGGUUCAGUUGCUUAGAGAGAGAGAGAGAGAGAGAGAGAGAGAGAGAGAGAGAGAGAGAGAGAGAGAGAGAGAGAGAGAGAGAGAGAGAGAGAGAGAGAGAGAGAGAGAGAAAGAGCUAGAAGAAUCCCCCCCGUUUCCUUCCUUUUCCUAGGGUUUUUAUAGGAAACUAUAGCGGUUUUUAUCCACUCUCCUAGAAUUAUCAAGAAAACUACUAAUUUUCAGCUCACUAAGAAUAUGGUUCCUAAUAUUUCGGAGAAACUGUUUUGACUGAAUCGUGCUUCCUGGUAACUUCCUGGUCGAGGUGACCAAUAACAUCAUAGUCGAGGAAAUGUGCUCGAGGUCACCACAACAACAUCCUGAUCGAGAUGUUCUGCUCAACCAUUUGCUCACUUUUAUUUUGAGGAGAGCACGAUAAUGUAUGAGCAAACACAUUUAUUUUGGUCACCCUAUUUCAUUCCAUAAACAAGACAUGUAGAAAAUAAGGGAUACAUUAUGAAAAACAUUAAACAUGUAAUAAUUUUUUUUUGAAAUUAUACAUAAAACUUGAGAUGAUUCGGACAAUCAUAUAAAACAAUAAUCUUAAAUGCUUUACCGCUUUACGAUUAAAAGCACAACAUGAGUAAAACAUGCAGCCGGCUAUGAGAGAGUGCGAUUUGCCAAAAGUCUUAGAUUCUACAGGGCAGGAGCGAAGGAGGUAUAUGGUUAGAGAGUGCAAUGGUACCUAUAGAACUUGAAAAUUUUCCUUUGAAUUUGGCCUCAUGAAAUUUUAUUGUUAUUAGGCUAUUAGGCUUUGCAACCUAAAGCACAUUUAUUUAAUUAGGAGAGCCCAAUACCUAUAAAAUAGUGUAGAGGCAAAUUAGUAAUUUAGUUUUAUAACCCACAUAAUCAAUAUUUUGUUAGUAGGCUAGUGGCCUUUGUAACUUAGAGUAAGUUUAGUUAAUUAGGAGGGUCCAAUGCUUAUAAAAUAGUGCAUAAAUUUUCUCACUGGGAUGUGUGAUUAAUUGUGGGGAGCUUAUAAAAGCCAAACUAAAUUUGUUUUUAUAAUCUUGAUAUUAUUAUAUAAUGUAAAGGAUAAAGAGACCCAUAAUUGGUCAAAUAGUGUUAUUAUUUUGCAAUAUGUCACAAUUAAUCAAAUAAAAAAUAUAUAAAUAUAUUUAAUUUUGUUAGAUCAAAGAUAAAGACCGAUUGAAGACUUAGUCAAAGAAUGACGGUAUUAUUUUACACCAUGUCACAAUUAAUCAAACGAAAAAAAUAUAUUAUUUUCAUCUAACAAUUUGAUUAUAAGCUUUUGUUCUAUAAUGCUGGUAGAAUAGAAACAAAUCAAUCAAUUAAAUUUCCCGACACUUUUUGAAAUGCUUCAAUUCUAUAAAAUUUAGUUUGUCCAUACUUCUUGGAAAAGGGUUCCCUUCAUUUUCAUUUCAAUUCAACAAACAUGAAUGUAACAUUUAGCUUUUUAAUCAUUCGGAACCCAGGCAAGUGGCAUGGGAAGUGGAACUAAAUCCAAUUGAAGAAUGAUUUUUUUAAAUCAUUUUUGAAUUAAUUUAUUGUGUUAGUUAUAAUUCACAUGACUUGACAGUUGGUUCAUUUGAAAUAAUUUUUUGGUGAUAUGUAGCACUACUCUUAUGGCAUGUUUAAUUUGAAGAAAUAUAAGGAGAGAAAAGGAGUAGAGGGGAAAAAAUUAAGGGAAGGAAAAUAAAUUUCAUAUCUAACAAAACAAUGAAAAUGAGAUUGAUUCCCCUUUUUUUCUCUCAUUUUCUCUCCCAUUCUUUUCUUUUUAUUCCUCUCCUCUCCUACCAUUUCUUUCGACCGAACAUGGAAAAAUGAAUUCUAUGUCGAACCAAACAAUAAAAAUGAUAUUAACCCCCUUUUUCUCACUAAUUUUCUCUCCCGUUCUUUCCUUUCUAUUCCUUUUGUCUCCUACUAUUUCUUCCAACCGAACAUGGGCUUAGGAUAAAAGUAUGAGAUAAUGUUCAAGAAGCCUACUCUUAUUCUUUUUUAGGAAAUUAUCAUUUAUCUACCUUAAGGUUAUAAUAUCAUAAAAAUACUCUAAAAUUUUGAAUUUAUAUCAACCAUACACCGAAAAAAUAGAAUUACUCUUACAAAAUAACUGUUAAUAUAUUUUGCUUUUACUUUUGUUUGUCAUUUCGUAAGGGUAGUUAUACUUUUUUUAGUGGAUAGUUAAUGUAAAUUGCAAACUUUGGACUGAAAAUUGAACAAAUUCAGGCUUUUGUAAUAUUUUUUUAUAAGAUACUAAACUUAAGGUGGAUAAUUAAUAAUUUUCUUUCUUUUUCAAAAUAGUUAUAAUAAUAACUUAGGAGCUGUUUUUUUUUUUUUUACUUAAUUUCAAUCAGUUAAGUUAUUAAGUUUGUUUGUUUUUUCAAUUUAAUGAAAAUUUUCAGUCAUUAAGUUAUUAAGCUAAUUUUUUAAUUUUUUUUUGCUUAAAUUAAAAAGUCAGAAUGAUAUUAUUAAAAGAUAUUCUCCAAAAUAUCCUUAUCUAACUAAUUAUUUUUCAUCUAUACCUAAAUAAAAUUUAAUAAUUAGCGUUAUUACCAAUAUCUAUAACUUGUGAUAAUAUAGUAAUGGACUAUUAUUAUUUUUAUCUUUUUAUUUUCUUCAAAUUAGCAUUAUUUAUCUUCAUAUUUUUUAUGAAUAUUUUUCAUAUAAAAACAUCAUAAACUAAUAACAAAGUUGAUUAACAUAUACUAAUUUAGAAUAUAAAUGGUUGUAUUCAAUUAAAUAUGAUUUAUAUUAUGAUAAUAUAUUACCUUAUUUAAGUUCUUUGAGAUGUUUCUGUUGAUGCUGAAAUCUGAUCGCCUUUUACUCGACCAAAUCGUUCCACCAACGCUUGUGUGGUCAAUGGAGAAGAUACCGCCCUCUCUCUGCUUCAGCAAUUUCCCGAGCUCCUAGGUCUGAAUCAUCAUUUCUCUUCUUUCUAAGCCUGCGUUCACAAAAAUAUAUCAGAGACGCCGGUGGUUUUGCCGGCAUAAACCCUUCGAAGCUUAAGUUAGCACAAGGUGUUUACGGGAAAACUAUAUAAUUUAAAUUGUGUGAACUCCUUAUAAUGUUCUCAACCUCACGUAUCUCAAAGAUUUGUAUGGAAUGUAAUCUGGUUUCAAUUUGGCAGAGUUUUCCCUUCCCUCUCAAUUUCUAUGUCCCCUCUUCAUCGGUCUCUUGGCUUCUUAUAGCCAUCAUCCCAUGUUUUCUGAGUAUUCUUCAUGCCCCCUAUUUUUGGGUGAUAACAGACCCUCAUGGGUCUCCAACCACCGAAUCGUGGGUAAACGUGGGAUGUCACGUUCUCCCCGGCGGUUCGGGGCAUGGCGAAACUGCCGCGAUUUCGUGAGAUCGUGUCCUCUUUCUUUGGGUGAUGAGCAUCUGGUCGAUACGUAUCUCUGGUCGGUGCUCGUUUCUAGUUGGCACAUGCCCAUACACGAUGUUUUGCUAGGACUCUGCUCAUGCCAUUCAGCUGGGGAGAUUCGCCUCAGGGUGAGGGAUGAGGGCAUAGCUAAGCUGGUACUUUUCAUUACUCACAUAGUUGAGCUAGUCCUUUUCAUUACUCAAUAGUUUCUUAUUUUUUUAAUAUUUAUAAUUUGUAAUGGUAGAAAAGUAAAAAAAUUCAUUUUCAGAUUUUUAAGUUAAAAAAAUUUAAUAUUUGUUUUAAGCAAUUCAGACAAAGAAACAAAGGUAUCAUUUAGAUUCAGGUAUCCAGCUCUCACACUAAUUUAGGUCUAUUCAGAUUUCAGACAAAAAAACAAACGCCACCUUAGAUCACUUCUAAAAAAAUGUGAGUAGGGUUCGAACCUUAAACACUUGUUUUCACUCAAAAGAUUUAAACAAUUAAACUAACUGGCACCCACAAGUCAGUAUUGUUCUUAAACUUUCAACUAAUCAAAGUAAAACUGAAUUGGCUAUUAAAUAUUUAAUAUCAAUUCAGACUACAAGUAUAACUUAUGAUAUUGUGCAAUAGUAAUUUAGUUUUAUAACUUACAUAAUCAAUAUUUUAAAAUGAAAUCCAAUAAUUUACAAAAACUGUAUUUUAUACGAAAUAAAAAAUUCUUGAAGUUAAAAUUAUUUAUUUGCAGUUAUUUUGGCACUUUAUAAUGGUAAAACAAUAUAAUUAAACUAAUAUUAAAUCAACCUUAAUGGUAAAAGAUGUUUAGUCACAGAAAAUAAAUAAAGAAAGAAGGAUAUAACUGAUUAAUUGUCUAAACUUUUUCUUUGUUUGAAUUUUAAAUUAAUUUUAUUAAUUAUUUUUAGUUUAGAGUUGGCAAAAAUUAUGGGGGAGGGGGAUAUCAUCCCUGAGAAAUUAUUGGGCGACCACCUAAGUAUUGGACAAUAUUGAAAAAAAAAAAGAAAAAAAAACACUAAAAUUUUCAUAAACAUGGCACAAAAAUACUUAAAAAUUUAGCAAGUGUAUCCCCAAAUUACUUUUAUGUUAACCUUCAUUAUUGUAUUCCGACGUCACAAGGGUGAAUCUGAUCACCAUCCGCAGUUCUAAAUUUAGAGUGUUUAAACCUAAAAAUUACGUGCAUGCAAAGCAAAAGAGUCAAAUUCGGAUUUACCCACCCUGCUAAAUCCUGCCUCUAAAAGGACAGUAACAUUAGCGUCAUUUUUAGGAAUUCAAUACGUUGAAUCCAUUAUCUACGAUAAUGUAGAAUAAUAAUUUUUCAUUGUUAUGUUGUUUUGUUGCUGUUGUUGUAUAACGGUACGCGUUGACUUUGACAACAAUUUUUGGACGGCCACCUAUCGCUAGUUAUAAAACAAAAUGGCUCUUAAAAUAUGGUCGUCAUACUCAAAAUUUGGAAAGACGGUGCAAACUUCAGACAAAAUUUUCAAUCGCUCAAAAAGUUUUGAGUGAAUGUCUUAUGCACUAAUAUCGAAAUUAGUUGUUUGCAUAACCAGUUUAGAAUAAUUGUGGGUUUUGUUUGGCUUCAGUUGUAAUGGAGGGUGACAUUACAUACCGGCCUACUAGUUGUUUAAGUCCAAGUGCUUCUACAUGGAGAAGCACUUCCGAGGGUACAUUUCCAAGGUCUCCAAAAGAAGAAGACGAUGAUGAGGAGGCUCUAAAACGGGCUGCUCUUGAGAAUUUGCCUACUUAUAAUAGUCCUUUCAGGAAAAUGAUAACUAAUUCAAGUGGUGAAGCUACUGAAGCUGAUGAUGUUUCUACUCUUGGACCGCAAGCAAGGCAGAAGUUGAUUGAUAAAUUGGUCAGAGAACCUUCAGUUGAUAAUGAGCACUUCUUGUUGAAGCUCAGGGACCGCUUUGACGCGUAAUUUUCUUUUUCAUCAAAAUUUUCUCGGUAGCCAAACAGAGGAGUUCUGUUCUGGUUCCCGAAGUUGUUCUUUUCAUGUGUAUUCUUUAGAUGGUAUGCAUGCAGUCUAUAAGUUUUUGUUAAAAAAAUAUAAAAAUAAGCAAUCUGUAUGGGCAUUGGUUACUUUAUCUAAUAGACUAGUUUUCUGAGUUGAAUGCUUCAAUGAUUGGUGAUCUUUUAACUGAAGAACCUUUUUAUUUUUUUUAUAAGGGUGUUGAAUUUUUAAGUUGUGAGUUUGUAUUUAGGAUAUGAUUGUCAUAUUUUUUUUUUUUGGCAGAGUUGGAAUAGACCUUCCUGAAGUCGAAGUUCGAUAUGAAAAUUUGAAUGUUGAAGCUGAAGCAUUUUUAGCAAGUAAAGCCUUGCCAACAUUCACUAACUUCUUUACCAACAUCAUCGAGGUAGCACUCUGCAAGUAGAAAUCACUAAUAUUUAUAAAAUUGGUUGUGUUUUGUGUUUAGUUUAUUUAUUUUUUAACAACCUGCAAACGUUUGAAGGGUUCCUUGAACUCUCUCCAAAUUCUGCCAACUAGAAAGAAACACUUGACAAUCCUGAAGGAUGUAAGUGGAAUCAUAAGGCCAGGCAGGUGAGAAUUUAAUUCCUAUUGCUUCUCAAUUUACUUGUGUUUUAUUGAAUUUUUGGGUACUGAUCUCAAAUUUUUUGCAGCAUGACAUUGCUUUUGGGUCCUCCAAGUUCUGGCAAGACCACACUUCUGUUGGCUUUGGCCGGGAAGCUUGAUUCUAGUCUAAAGGUGACUAAUUAGUAAAAAUCUCUAAUUAUUUCAGAGAGUUUUCGCUCUCAACAGUUAUAUAGACCCUAUUUGGGAUUGAGAUAUUGUAACUUUUAAAUUAUCACUAGUGUGAAAAAAUUUAUAACUAUGAAAUAAAAGUUAAUAUUAUGUAGUAAAAAUAAUUUUUAAAUGAAUAUUUUGACAAAAUCAGUAAAGAAAUAAUGGAUUUUUCAUCAUAAUUAAUGUAAAAUCAAAUCAAUUUAGCUUAUAAAUUACAUCAACUAGUGUUUAUCAAAUACUUUAAUACUGUAUCUUUGAAGUUACAGCUACCCAAUCUUAAUUCCAAAUAAACCUAUAGUCCACUCUUUUUAAUUAUGUCUAAUUGAAGAAUCAAACUGUCUCCUUGUAGGUUUCUGGCAGGGUGACAUACAAUGGUCACAACAUGGACGAAUUUGAGCCUCAGAGAGUAGCUGCUUAUAUCAGUCAACAUGAUAAUCAUAUCGGCGAAAUGACUGUGAGGGAAACUUUGGCCUUCUCUGCUAGAUGCCAGGGGGUUGGAUCCCGUUUUGGUAGGUUUGAUUUUUUUUUUUUUUAGCUUUUAUUUUCCCUUCAGCUAUAAAACUCGUUGCUUUUGAGAAAUGCAGACAUGUUAACAGAGUUGGACAAAAGAGAAAACGAAGCAGGUAUAAAGCCGGAUCCUGAUAUUGAUGUCUUCAUGAAGGUAAGAGCAGCCGACGUUUGUUUAAAACAUGUUUAGCAUCUAGCGAACUGAAUCAUAAAAAUCAUUUGUUAUAGUUGAGUUUCAAUUAAGCUAGUCUUCAAUCUUGUGCUCCCAUGGCUUAAAUUGAAUCCUAAUAUAUGAACUUUGAUGUUCAAUUAGCCCAUUUCACUUUUGUCCGAUAAAAAUAGAGUUGGAAGGGAAUCAUUGUUAUUGACAAGGAGUCACAUUCAUGGUGAUUGAAUAAGUUAUGGUAAUUCUCUAUCUUGUAAUGUCUCAGGCAGCAGCAACUGAAGGCCAAGAGGCCAAUGUACUCACAGAUUAUUAUCUAAAGGUUUUAGGACUUGAUAUCUGUGCUGAUACCUUGGUCGGUGAUGAAAUGAUAAGAGGUAUAUCAGGUGGGCAAAAAAGGCGUGUGACAACAGGUAAAUGCUAAGCUUCGUAGAUUCAUUUCUGUUUCGUUCACAGGUUAAAAAAAAGAAAAAAUAUCAAUGCCUAUACUUACACAUACAAAAAUUUCAUUCAAGUAUAGGUGAAAUAUUGGUAGGACCAGCUUUGGCACUGUUUAUGGAUGAGAUAUCUAAUGGCUUGGACAGCUCGACAACUUUUCAAAUCGUGAAUUCUAUUAGGCAAAAUAUUCAUAUCCUUAAUGGAACCGCAGUGAUAUCUCUACUGCAGCCAGCACCGGAGACUUAUGAUCUAUUUGAUGAUAUUAUCCUUCUAUCUGAUGGCCUGAUUGUGUACCUGGGUCCCCGCGAACUGGUGCUAGAUUUUUUUGAAUCCAUGGGCUUUAAAUGUCCAGAAAGGAAAGGCGUGGCUGACUUCUUACAAGAAGUAAGAGCAAAUAAAGCUGUUUCUUUUAAAAUACGAGUCUCCUGUCUUUCAAAUAAAAUAAUGCGGUGGCUUAAGUUGUUCACAAGCUAAGAUGGAAGUAAACUGUAACUUCUCGUAUACAGGUGACUUCAAGGAAAGACCAACAGCAGUAUUGGGCCCAUAAAGAGAUGCGUUACAGGUUUGUCACAGUUCAGGAAUUUUCUGAGGCAUUCCAAUCGUUUCAUGUGGGACAGAAACUCACAGCGGAGCUUCGAACUCCAUUUGACAAGAGCAAGAGCCACCCAGCUGCUUUGAGUAUGAAAGAGUACGGUGUGGGCAAGAAGGAAUUAUUGAAAGCUAAUAUCUCAAGAGAAUUUUUGCUCAUGAAAAGAAAUUCAUUUGUCUACAUCUUCAAGCUCACCCAAGUGAGUAUUAACUUAGUUUUGAACUGUUUUAGUUUUUUCUUGAAGUGAUAAAUGAUUUAUUGAUACAUUCCCCCGCUACAAGCUUUCAACUGUGGCAAUGGUAUCUAUGUCACUCUUCUUCAGAACGAAGAUGCCCAAAGAUUCAGUAAACGAUGGAGGAAUUUACAUUGGUGCCUCAUUCUUUGCUGUUAUGAUGACAAUGUUCAAUGGAAUGUCAGAUAUUUCUAUGACCAUAGCUAAGCUUCCCGUCUUCUACAAGCAAAGAGACCUCCGAUUCUAUCCUGCCUGGUCAUAUGCCCUUCCUGCAUGGAUAGUCAAGAUCCCUAUCUCAUUCCUGGAGGUUGCCGCUUGGGUAUUCCUCACCUAUUAUGUAAUUGGGUUUGAUCCCAACGUUGGAAGGUAAAUUUGCUAGUAUAACCUGAGAAUAUUUGAUUUCAUGACCUGUUUAUCCAAUUAGUUUAAGAGUUGAUUUUCUUGCUGCAGGUUUUUUAAGCAGUACUUGCUUCUCUUAUUUGUUAACCAGAUGGCUACUGCAUUGUUCCGAUUCAUUGGAGCAGCAGGCAGGAACAUGAUUGUUGCUAUGUCAUUUGGUUCAUUUGCAUUGCUUAUGCUUUUUGCAUUGGGUGGAUUUGUUCUUUCACGAGGUACAGAAAUAUACAAGUAAAAUAGUCUAGUUAGCUACUUUAUCAAAAUAUAACUAUCAUACUUCCAUUUCAUUUCUAAAAACACAGAUGACAUCAAUAAAUGGUGGAUAUGGGGUUAUUGGUGUUCACCUAUGAUGUAUGCGCAGAAUGCAAUAGUGGCUAACGAGUUCCUUGGGCACAGUUGGAGAAAGGUAAUUCCCAGAUUUAAGCCGUGUCCAUGAUUGUGUAUUUGUCUUUUAGUAAAAUUCUGAUGUCUGUAAUUUUUCAUAUCAUAGUUCACUACAAACUCAAAUGAAUCACUUGGAGUGCAAGCUUUGAAGUCUCGUGGGUUCUUUCCACAUGCAUAUUGGUAUUGGCUUGGAUUGGGGGCUGUGAUAGGUUUUUUACUAGUGUUCAACGUUGGUUUCACUCUGUCACUUACUUUUCUCAACAGUGGGUAUCUUUACCUUCUUCGUUUUAAUUACUUCUUCUAAAACAGUGAGUUUAUGUUGUAAUUUCAUAUGAAUAUAUAUGUGCAGAAUUUGAGAAGCCUCGGGCUGUUAUAUUAGACGAAUCUGAAAGUAAUGAAAAAGAUAACAGAACUGGAGGAACUCUUCAGUCAUCAACCAGUGGAAGUAGUUCUAGCCUCCGAACUCGCUCAGGUGGUAAAGUCUUCUGGUUUAUUUGAGAAAAUAUGAGAUAUUUUGUGGCAUGCAGUGGAAUUGGUGCUAAUCAAUUAUUGUUAAUACGCAGAGAGUGGAGAUUACAUUUGGGAAAGAAGCUCCUCUAUGUCCUCUUCUGUGACAGAGACAGCCGUUGAGAUCAGAAAUCUAAUUAGGAAAAAAGGGAUGGUUCUUCCAUUUGAACCUCAUUCCCUUACUUUUGAUGAGGUCGUUUACUCAGUUGACAUGCCACAGGUAACAUUAAUUUGAAAACCAAACAGGAAAUUUAAAAGGUUUGAUGAAGACUAAUUGGUUCGAUCUAAUUUUGCAGGAAAUGAAACUUCAAGGUGUCCAUGAAGAUAAAUUAGUGCUUCUAAAUGGUGUGAGCGGUGCUUUCAGGCCCGGGGUUCUUACAGCGUUAAUGGGUGUCAGUGGUGCUGGUAAAACCACUUUGAUGGAUGUGUUAGCUGGUAGGAAAACGGGUGGAUAUAUUACUGGGAGCAUAACAAUAUCUGGUUACCUGAAAAAACAGGAAACAUUUACUCGCAUUUCAGGAUACUGCGAGCAAAAUGACAUCCACUCUCCUUUAGUUACUGUCUAUGAGUCAUUGCUCUACUCGGCCUGGCUUCGUUUACCACCUGAAGUUGAUUCUGAAACCAGAAAGGUGGGUAAUGAAGUCACCUGAAGUGUUCUGUUAUUGAAAACUAAAAUAAGUUAAACACGGUCAACAAGAAUAGAAACGGUUUCAUUCCCUCAAUACAUUCUUGGAUGGAUAUGGUCAUACCAAUUUUCAGUUUUACCCUUGAUUUACAGAUGUUUAUUGAAGAAAUCAUGGAGCUCGUGGAGCUGAACCCAUUGAGACAAUCACUGGUUGGUUUGCCUGGUGUAAGUGGUCUGUCAACAGAGCAGCGUAAGAGACUUACGAUCGCGGUUGAGCUAGUGGCUAGCCCGUCCAUCAUAUUUAUGGAUGAGCCAACUUCAGGGCUAGAUGCAAGGGCUGCUGCAAUUGGAGUUGCCACUGUGGAUUGGCGAUAGGGCUGAAGUUUCACUAGAACUUGGUCCCCAAUAGAAAAUUGAGCUUCACGUCUAUGAGCAUCAACCUUUUGAAUCAUGCGAUGUUGAGCUUGACACAAAUUCUCUUUCAAAGAGCGGAGUAACACAUCCCGCUCACUUAAUGCUUCAUCAAGAGCUUGGAUUGAAGUAGAGCCCUUGGAGUAAGGAGGGAUUGAUGGAGGUGGCUGCCCAAAAAGAGCCUAAAAAGGAGACAUUUUGAUGCUGCUAUGAUAAGAAGAAUUGUAGGAAAAUUCAGCCCACCCGAGUAGAGAUACCCAUGAAGUCGGUUUUUCUUGAGUGAAAGCGCGGAGAUAUUGUUCCAAUCCGCGAUUGACAACCUUCGAUUGUCCAUCUAUUUGUGGGUGAUAGGUGGUACUGCGGCGAAGAGUAGUGCCACUUAACUCAAAUAUUUUUUUCCAAAAAUCGCUCAAGAAUACAGGAUCACGAUCAGAGAUAAUAGAGCUAGGAAAACCAUGAAGCUUGAUAACCAUAUCCACAAAUAAUUCAGCUGUCUUCACAGCAGUAAAUUGAGUUGGAAGGAGUCCAAAGUGCAUUGAUUUAGUAAGGCGAUCAACAACUACCAAGAUCACGGAGAAACCACGAGAAACCGGAAGGCCAGUAAUGAAGUCCAUAGUGAGCUCGUCCCAAACUAAAGUUGGAAUGGAAGAGGCUACAGUGGCCCCGCUGGUGCUUGAGUGAAAUAUUCUGGUUGGUUCAACUGAAUUUGGAAGGUUGUAUCAACAUGCCUGACCAUAUUAGAGGGAGUGGAAGUUAGAAUAUAGACCCAACCAAAGUAUAUGCAUAAACCCAUCACAAAAAGGCCGAAGAUUGAAUCCAAGAGACCGCAAUGGCUGAGUCAAACUCUACCUCCAACACAUAGUAACAAAGUUGAGCAACCAACUCUAAACCCUCACAAACUGCCAUCAGCUCAGAAUAAAGGAUUGCCUGAUGGCUCACAAAAGAACUACAAGCAGCCAAGACCAUACCUUGGUAAUCAUGAAAAAUACCACAUGUCGUAGACAUCCCAAGAUUGCGCUUCACGAAGAAUUAAGCAACCCUGCUCCAGGUUCAAAAGACAUUUAUUUUCCUACUCAGUACUCUCGGUCAUUUUUCAUGCAAUUUAUGGCUUGUUUGUGGAAACAACACUGGUCAUACUGUGUUUGAAACUAUGUUCUGAGACAUGGGCACUAAAAUGUGAGUUACGACUAGGAAUCUAUAAAAUUAUAUACUUAAAUGUUAUUCACAGCCUCGUAGUUAGAUAUUCCUUUUAAUCUAAAUUUUGACAUUUUAAAUUUGUAGGAAACGGAACCAAGAUCUGUUUAAUGCAAUGGGUUCAAUGUACACUGUUGUUUUCUUCGUUGGCGUGCAAUAUUGUUCGUCAGUGCAGCCAGUAGUAGCUGUUGAAAUGGCAGUCUUUUAUAGGGAAAAAGGCGCUGGAAUGUACUCUGGCAUGCCAUAUCCAAUUUUUUCACUUGUCGAAAGGAAUUGUGUUUCUUUACUGAUGCAUUUUAUUUUUCUUUUCCGCUGGUUAUGAUCAAGAUACCUUAUAUUUUUUUUUGUGUCCGUGGUGUAUGGUGUUAUAGUGUAUGCUAUGAUUGGAUUUGAAUGGACAGCCGCCAAGUUCUUUUGGUAUUUGUUUGUUAUGUUCUUCACCUUGUUGCACUUCACCUUUUAUGGCAUGAUGAUAGUGGCUAUAACACCAAAUCACCACAUUUCUGCCAUUGUUUCGAUUUUAUUUUAUGGAUUGUGGAAUGUCUUUUCCGGGUUUGUUAUCCCAAGACCGGUAAGUAUUGUUUUCACCAUUUUUAUUUUUGAUUCUAGGUUUCAUAGCUUACCCAAAAUUUUGUAGCUGAUUCUGCUGUACGGCCAAGGCGGAUGUACGGUACAGCAGGCAUAAACCCUUCGAAGCUUAAGUUAGCACAAGGUGUUUACGGGAAAACUAUAUAAUUUAAAUUGUGUGAACUCCUUAUAAUGUUCUCAACCUCACGUAUCUCAAAGAUUUGUAUGGAAUGUAAUCUGGUUUCAAUUUGGCAGAGUUUUCCCUUCCCUCUCAAUUUCUAUGUCCCCUCUUCAUCGGUCUCUUGGCUUCUUAUAGCCAUCAUCCCAUGUUUUCUGAGUAUUCUUCAUGCCCCCUAUUUUUGGGUGAUAACAGACCCUCAUGGGUCUCCAACCACCGAAUCGUGGGUAAACGUGGGAUGUCACGUUCUCCCCGGCGGUUCGGGGCAUGGCGAAACUGCCGCGAUUUCGUGAGAUCGUGUCCUCUUUCUUUGGGUGAUGAGCAUCUGGUCGAUACGUAUCUCUGGUCGGUGCUCGUUUCUAGUUGGCACAUGCCCAUACACGAUGUUUUGCUAGGACUCUGCUCAUGCCAUUCAGCUGGGGAGAUUCGCCUCAGGGUGAGGGAUGAGGGCAUAGCUAAGCUGGUACUUUUCAUUACUCACAUAGUUGAGCUAGUCCUUUUCAUUACUCAAUAGUUUCUUAUUUUUUUAAUAUUUAUAAUUUGUAAUGGUAGAAAAGUAAAAAAAUUCAUUUUCAGAUUUUUAAGUUAAAAAAAUUUAAUAUUUGUUUUAAGCAAUUCAGACAAAGAAACAAAGGUAUCAUUUAGAUUCAGGUAUCCAGCUCUCACACUAAUUUAGGUCUAUUCAGAUUUCAGACAAAAAAACAAACGCCACCUUAGAUCACUUCUAAAAAAAUGUGAGUAGGGUUCGAACCUUAAACACUUGUUUUCACUCAAAAGAUUUAAACAAUUAAACUAACUGGCACCCACAAGUCAGUAUUGUUCUUAAACUUUCAACUAAUCAAAGUAAAACUGAAUUGGCUAUUAAAUAUUUAAUAUCAAUUCAGACUACAAGUAUAACUUAUGAUAUUGUGCAAUAGUAAUUUAGUUUUAUAACUUACAUAAUCAAUAUUUUAAAAUGAAAUCCAAUAAUUUACAAAAACUGUAUUUUAUACGAAAUAAAAAAUUCUUGAAGUUAAAAUUAUUUAUUUGCAGUUAUUUUGGCACUUUAUAAUGGUAAAACAAUAUAAUUAAACUAAUAUUAAAUCAACCUUAAUGGUAAAAGAUGUUUAGUCACAGAAAAUAAAUAAAGAAAGAAGGAUAUAACUGAUUAAUUGUCUAAACUUUUUCUUUGUUUGAAUUUUAAAUUAAUUUUAUUAAUUAUUUUUAGUUUAGAGUUGGCAAAAAUUAUGGGGGAGGGGGAUAUCAUCCCUGAGAAAUUAUUGGGCGACCACCUAAGUAUUGGACAAUAUUGAAAAAAAAAAAGAAAAAAAAACACUAAAAUUUUCAUAAACAUGGCACAAAAAUACUUAAAAAUUUAGCAAGUGUAUCCCCAAAUUACUUUUAUGUUAACCUUCAUUAUUGUAUUCCGACGUCACAAGGGUGAAUCUGAUCACCAUCCGCAGUUCUAAAUUUAGAGUGUUUAAACCUAAAAAUUACGUGCAUGCAAAGCAAAAGAGUCAAAUUCGGAUUUACCCACCCUGCUAAAUCCUGCCUCUAAAAGGACAGUAACAUUAGCGUCAUUUUUAGGAAUUCAAUACGUUGAAUCCAUUAUCUACGAUAAUGUAGAAUAAUAAUUUUUCAUUGUUAUGUUGUUUUGUUGCUGUUGUUGUAUAACGGUACGCGUUGACUUUGACAACAAUUUUUGGACGGCCACCUAUCGCUAGUUAUAAAACAAAAUGGCUCUUAAAAUAUGGUCGUCAUACUCAAAAUUUGGAAAGACGGUGCAAACUUCAGACAAAAUUUUCAAUCGCUCAAAAAGUUUUGAGUGAAUGUCUUAUGCACUAAUAUCGAAAUUAGUUGUUUGCAUAACCAGUUUAGAAUAAUUGUGGGUUUUGUUUGGCUUCAGUUGUAAUGGAGGGUGACAUUACAUACCGGCCUACUAGUUGUUUAAGUCCAAGUGCUUCUACAUGGAGAAGCACUUCCGAGGGUACAUUUCCAAGGUCUCCAAAAGAAGAAGACGAUGAUGAGGAGGCUCUAAAACGGGCUGCUCUUGAGAAUUUGCCUACUUAUAAUAGUCCUUUCAGGAAAAUGAUAACUAAUUCAAGUGGUGAAGCUACUGAAGCUGAUGAUGUUUCUACUCUUGGACCGCAAGCAAGGCAGAAGUUGAUUGAUAAAUUGGUCAGAGAACCUUCAGUUGAUAAUGAGCACUUCUUGUUGAAGCUCAGGGACCGCUUUGACGCGUAAUUUUCUUUUUCAUCAAAAUUUUCUCGGUAGCCAAACAGAGGAGUUCUGUUCUGGUUCCCGAAGUUGUUCUUUUCAUGUGUAUUCUUUAGAUGGUAUGCAUGCAGUCUAUAAGUUUUUGUUAAAAAAAUAUAAAAAUAAGCAAUCUGUAUGGGCAUUGGUUACUUUAUCUAAUAGACUAGUUUUCUGAGUUGAAUGCUUCAAUGAUUGGUGAUCUUUUAACUGAAGAACCUUUUUAUUUUUUUUAUAAGGGUGUUGAAUUUUUAAGUUGUGAGUUUGUAUUUAGGAUAUGAUUGUCAUAUUUUUUUUUUUUGGCAGAGUUGGAAUAGACCUUCCUGAAGUCGAAGUUCGAUAUGAAAAUUUGAAUGUUGAAGCUGAAGCAUUUUUAGCAAGUAAAGCCUUGCCAACAUUCACUAACUUCUUUACCAACAUCAUCGAGGUAGCACUCUGCAAGUAGAAAUCACUAAUAUUUAUAAAAUUGGUUGUGUUUUGUGUUUAGUUUAUUUAUUUUUUAACAACCUGCAAACGUUUGAAGGGUUCCUUGAACUCUCUCCAAAUUCUGCCAACUAGAAAGAAACACUUGACAAUCCUGAAGGAUGUAAGUGGAAUCAUAAGGCCAGGCAGGUGAGAAUUUAAUUCCUAUUGCUUCUCAAUUUACUUGUGUUUUAUUGAAUUUUUGGGUACUGAUCUCAAAUUUUUUGCAGCAUGACAUUGCUUUUGGGUCCUCCAAGUUCUGGCAAGACCACACUUCUGUUGGCUUUGGCCGGGAAGCUUGAUUCUAGUCUAAAGGUGACUAAUUAGUAAAAAUCUCUAAUUAUUUCAGAGAGUUUUCGCUCUCAACAGUUAUAUAGACCCUAUUUGGGAUUGAGAUAUUGUAACUUUUAAAUUAUCACUAGUGUGAAAAAAUUUAUAACUAUGAAAUAAAAGUUAAUAUUAUGUAGUAAAAAUAAUUUUUAAAUGAAUAUUUUGACAAAAUCAGUAAAGAAAUAAUGGAUUUUUCAUCAUAAUUAAUGUAAAAUCAAAUCAAUUUAGCUUAUAAAUUACAUCAACUAGUGUUUAUCAAAUACUUUAAUACUGUAUCUUUGAAGUUACAGCUACCCAAUCUUAAUUCCAAAUAAACCUAUAGUCCACUCUUUUUAAUUAUGUCUAAUUGAAGAAUCAAACUGUCUCCUUGUAGGUUUCUGGCAGGGUGACAUACAAUGGUCACAACAUGGACGAAUUUGAGCCUCAGAGAGUAGCUGCUUAUAUCAGUCAACAUGAUAAUCAUAUCGGCGAAAUGACUGUGAGGGAAACUUUGGCCUUCUCUGCUAGAUGCCAGGGGGUUGGAUCCCGUUUUGGUAGGUUUGAUUUUUUUUUUUUUUAGCUUUUAUUUUCCCUUCAGCUAUAAAACUCGUUGCUUUUGAGAAAUGCAGACAUGUUAACAGAGUUGGACAAAAGAGAAAACGAAGCAGGUAUAAAGCCGGAUCCUGAUAUUGAUGUCUUCAUGAAGGUAAGAGCAGCCGACGUUUGUUUAAAACAUGUUUAGCAUCUAGCGAACUGAAUCAUAAAAAUCAUUUGUUAUAGUUGAGUUUCAAUUAAGCUAGUCUUCAAUCUUGUGCUCCCAUGGCUUAAAUUGAAUCCUAAUAUAUGAACUUUGAUGUUCAAUUAGCCCAUUUCACUUUUGUCCGAUAAAAAUAGAGUUGGAAGGGAAUCAUUGUUAUUGACAAGGAGUCACAUUCAUGGUGAUUGAAUAAGUUAUGGUAAUUCUCUAUCUUGUAAUGUCUCAGGCAGCAGCAACUGAAGGCCAAGAGGCCAAUGUACUCACAGAUUAUUAUCUAAAGGUUUUAGGACUUGAUAUCUGUGCUGAUACCUUGGUCGGUGAUGAAAUGAUAAGAGGUAUAUCAGGUGGGCAAAAAAGGCGUGUGACAACAGGUAAAUGCUAAGCUUCGUAGAUUCAUUUCUGUUUCGUUCACAGGUUAAAAAAAAGAAAAAAUAUCAAUGCCUAUACUUACACAUACAAAAAUUUCAUUCAAGUAUAGGUGAAAUAUUGGUAGGACCAGCUUUGGCACUGUUUAUGGAUGAGAUAUCUAAUGGCUUGGACAGCUCGACAACUUUUCAAAUCGUGAAUUCUAUUAGGCAAAAUAUUCAUAUCCUUAAUGGAACCGCAGUGAUAUCUCUACUGCAGCCAGCACCGGAGACUUAUGAUCUAUUUGAUGAUAUUAUCCUUCUAUCUGAUGGCCUGAUUGUGUACCUGGGUCCCCGCGAACUGGUGCUAGAUUUUUUUGAAUCCAUGGGCUUUAAAUGUCCAGAAAGGAAAGGCGUGGCUGACUUCUUACAAGAAGUAAGAGCAAAUAAAGCUGUUUCUUUUAAAAUACGAGUCUCCUGUCUUUCAAAUAAAAUAAUGCGGUGGCUUAAGUUGUUCACAAGCUAAGAUGGAAGUAAACUGUAACUUCUCGUAUACAGGUGACUUCAAGGAAAGACCAACAGCAGUAUUGGGCCCAUAAAGAGAUGCGUUACAGGUUUGUCACAGUUCAGGAAUUUUCUGAGGCAUUCCAAUCGUUUCAUGUGGGACAGAAACUCACAGCGGAGCUUCGAACUCCAUUUGACAAGAGCAAGAGCCACCCAGCUGCUUUGAGUAUGAAAGAGUACGGUGUGGGCAAGAAGGAAUUAUUGAAAGCUAAUAUCUCAAGAGAAUUUUUGCUCAUGAAAAGAAAUUCAUUUGUCUACAUCUUCAAGCUCACCCAAGUGAGUAUUAACUUAGUUUUGAACUGUUUUAGUUUUUUCUUGAAGUGAUAAAUGAUUUAUUGAUACAUUCCCCCGCUACAAGCUUUCAACUGUGGCAAUGGUAUCUAUGUCACUCUUCUUCAGAACGAAGAUGCCCAAAGAUUCAGUAAACGAUGGAGGAAUUUACAUUGGUGCCUCAUUCUUUGCUGUUAUGAUGACAAUGUUCAAUGGAAUGUCAGAUAUUUCUAUGACCAUAGCUAAGCUUCCCGUCUUCUACAAGCAAAGAGACCUCCGAUUCUAUCCUGCCUGGUCAUAUGCCCUUCCUGCAUGGAUAGUCAAGAUCCCUAUCUCAUUCCUGGAGGUUGCCGCUUGGGUAUUCCUCACCUAUUAUGUAAUUGGGUUUGAUCCCAACGUUGGAAGGUAAAUUUGCUAGUAUAACCUGAGAAUAUUUGAUUUCAUGACCUGUUUAUCCAAUUAGUUUAAGAGUUGAUUUUCUUGCUGCAGGUUUUUUAAGCAGUACUUGCUUCUCUUAUUUGUUAACCAGAUGGCUACUGCAUUGUUCCGAUUCAUUGGAGCAGCAGGCAGGAACAUGAUUGUUGCUAUGUCAUUUGGUUCAUUUGCAUUGCUUAUGCUUUUUGCAUUGGGUGGAUUUGUUCUUUCACGAGGUACAGAAAUAUACAAGUAAAAUAGUCUAGUUAGCUACUUUAUCAAAAUAUAACUAUCAUACUUCCAUUUCAUUUCUAAAAACACAGAUGACAUCAAUAAAUGGUGGAUAUGGGGUUAUUGGUGUUCACCUAUGAUGUAUGCGCAGAAUGCAAUAGUGGCUAACGAGUUCCUUGGGCACAGUUGGAGAAAGGUAAUUCCCAGAUUUAAGCCGUGUCCAUGAUUGUGUAUUUGUCUUUUAGUAAAAUUCUGAUGUCUGUAAUUUUUCAUAUCAUAGUUCACUACAAACUCAAAUGAAUCACUUGGAGUGCAAGCUUUGAAGUCUCGUGGGUUCUUUCCACAUGCAUAUUGGUAUUGGCUUGGAUUGGGGGCUGUGAUAGGUUUUUUACUAGUGUUCAACGUUGGUUUCACUCUGUCACUUACUUUUCUCAACAGUGGGUAUCUUUACCUUCUUCGUUUUAAUUACUUCUUCUAAAACAGUGAGUUUAUGUUGUAAUUUCAUAUGAAUAUAUAUGUGCAGAAUUUGAGAAGCCUCGGGCUGUUAUAUUAGACGAAUCUGAAAGUAAUGAAAAAGAUAACAGAACUGGAGGAACUCUUCAGUCAUCAACCAGUGGAAGUAGUUCUAGCCUCCGAACUCGCUCAGGUGGUAAAGUCUUCUGGUUUAUUUGAGAAAAUAUGAGAUAUUUUGUGGCAUGCAGUGGAAUUGGUGCUAAUCAAUUAUUGUUAAUACGCAGAGAGUGGAGAUUACAUUUGGGAAAGAAGCUCCUCUAUGUCCUCUUCUGUGACAGAGACAGCCGUUGAGAUCAGAAAUCUAAUUAGGAAAAAAGGGAUGGUUCUUCCAUUUGAACCUCAUUCCCUUACUUUUGAUGAGGUCGUUUACUCAGUUGACAUGCCACAGGUAACAUUAAUUUGAAAACCAAACAGGAAAUUUAAAAGGUUUGAUGAAGACUAAUUGGUUCGAUCUAAUUUUGCAGGAAAUGAAACUUCAAGGUGUCCAUGAAGAUAAAUUAGUGCUUCUAAAUGGUGUGAGCGGUGCUUUCAGGCCCGGGGUUCUUACAGCGUUAAUGGGUGUCAGUGGUGCUGGUAAAACCACUUUGAUGGAUGUGUUAGCUGGUAGGAAAACGGGUGGAUAUAUUACUGGGAGCAUAACAAUAUCUGGUUACCUGAAAAAACAGGAAACAUUUACUCGCAUUUCAGGAUACUGCGAGCAAAAUGACAUCCACUCUCCUUUAGUUACUGUCUAUGAGUCAUUGCUCUACUCGGCCUGGCUUCGUUUACCACCUGAAGUUGAUUCUGAAACCAGAAAGGUGGGUAAUGAAGUCACCUGAAGUGUUCUGUUAUUGAAAACUAAAAUAAGUUAAACACGGUCAACAAGAAUAGAAACGGUUUCAUUCCCUCAAUACAUUCUUGGAUGGAUAUGGUCAUACCAAUUUUCAGUUUUACCCUUGAUUUACAGAUGUUUAUUGAAGAAAUCAUGGAGCUCGUGGAGCUGAACCCAUUGAGACAAUCACUGGUUGGUUUGCCUGGUGUAAGUGGUCUGUCAACAGAGCAGCGUAAGAGACUUACGAUCGCGGUUGAGCUAGUGGCUAGCCCGUCCAUCAUAUUUAUGGAUGAGCCAACUUCAGGGCUAGAUGCAAGGGCUGCUGCAAUUGUUAUGAGAACUGUCAAAAACACAGUAGAAACUGGAAGAACAGUUGUUUGCACGAUCCAUCAACCAAGCAUUGACAUAUUUGAAUCCUUUGAUGAGGUAAGAAAUAUCAAAUACUGGAUUAAAGGAGUCAAAAGUUUUUCCUUUUUACAUUUUCCUUUCUUUACCCGCAUGUUGAUUAUCAUCGUUUAACAAUGUGUUGCAGCUACUUCUCGUGAAGCGAGGGGGACAGGAGAUUUAUUUUGGGCCUCUGGGUCACCAUUCUUGCGAUCUAAUCAACUAUCUGGAAGUAUGACCUGAUGCACAUUCUCAUAUUUCAAAGGAAACCUAACUUGAAAUCACAUUAUAACUUGACUUCCUUUACAUUAUGAAAGUCGCUGAUGCGCAUACAUUUAUUUUUUUGAAGGCAAUUCCUGGAGUCCAAAAAAUUAAAGAUGGUUGCAACCCAGCAACUUGGAUGUUGGAAGUUACGGCUAGAUCACAAGAAUUAGCUUUGGGGGUUGAUUUUCAUAAUAUUUACAAACUCUCAGACUUGUACAGGUAUACUAAUACAGUACCGUCAUUUGUUUAGCUCAAAAUUGACGCUAAUCUAUGCCAUAUGUUCCAGGAGAAACAAAGCACUUAUUGAAGAAUUAAGCAAGCCUGUUCCGGGUUCAAAAGACCUUUAUUUUCCUAUUCAGUACUCUCGGUCAUUUUUCAUGCAAUUUAUGGCUUGUUUGUGGAAACAACACUGGUCAUACUGGCGAAAUCCACCAUACAACGCCGUUAGAUUUCUAUUUACAACUGCCAUAGCUUUGACAUUUGGAACAAUGUUCUGGGACAUGGGCACUGAAGUGUGAGUUGCGACUACGAAUCUGUAAAACUAUAUACUUUAAUCGUUAUUCGCAGUCUCGUAGUUGAAUAUUCCUUUUAAUCUAAAUUAUGACAUUUUAAAUUUGUAGGAAAAGGAACCAAGAUCUGUUCAAUGCAAUGGGUUCAAUGUACACUGCUGUUUUCUUUGUUGGCGCGCAGUAUUGUUCAUCAGUGCAGCCAGUAGUAGCUGUUGAAAGGGCAGUCUUCUAUAGGGAAAAAGGCGCUGGAAUGUACUCUGGCAUGCCAUAUGCAUUUGCACAAGUAAAUUUUUUUGACACAUGAUAUAUAAUUGUUUCACUUCUCGAAAGGAAUUGUGUUUCUUUUCUGAUAUAUUUUAUUUUUCUUUUCUGCAGGUUAUGAUUGAGAUACCUUAUCUAUUUGUUCUGUCAGUAGUGUAUGGCGUUAUAGUGUAUGCUAUGAUUGGAUUUGAGUGGACAGCAGCCAAGUUCUUUUGGUAUUUGUUCUUUAUGUUCUUCACCUUAUUGUACUUCACCUUCUAUGGCAUGAUGACAGUGGCUAUGACACCAAACCACCACAUUGCUGCCAUUGUUUCGACUUUAUUUUAUGGGCUGUGGAAUGUCUUUUCCGGGUUUGUAAUACCAAGACCUGUAAGAAUUUUUCUUCCUCCAUUUCUAUUCAAGAUGCUAGAUAGAUUUCAUAGCUUUCCGAAACUAUGUAGCUAUUUAUUUUCUUGUCUUUCAACUUGUCAAACAACAGAGGAUUCCUGAAUGGUGGAGAUGGUACUACUGGGCAAAUCCUGUAGCUUGGACCAUGUACGGAUUGUUUGCUUCACAGUUUGGAGAUGUAGAGGAAAAAAUGGAAAACGGUGAAACAGUAAAACAGUUUGUCAGAAAUUAUUUUGAUUUCAAACAUGAGUUUCUGGGUGUAGUUGCAGUUGUUGUUGCUGCCUUUGCAGUGCUCUUUGGAGUUCUCUUUGCAGCAGGUAUAAAGAGGUUCAAUUUCCAGAAUCGAUAGAUCUUUGGUUUCAUUUUUGGGAUCAUAUCUGAUGAAUGGAAAAAUAAUUGUUACCAAACUUUCAUAUAUAUAUAUAUAAUAUAUAUAUAUAUACAUAUAUCAUCAUCAUCCAGUGUAAUGAAAGGAGGAUAUCAAUCACUUGUACAGCUUUUCAACAGUAAUAUCUAUAUUUAUGGGAAUUUUUUGCCUUCCUUCUUCUUCUUUUUGGUCAGUAUUCAAAUGUUGUUUCAUUCUUAAUCAAGAUCACUAACAAAUGAAUUUAGAGAAUUACCAGAAACUAACUGAAACAGCGAGAACCGAAUGUGCAACAGAGAGCACACACAGCACAAAGCAGGCGAAUUCAUGAAACAAGAACAAUCAUCUCGCUCUAUCUUUAUUGACAGAAAUCAAACCGGAAUUCAAGAGGGAUUUACAAGCUUUCCAAAGAGCCCUGAUUCCCUCACUGGCUCCAACUACAACUCGAGAUACAAUCUACCAAAGUAGCACUGCUAAUCAGCUUUAAUAGCUCAAGUCAACAAAGUCAAAGCGAUUAUACUAACCAACUUUCUAACUAACCCAACCUGUAGGCCCCACCACUAAUGCCACGUCAGCGAGAUUUUAGCUCCAAAACCAGAAUUUGAACCACUAGGCGGUACGGUUGGCUUUAUAGUAAAAAUUGAAAAAAAAAUUAAUUAAUAAAAAUUAAGCAUUAAUUUUUAAUAUGUACUUCUUAAUGCUUGUAAAUAUAAUGUUGAUGAGCGAGUUUAAGUUGCUACCCCGACCCUCUAUUUAUAUAGAAAUUAUGAUUUUUGUGAUAAACUUUGUUUUAAUGUUCUAAAAAUUUAUGAUUUUUAAUCCGUUAUAUAUAUAUAUAUAUAUGAAAUAAUACAUAUUUCCAUUUUUAAUAAUUAUUUAGUAAUUAAUAUAUGGUUUGAAAAUUGAUAAUUUAUUGCAAUUAUAGGAUGGAUGGGUUUACAAAUGCUAGCUAAGACAUUUACACUCGGUAGAAAAGUUCAAACGAAACGCAAAAUCAUAUUUAAAAUAGCUUUGGAUUAGGUUGGAUACUUGGGUUGUAAAAGAUUUGGGUUGACAUUUAAACGCAACUCAAGCCCAACCCAGAGUUUAUAGGAUACUACAACUUUCGUCAUUUGCACUAAUCCUCGAGUGUAUAAAUAAUGAUUAUUCUUUGAAAUAAAGGAAGAUUGUAGUGCAAAUAGUGAAUAUAUAUCUAGUUUUCACUCUUUCUAACAACUCUUUUGUUUUCAUACAAUCUUAUAAAUUUUUUUAAAAAAAUAGUAUUUUGGGAAUAUUUAUGGUUAAAUCUCUUAACAAACUCUUCAAGAUUGGUAUAAAUAAAACUACAAAAUGUGUUACAAGAUUCUAUUAUCACGCGUAUUCCAUUUUUCCUCAAUAUAGAAUAAAUUAAACCAUCAUUGUUUGUUCUAUGGCUUGAGUCAUUAUUAGUCUAAUAAGGAGCUCAAUAUCCCGUGUCAAUGCUCAAAUUUAUAACUGUUAUUCUCGUAUUCACUUUACUUGAGUCGAGGUGAUUAAUAUUGAUUUUCAAAUCAAUGAAUUUAAUAUUUGAUUAAGCUCACCCAAAAAGAUAUUACUUGAGUUUCUUAAGCUAACUUGGAUAAAGCACGUUUUGGUAUUAUUUUUUAACAACUCUAGUUUUUAAAUUAUAAUAUUAAAGUGUUUGAUAAAUUUAUGAUUUAAAAGUUAAGGUGGUUUUAUAUUUGAUAAAAAGAAUAAAAUAAUUUUCAUAACUCCUAUUAAUUUAUCAAAAAAUUUAUUUAAAAUUCUUAAAGUCAUAUUUACCCUUUAAAAAAAAUCCUAUUUACUAAAUAUUAUGAAUUUUUAUUUCACAGCUUGAGAUUUUUCAUUUCACAACAAUUAAAUAUCAAACAUAUGGGCUUAUCUCGGACUAGGUGGGAACGGCCCAACUGGAUUUUGGAUUCUUUUAAAGAACAAUUUCAAAAAAGGCUCUGUAAAACCCCAUAUGAUUUUGAAAUCCCCUAGUCUAAAAGCCUGAUUCUUUUUAAUUUGAUUAGUUACUUUGAUUUUAUAAUAAUAAUAAUAAUAAUAAUAAUAAUAAUAACAAUAAUAAAGAACCAGGUUUCUUCUUACAUUUUUUUUUUACUUAGUUGUAUAUGAGUGCUUGCCAAAAAAAAAAUGUUUAUAUUAACAUUGAAACUAUCAUGCAUCACUUUGAAAACAAGAAAAUUCCUCGACAAUUGUAUGAAGCUAAAAGUAUGAAUUAUCAAUUAAUAUUAUAAUUAUAGUGUUACAAAUUAUAAAGUGCAUCUUAUAUAUUGAAAGAACUGUGAUAGUUGGAAGAGAAAUUACUACCAAAACAAGAUUUAAACGGUGAAAACAAUGGUUCAUAAUAAAAGAUGGUGAUACCAAUCCGCCCACUUAAAAGCUAAAAAAAGAUCUCCUGCAAUAAUACUGAUAAAUUAAGACAAAAUUAACUAAUAACUGAGAUAAAGUUAUUUUUAAAAAAUCCUAAGUGAGUAGUGCCCAAGGAAAAGCUGGAAAGCUGUAAAUAGAGAACGGGUUUGGUGGUGCCCCUCAAAUGAGAUGGAGGGGGAGAUUUGUAGGAUCCAUUUCACAUUGGUGGACUAAAAAGCCCAAAGUCUAAAAUAAUUAACUUGAUGUGUAAUUAUUAUAAAAUUUUGAACUUGGAUGAAAUUAACCAUAAAAUAUACAAAGAAAGUAAGUAAAGAAUCACUAGAGCUAUAGCCACUUCACGAAUUGAGAAGACGUUGUUAGAGAGAAAGACAGAGGUAUUUCUUUGGGGUUUCAAUCUUUGAUUAAAUGAUCAGAAGAUGAUUUUAACUUUAAUUUCUUCCAAAUUUGGAGGGUAAGUUUCUGACAUCGCCCUCUACAUUCCUAUUGAUGUUAAUAUGUAUUUUAUCAUCUCGGUAGUUGUUAUUUGAGAUACCCUCUUAUUAGAGAAAUAUAUAUUAGAUCUAUUGUAAGUUAAGAUUAUUGAGAAUCUUGAUAUUGUUAGCCUCUAGUGUUAUCUGCAGAAGAAUUUAUACUGUAAUCCCAUUAAUAUAGUGGAAAAUUAUAUCGGACUACGGUCCCGUGGUUUUUCUCAAUUUGAGUUUUCGACGUCUCUUGUGGUUGAUUUAUUACUUUGGAUUUGUUGGUUUAUUUUAUCCAAGUCUAAAAUUUUACAAUAAUUACACAUCAAGUUAAUUAUUUUGGACUUUGGGCUUUUUAGUCCACCGAAGUGAGAUGGAUCCUACAAAAAAGCGACUAGCAUAAUUUACACAUUAUGAAAGAAGCUGAUGCAUAAUACCAUUACUUUUAUUAAUGGAAUUCCCGGAAUAGUAAAUAUUAAUUUUUUUUUGGAAACUAUGAAGAUGGCGGGUGAUUAGAUUGAACCCCUACCUAUAAUAUAGAUCAAAUAAUGGAAGAAACAUAAGGAGGAUGACAAGGGCCAAAACCUCCGAUCACAAAAGAAAAUGCAUAAUAAAGGCAUGUAAGUACAUUAAAAACAAAACAAAAAAGAGAUGCAACACUAUGGUCUAAUAAGAGGACUUCCUGCGCAACUAGAUAAAUAAUGCUAGAUAAACUCAAGUGGAAUACCCCAAGGACUUAGAAAAUACUGACGAAGUCAAUGAGUGGAAGUCGAAUUAGCCAUAAAAUCAGUAGCAAAAGUCACCUCUUGGAAAACAUGUGAUACAACCUUUCAAAUUCAGUUGAACCAACCAGAAUAUUUGCAGGAAGAGCAGCCCAAUGAUGAGUUCGAUUAUGAGCAGCCCAAGGAGGAAACCAUGUCACAUGUUGAGGAGGGAGCAGAGCAUAAUGAAUCACAGAAAAGCACACGUAUAAGGAAGUCCCCUGGGUGGUUAAAGGAUUAUGUCGUGUAGUGGAAUUGAUUUGACCCGCCAAGGCAUUCAAACUGGAAAUAUCUCCUGUUACGACCUCUUCGACAAAAUCCGAUGACAAUAACACCUCACAAAAAUCAGGUUCGACAUCAUUCGUACCCAUAAGAAGCAAAAAUUUACUGCGACAGCGAUGGUUAGCGCUGUAUUUUUUAUCGCAGUUAUAACACAAUCCUUUUUCACGUUUGUCACGGAGCUCGACUGGAGUAAGACGAUGGAUCGGUAAGUUUGGUGUGGGUAGAAGUGGUGGUAACAGAUUUGGUUUAGAGAAGGAAGGAUUAGUUUGUGAAGGAGUGGGUGUGUGGGCGACACUAGUUGAAUGGACCGGCUGAGCUGAUGUAAAUUGAUAUGGGUUAGGUGGAAAUUUGGGUGAGGAGGAAUGUGUGUGAGGGGUUAGUGACGUGUUGUUCCAUUUCGGUACAAAACGAUAUCCCUGUUUGGCCUCUUCAGCACGCGCUUCAUAAGCACGAGCUAAUGCAAACGCCUCCAUCAAAGAAGAAGGCCGAGCAAAAAGCAGCUCACGACGAAUAUCGAGUUUCAAUCCCAUGUUAAAGAAACUGAUCAAGAGUGGUUCUAAGAUUCCAGUCACUCGAUUCAUUAAAUCUUCAAAAGCGGUUUGAAAUUAUGCCAUUGUUGUGGUUUGGGUUAACUUAGACAAAUUUCCUUGAGGAUCGUCAUAGAGGGAUGCACCGAAGCGAUGUUUGAGAUUCUGUAAAAAUUCCUUCCAAGUUGAUACAACCUUCCAAAUUGUCAGCAUGCUGUUCAUCUUCAUCCAUUGAUACCAUGCCGUUGCGCGUCCUUCCAUAUGAAAAGAAACAAUAUGUAAACGAAGAGGUUCCGAGGUACCAUGAAAACAAAGAACUCUUCAAUUCGGAAAACCCAUCCGUUUGGGUCAGAUCCAUCAAACUUAGGGACCUCCAUCUUUAUAGAGCGUAACACUGGCGAUAUCUCAGUACCACCAGAAUGUACCUCAGGGGAAUGAGAUAUUGGGUUGGGUGGAUGAAGAGCUCUACCCGAGGUGGCGGAAGAACCAUGGAUCUGUGAACGCAAAUCGUCAAGGCAAGAGUCCACCGUUGCCAUAUAUUGUUGCAAUGUUUGAUGCAACGACAAUGUUUGGCUUUCGAAUUGCUCUUGAAUCGUCUUUAACACCUCAGAAUCUGCCAUGAUGAUAGCAAUAAAAGCACCAAUGAUACACCCUUGCAACCAAAGGUUGUAGCAGUUGAGUCACACUCUUCGAGCGAGUGCUAGCUUCCAGAAUUUAAAAAGAAAUAGCAAGUUUGGAGAGAGAAGUCGAGAAAAGAAGAAGAGUCGAGAAGAAUAAGAAUUGAUUCAUUUCUGAUGUCCUUUACAAAAAUUGGUUAUGCUCUACAUAUACCCAUCUAUCUUUACAGCUCAGCAACCUUGUAACAAAAAAUGACAGCAAAGAAAUAACCCGGUGAAUAUAGAGUUUUAAAACAAAAUCAAUUCCACUACACGACAUAAUCCUUUAACCACCCAGGGGACUUCCUUAUACGUGUGCUUUUCUGUGAUUCAUUAUGCUCUGCUCCCUCCUCAACAUGUGACAUGGUUUCCUCCUUGGGCUGCUCAUAAUCGAACUCAUCAUUGGGCUGCUCUUCCUGCAAAUAUUCUGGUUGGUUCAACUGAAUUUGGAAGGUUGUAUCAUUCCCUCCAGCUUCAAAACUCACAUUGUCCUCAAGGUGAAGAUCGGGAUAAAGUUUACAAAAACUUUCAAACUCUUCCCAAGUAGAAUUCUCAAGUGAACUGUCCUGCCAUUGUACCAGAAUUUAGCGGCAUUUGUCCCCUUGUUUAAGCAGAGUUCUAACAGCGCAAAUUGCAGCAGGUCGAUAUAAUGGCUGAUUGUCCACACUAAUUGAUGGCAAGAUAUGAAGAGCAAGAGCUUGAAAACCAUGGAAACGUUUGAGAAGUGAAAUAUGAAAUACUAGGUGGAUCUUAGAACCACUUGGCAAUGCAAGCUUAUAAGCUACAUGACCAAUUCGAGCUAGCACAGAUAAAGGACCAUAGUACCGUUUAGCUAGCUGUUGACAAGAACGAGUUGCCACUGUGGAUUGGCGAUAGGGCUGAAGUUUCACUAGAACUUGGUCCCCAAUAGAAAAUUGAGCUUCACGUCUAUGAGCAUCAACCUUUUGAAUCAUGCGAUGUUGAGCUUGACACAAAUUCUCUUUCAAAGAGCGGAGUAACACAUCCCGCUCACUUAAUGCUUCAUCAAGAGCUUGGAUUGAAGUAGAGCCCUUGGAGUAAGGAGGGAUUGAUGGAGGUGGCUGCGCUUCAUCAAGAGCUUGGAUUGUCACUUAAUGCUUCAUCAAGAGCUUGGAUUGAAGUAGAGCCCUUGGAGUAAGGAGGGAUUGAUGGAGGUGGCUGCCCAAAAAGAGCCUAAAAAGGAGACAUUUUGAUGCUGCUAUGAUAAGAAGAAUUGUAGGAAAAUUCAGCCCACCCGAGUAGAGAUACCCAUGAAGUCGGUUUUUCUUGAGUGAAAGCGCGGAGAUAUUGUUCCAAUCCGCGAUUGACAACCUUCGAUUGUCCAUCUAUUUGUGGGUGAUAGGUGGUACUGCGGCGAAGAGUAGUGCCACUUAACUCAAAUAUUUUUUUCCAAAAAUCGCUCAAGAAUACAGGAUCACGAUCAGAGAUAAUAGAGCUAGGAAAACCAUGAAGCUUGAUAACCAUAUCCACAAAUAAUUCAGCUGUCUUCACAGCAGUAAAUUGAGUUGGAAGGAGUCCAAAGUGCAUUGAUUUAGUAAGGCGAUCAACAACUACCAAGAUCACGGAGAAACCACGAGAAACCGGAAGGCCAGUAAUGAAGUCCAUAGUGAGCUCGUCCCAAACUAAAGUUGGAAUGGAAGAGGCUACAGUGGCCCCGCUGGUGCUUGAGUGAAAUAUUCUGGUUGGUUCAACUGAAUUUGGAAGGUUGUAUCAACAUGCCUGACCAUAUUAGAGGGAGUGGAAGUUAGAAUAUAGACCCAACCAAAGUAUAUGCAUAAACCCAUCACAAAAAGGCCGAAGAUUGAAUCCAAGAGACCGCAAUGGCUGAGUCAAACUCUACCUCCAACACAUAGUAACAAAGUUGAGCAACCAACUCUAAACCCUCACAAACUGCCAUCAGCUCAGAAUAAAGGAUUGCCUGAUGGCUCACAAAAGAACUACAAGCAGCCAAGACCAUACCUUGGUAAUCAUGAAAAAUACCACAUGUCGUAGACAUCCCAAGAUUGCGCUUCACGAAGAAUUAAGCAACCCUGCUCCAGGUUCAAAAGACAUUUAUUUUCCUACUCAGUACUCUCGGUCAUUUUUCAUGCAAUUUAUGGCUUGUUUGUGGAAACAACACUGGUCAUACUGUGUUUGAAACUAUGUUCUGAGACAUGGGCACUAAAAUGUGAGUUACGACUAGGAAUCUAUAAAAUUAUAUACUUAAAUGUUAUUCACAGCCUCGUAGUUAGAUAUUCCUUUUAAUCUAAAUUUUGACAUUUUAAAUUUGUAGGAAACGGAACCAAGAUCUGUUUAAUGCAAUGGGUUCAAUGUACACUGUUGUUUUCUUCGUUGGCGUGCAAUAUUGUUCGUCAGUGCAGCCAGUAGUAGCUGUUGAAAUGGCAGUCUUUUAUAGGGAAAAAGGCGCUGGAAUGUACUCUGGCAUGCCAUAUCCAAUUUUUUCACUUGUCGAAAGGAAUUGUGUUUCUUUACUGAUGCAUUUUAUUUUUCUUUUCCGCUGGUUAUGAUCAAGAUACCUUAUAUUUUUUUUUGUGUCCGUGGUGUAUGGUGUUAUAGUGUAUGCUAUGAUUGGAUUUGAAUGGACAGCCGCCAAGUUCUUUUGGUAUUUGUUUGUUAUGUUCUUCACCUUGUUGCACUUCACCUUUUAUGGCAUGAUGAUAGUGGCUAUAACACCAAAUCACCACAUUUCUGCCAUUGUUUCGAUUUUAUUUUAUGGAUUGUGGAAUGUCUUUUCCGGGUUUGUUAUCCCAAGACCGGUAAGUAUUGUUUUCACCAUUUUUAUUUUUGAUUCUAGGUUUCAUAGCUUACCCAAAAUUUUGUAGCUGAUUCUUUCAUUGUCUUUUAACUUUGCUAAAUGACAUAGGAUUCGUAUAUGGUGGAAACAGUACUAUUGGGCAAACCCUGUGGUUGGACCAUUUAUGGAUUGGUUGCUUCACGGUUUGGAGAUAUAGAGGACAAAAUGGAAAGUGGUGAACCAGUGAAACAAUUUGUUAAGAGAUUAGUUUGAUUUCAAACAUGAUUUUCUAGGAGUGGUUGCAGCUGUUGUUGCUUCCUUUGCAAUGCUCUUUGGAGUUCUCUUUGCGAUAGGAAUUAAGAGGUCUAACUUCCAGAAUCGAUAAAACAUUUAAUUCCAUUUCUUACGUCAAGUUAACUUAGUGGAAAAGUUACCGCUACCAAACAUUCUAAGGUACAAGGGGAAUUGGGUUGCGGAUGUCUUGGCUAAUCUUGAUAUGCAAUUUCCUUCCCAGAUUAUAUAUAGCAUCAUCAUUUAUUUUAAAAAGAGGUGUCAAGUUGUUGUACAGCUUUUCAAAAUUUAUAUCUGCAUUUAAUCUUAUUAAUUAAAAUAGUAUAGAUUGAUACAGGAAAAUAGAGUUUUAUACUUUUAAUAGGUGAUGAAGCUAUUUUUGUAAUACCCAAAAUUUUUGGGGAAAAAGAAGAAUUACGAGAGGAGAAGAAUCCUUACGCAUAGAAACUUUCUUUCCUUAUAAUUGUGGGUUGUUAUAUCCCUCAUUAGGAUUUAUAGGAUAAUUUUGGAAAAGAUUUAUUUUUUCCAAAGUUAUUAGGGUUUCCUAUAAAUUCACACUUUUUGUUCCCUCUUUCAUAACCCCAAAUUUACCACGGCCUUUUUCUCCCAAUUGCUUAUCACUGUUUUCUCAUACCUAGGAUUUAAACUCUUGCUUAGGGGAGAGUCUUAAUAGUUGGUAAGUUUUACUCUCCUUAUACUCUACUAUAUUUCUUAUCUUUGUAUUAUAUUAAAAGUCUUAUUUUUGCAUGAUUUUUAGAAUGUUACAGGCCUUUAUGCAUAAUUUAUGAUUUGUUGAAGUUGUGUUUAGUGAGUUUGUUUAUUGUUGAGUCUUGUUAGUUAAUCCAUGAUAUAAUAAAUGCACCAAGCAGUUUCUAGAUAGCAUAGAUAUCUCAUAAUAAAAUAUAUAUUUUAAAAAUGAUUCUUGAGAAGAAUCUAUUUUUUUUUAAAACUAGACAUGUAGACUUAUUGAUUAAAUUCAUUUCAUAAUAUUUGACCUUCUUCUCGAUUUUAUAUGGAUUUUCGAAAUAGAUACUAUUGCACUGGAAAACUAUGAUUUCAACAGAAUGACCAAAUUCACAAAAUUACUUGUAGUGCCAAAUAAACUCAAAAAUUUCUGAAAGUUUAAAUAGAGUUUACUAUAUGUGUCUAGUAUUUCUAAUUUUUCUUUCAUAAUUUUUUUAUUAAUAUAAAAUUUUAUAAAAAUCUCAUAACCUUUAUUCUUUAGUUAAGGCACUGAGAGGCAGUUUAGAACUUUGUCAGAAAACAAAUAGUUUUGAAAAUGUAUUUGGCAUUGUAUAGUCCUAAAACUUUUAUGGGAAAUACUCAUGAAUGUCCAAAAUGGUUCAUUAUAAUAUUAUGUCAUUCUUAUUACCAGGUUAAGAUUAAUAGUUCAUAGUAUUACUACGUUAAGAGUAAUAAUUCACAGAAUCAGAGUUGUACGAGUAAGAGUUAGAAAAUCAAGAUGUUGGAAUAAGUUGUUAGUAGUUAUAUCUUGCAUUUGUUUAACAUGUUUGAGGCUUUUGGAGGUUUAGAGGUGUGUUUUCAUCAUUACUUUUACUGAAGUAAGUAACUUCAUUCAUAUAUAUAUAAGUGCAUGUGUUUUUUUAAUUCUUCAAAAAUUAAUUGAUUUUCAUAAUAAAAUUAGCUUAUAUAAAUGUUUUCAAAUAUGAAAAUUAUGCCAUUUUCAUGGUUUUAACAAAAUAUUCUAAAUGCCUUUCAAUGUGUAAUUUAUUUUGCUAAAUGAUUAUCUUUUAUGACAUUGUCUAUAAAAUGUUAGACUAGAAUUAUUUUUACAAGCUUAAAUUAGACUAGAAUUAUUUUUACAAGCUUAAAUCAUUGUUAUGAUCUUUUAACUUAUGAAUCUUAUAUGAAUGUUUUGUUUCCACAUACAAUUAAGAUUAUUUAUAGAAUUUGUGCAGCGGUCACUCUUGAAGUUGUAUAGGGCCACCUCUCAAGGGUCAGAGUGCCAUGAAGUGUAUAUACAAUAAAAAGCACCUUGUGCAAGUCAUUACAUAUGAAAAAUGAACUUAAAUGUUUUGGCUCAUUAUCCAUAGUAAUUCUAAUUCUGAUUUUGAUAGUAUUAUAUGAUAUAUUAUGCUCUGGUCCACUAUUGGGUUUAUGUUCUGAGUGUUCACAUGAUAUUCUGGUUUUAAUUUUGUUUCUAUUUUUGGCCAGAUCACCGGGAGUAUCGGUGACACUAACCUCUUGUUUUUUGUGUAUAUAUUUAAUACGAUUUCUUUUCAUGGCUAAUUAUAUUUUUGAUGUUCAGAAUCACUUAUAAAUUUGUGUCCUUCUAUUAUUUUAUGUACUUAUGUUUUUAGUAUGUGUUUUGAUAAAGAAAUAAGGCUUGCAAAUCUUUUGGCACUUGAUAAUCCUAGUGUGUUAGGAAUGACUUUACUUACCGAGUUGACGACUCACUUCUCAUCAUUACUUUUUACAAAUUAAGAAUCUUGUUGACAGGUGUGUUUAUCUUUAGAGUUAGAAAUUCAUUUACUUUUGCUAGUUGAACAAGAGAAUGAUGACCUUCUAUUUCAUUUAAGUUUGUUUAUAUUCUAAAACUUGUAAUUUGAGAGUUUUAAGACUUUUAUUAUAUUUAUGGCUUUGUGAGAAAAUGUUUAGUAUUAGAAUCAAGGAUUUAUUAGCCACUAGGCUAAAGCCUAAUAGUUAGAACCCAAACCUCACAAUUGUGAGGUCAUAGAUCCGAGCCUCCACAAUGCAUUGUAGGGGUUUUAUUUUCUUUCUCAAUUUGAGUGAAGAUAAUUUUCUCAAUUUCUUCGAAAUAUAAGUGGAGUAAACGCCUUUCGGAUAUUAGAGAGGGUAAAAAUCUGAGCGAUGCAUCAUAAGAAUUGAAGUGAGCUAGUCCCAAUAAUAAUUUGAUUUGUAAACAUUAGUGGUAAUCUCAUGUAAUAUGAGUUGUACUUUUGAGUAAUAGUCUCAUGUAAUUAAAAAAAAAAAAGAAUCAAGGAUUUAUUUAAAAAAAUUGGAAGUAUUUCAAUUUAAGGUCUUAUGUAAGAAUCACGAUUUAUAAGUAAUCUCAUUUACCAUGUACUCAACACAUGUUAGAUUUGACACAUUACACUUUUGUUCUAGGAUCCAAGAUCUUAAGAACAUAAAAUAUUUAUUCUAAUAUUUUUUUAUUAAUUUAUUCUUAGACGUUGUUGGACCGUAUUUAUUUAGUCUUUAGUUGAUCCGUUCCGUUUUUGGUCUAACAAAAGGAACACUAUACUCAUUUUUCUUUUCCCCCGAUUUCACCUUUAACCCCCUUUUAUUUUUUUUUUUGAAAAGUAACCCCCUUUUAUUUUAAAACGUGUUAAGCUCUCUCGAAAGUUAACGAAAUUUUUGUCAAAAUUGCACGAUUGACUUUUUUGCGACUAGUAACGCUUCUCCCGUGCUCCGCUUUUUCACACUUGACAUUGAUGAAAACAAAUCUAGAGAUGUCAAUGAGUUUUGGACGUUUUAAUGACAAAAAUAUAAGAUAAAGAUUUUGUAUGCAUUUAAACAUGAGAAAAGCAUAUCAACACUCUAGAAUUGGAGAAAUAGUCGCCAACAUCCCAUUUUAAAAAAUAAAUACUAAGACUCCCUUUUGAUCAUAAUAUCUUUUACUGUUAGUAUUCUAAAAAAAUUAACUUUAAUGUUUUAUAAUAAAUAAAAAUAUAAAAUUAAAAUAAAUGUAAUAAUAUAUACAUUUUUAAAUAAUUUCAAUAUAUAAAAGAUAUUUUAAUAUUUUACAAAACCUAUUAGAUAUAGUUUAUUAUAUUAAAGUAAAUUUUAUAAUAAAUAGAAACACAAUAUUAAAAUGAAGGUAUUAGAUUUAAAUUAUUUUGAAUAUUAUGUAAAAUAAUAAUUUCAACAUUAUUAUUAUUUGAGAUUUUUUUAAACUGUAAAAUGUAUUUUAUGCAAAUAUUUAUUUAAAAUCUCUACAAUAAAUAUAAUAAUAUUUAAAUAAAUAUAAUAAUUUACAUAUUUAAAUUUAUUAAAAAAUUAAAAAUUUUAAUAUUGUUAGUCUAUUGUAUAGAUUACAUUAUUUAUAUAAUAUUUGUAUUCGUUAAAAAAUUUUAAAGUCAAUUUUUUAGGAUAAUAGAUUAUAGUAAAAAGGGAGUCUUUGUGUUUCUUUUUAAAAACUUGGGGGUAUUGAUAAUUAUUUUUUUAAAUCUUGGGGGUGUAGAUAUCCUCUUCGCUUUAAAUGCGCAAAAUUUACAAGUACAAUUCAUCUUUCACGUACGAUUAAAUGUAAAAUAAAGACUUUUAGAUAAAAUUUGGCGGAACAAUGGAAAAUUUAGUGUAAUAAAAAAUUAAUAUGACAUCUUGUUAGAGGAGAUAUAAUAAAGUUUAUUCCCCAAAGUAAACUAAGAAUGAUUAAUAAUCAAAAAAUAUUUUCUCUUUUAUUCAAUUUAACAUUAUAAUUAUUAUUCAUGUAAAACAUAUUUCCUACUACGGAAAAACUUUGAAUACAAAUGGAAAUAAAUAUCUGAUUAGGAAUACUACUUUUAUUUAUUUAAUUUUUCAAAUGAAAAUAAAAAAUAAUUUAAAUGUUUCUUCUAAUAGAAUUUUGUAUUGAUUAAUAUAUGAGCAUACAAAAAAAUUAAUUUGAAAAGAAAUAACAAGUUCACAAUUAUUAUAUACAAUAAUAAGUUAAAAUAAUUGAUAAAAUUUUUAAUUCCCUUACAAAUUAACAUUGAAAAUUUAAAAAAAAAUUAUUUUUAUACAUAUUUUUUUCAUUUAUUAGACUUUUCUGUAUUCAUUAAGGGUAAAAUUGAAAAAUAAUAAAAGAUUUGAGAAAGAGGGAUGUUUGAGGGAUUUUAUAAACUGUAACAAUAUAAUGAUUUAUUACACCAAACUAUAGAGAUAUAAAUAGCUAGUUUAGUAUUGAGAAUGGACAGUUGUAAUUUAAAAAUUACAGUUCUAGCACUUGAUAGGUUGGUGAUGUGCUUCAGAAGAUAAAUUAAUUUUUAUUUUAUGUUUAUAUGAUGAAAAACCUAUAAUAUUUUAACCAUUUUUAAAAAAAUAUUAUUUAAGCAAGAAUCAAUCUUUAUUUCACAACUAUAACAUUUCCAUAGCAAUUGUGGCUUGUAAGCCACUACACAACAAUAUCAAAUAGGCCAAUACCAAUCAGAACCUAAGGUGGAAACGUUAGUAGUUAUGCAUAAAGAUAGUGUAAGAUUACAAUGAGUAACCAAAUCUUAUUUAAGCACACAAUCAAUCUUUAUUUCACAACUACGACAUUUCCACAACAAUUGUGCCUUCUAAACCACUACACAACAAUAUCAAAUAGGUCAACACUAAAUGGAACCUAAGAUGGAAACCUUAGUAGAUAUGCAUAAAGAUGGUGUAAGGUUAAGAUGAGUAACCAAAUCCCUCUCUCGUUACCAAACUUUGUUAAACCAAGACAAAGCCCACACAUUUUGAAUAAGGAAUAAUUUGGUAAUGCCAUGCCUUUUAAAAUAAUUGAUGUACUGUAAAAAUAAUCAGUUAUAAACAGAAUCAAUUAAAUGUUUACUAUAAUUUAUUUCUAAAAAUACUGUAAGUUUUAAAAUUAAUUGUAUGUGUUUGAUAAAUCUUAGUGUUAAGUUACUGUAAGAAUGUAAUAUUUUCUAUAUAUAUAUAUAUAGAGAGAGAGAGAGAGAGAAUUUUUUUUUUAUUUUGUAUAUAUAAUAAUUGAUAACUAAAAUUUUUUUAUGUGUUAUUAAUUUUAUUUCUUUUAUUUUGUUAUCUAAAAAAUAAAUUAGUAAUAAUAAUAAUAAUCUCUUUAAAUUUAAUGAUUUUAUUUCCUAAUUUGAAUAAGAAUAAUUUUUGGGUUCUAUAAUAUAUAUGUGAAAAUAUUUAGAAUUGUAUUAAAUAUAAAACUAAUUCUCAAAAUUAGAUUUUAAAAAAUUACUCAUUUCUUACUUUACAAAAUUUGCUUUAAAAUAGAAUUAAUUUAGCAAAAAUAACUUUUAAAUUGAGUCGGUUCAAGUCUAAAGUUUCUGACACCAUUUAUAAUUCAUUUAUGACACGAAUAAUUAUCGGAUUAAUUAUAUUAUAGUGAUUUAUCUGUAAUUUUUUUUUUAAUUUGUAAAGACUUAUUUCUUAUUCAACAAAACAGCAUUUUAUUUUUCAUUUUUUAAAUCAUUUGAUAAUAUUUUAAAUGAAAUUGAUUAGAAUUUAAAUAGGCAGUACUACAAAUUAAAAUUUCCAGAAAACAUAUUAAAAACAUGUUCAAAAGGUAGUUCUCAAAAAAAUAUAAAUUUGUAAAGACUUAUUUCUUAUUCAACAAAACAGCAUUUUAUUUUUCAUUUUUUAAAUCAUUUGAUAAUAUUUUAAAUGAAAUUGAUUAGAAUUUAAAUAGGCAGUACUACAAAUUAAAAUUUCCAGAAAGUAUAUUAAAAACAUGUUCAAAAGGUAGUUCUCAAAAAAAUAUAAAAGUUAUGUUAAAUGUGCUGCAUGAUUAUUUUAUGAUUACAGCCGACGCUGCCAUAUGCCGGUCCAUUUGUGCUUCUCGAUGACAAGAUGAAAUAUAUAAACAUAUGCUGACUUGAUAGGCCAUGCCAUUUAUAGUAAGAGAUAACAUUGCUCAGUCAAAUUAGCUGAUACACAAUAUUUUUGAGCUUGAAUUUCUCUUUGUCGAAUUCAAUAAAAGAGAGAAAAGCACCUGCUGGUUUUUUGUUGUUUUCAUCACUGACUGAUCAUUCCGAGUUGCAAUGGAGGAGAGCCAUGAAAUUUACCUGGCCAGUACUACUUCGCAUAGGAGUCAUUCUAGAUGGAGAACAGGUUCAGUGGGUGCAUUUUCGAUGUCUUCAAGGGAAGAAGAUGACGAGGAGGCUUUAAAAUGGGCUGCUAUUGAGAAAUUGCCUACUUACAAUCGUUUGAAGAAAGGGUUACUAACUACUUCACAAGGUGAAGCUUUUGAAGUUAAUGUUUCUAAUCUUGGACUCCAAGAAAGGCAGAGGUUGAUCAAUAAGUUGGUGACAGUCACUGAAGUUGAUAAUGAGAAGUUCUUGUUAAAGCUCAAGAAUCGUAUUGAGAGGUAAUAAGCUUAUCUAUUAUUUUUGUUCUCUUCUCUAAUUUUUUUUUUUUUUUUUUACAUUAAUAACUCAAGCAUUCAUCAAGCUCAAAUCCUGGACUCGAGCCUUAAGAAGACUUAUUCUAACCACUAGAACUAAACCUUAAUUUACCCUGCUUUCAAGUUAUAUUAUUUAUAUUACAAUAAUUAAGCUAUAUAUAGAGAAAGGACAUUUUUGGAUAAAUAUUCAAAUACUUUCUUUUAAUAUUAAUUAAAGAGCAUUGAUAUUUGAACACCAUAAGACACUACCAAGACAGAAAUAGAUAGUUACAGUAAGCACUUUAACACAUUAAAUAGUAAUGUUGCUCGUAUUCCUGGUGGUCAAAUAUUACUUAAAAUUUUGAAAAAUGAGAAGGGAGCGAGGCUGCACAAAAUCACAGCCCAUCUCUCUCAUCCGCUGCCCUGUACCCGCUAAAAAUCUUUCAGCUUGAGUGUUUCACCAAACACUACCAACUUUUACAGCCACUAAAAAUCAAUUUUUACUCUCUGUUAAAACUCGAGCUCGGGUGUGCAUGCAUGAACUUUGUUUACGGCAACUGCUGAUGUUGCUAUCAAAUGUUCCCAACAGUUGACUGCCUAAUUAAUUUCUGAUUUUCCACUCUGCGCCCUCUUCUCAGCAAAAGUUGGGACUUUAUUUCCUUCACAAUUAUAAACUUGGGUAGGGAUAAAAAUCUCCCUCACUGAACUAAAUAUUCUUCAAAAUUACUAAGAACAGAAAUCUGAACCAUGCUUUUAGUAAACUUGAUAUGGAGUCAUUUUAAUAAAAUUCUGAUUUUUCAUUUUUCUUUGAUUAUAUUCGUCUCAGAGUUGGAAUAGUGCUUCCAACAGUGGAAGUUCGAUUUGAACAUUUGACUAUUGAAGCAGAAGCAUUUUUAGCAAGUAAAGCCUUGCCAUCAUUCACUAAAUUCUUUACCACCAUCUUUGAGGUAGCAUUACUCUUCAAAUAUAUAUCACGAAUUGUUUAAAAUUUAAUUGUAAUUUGUUAAUUUCUCGGCCCGAAUUUUAAUAUUUUGUAUGCGCUUGAAGGAUUUGUUGAACUAUCUCCACAUUCUUCCGAGUGCAAAGAAACACUUGACAAUCCUCAAGGACGUCAGUGGAAUCGUAAAGCCAGGCAGGUGAGAAUCGAAUUCCUUUUGUUUGUCAUUGAAUAUUCUGUUGGUAGUAAUAACAAAUUGUGCUUUUUUCUUUUGUUGCAGAUUGACGUUGCUUUUGGGUCCCCCAAGUUCUGGAAAGACCACUUUGUUGUUGGCAUUGGCCGGGAAACUUGAUCCUAGUCUAAAUGUGAUUAUAUAGUUAAAAGCUCUAAUUAUUUUAGAGGGGUUUGGCUUUUAGCAUUGUAAAGUUCACACUUUGGUUUUAUCUCUGAUUGGAGAAUCGAAAUGUCUCUUUAUAGGUUUCUGGUAGGGUGACAUACAAUGGACACAACAUGGAUGAGUUUGUGCCUGAGAGAACAGCUGCUUACAUCAGUCAACAUGAUAAUCAUAUAGGCGAAAUGACUGUGAGGGAAACCUUGGCGUUCGCUGCUAGAUGCCAGGGGGUUGGAACUCGUUACGGUAGGUUUCUGAUAUUUUCGUUUAUUUCUUUACUUCUUUUAUUUUAGCUUUGUUCAACUAUAGAAUUCAGACGGUAGCAUGCAAUUUUUUUGAUAUGGUGUAAGCAUUAAAUGUCUUUGAGUUUGGGAAAUGCAGAAAUGUUAACUGAGUUAUCCAGAAGAGAGAAGGCAGCAGGUAUCAAGCCUGAUCCUGAUAUCGAUGUCUUCAUGAAGGUAAGAGAAGCUGAAGACUGUUUGAAGGAUCUGUAACCAAAUAAAUUCCGGGAAGAAAAAAAAUUUAAUAAUAAAAUUUGGAGAAAGAUGUGUUUUCAGUUUUAAUCCUGGGCUUCGGUCAGGUGUUUCUAUGGCUUAAAAUCAUUGUACUUGAGCAUUGAUGUUCAACUCUUUAUGACAUUUUCUUGAAUUAGAUCAGUUUUAAGCUUGGUAUUUUACCUUUCCCCACUAGAAAAUAGAGUUGCUUCAGAAUCAACCUUAUAAGAUAGAUUUGAACUCUUGGUGAUUGAAUAUCAUAUAUUUUUCUGUGAAUUCUCAUGUCUCAGGCAGCAUCAACUGAAGGCGAAGAAGCCAAUGUGAUAACUGAUUAUUAUCUGAAGGUAUCAUUAUUAUGAAUCACCCUAUAAACUAAUAGUGAAUUUUUCUCAAGAAUAAUAACUAAAGUCACUUGUUUGAAUGUUUUCAUCAUAAAUAUAUAGGUUCUGGGACUGGAUAUCUGUGCAGAUACCAUGGUAGGGGAUGAAAUGAGAAGAGGUGUAUCAGGGGGACAAAAAAAGCGUGUCACAACUGGUAAAUACAUAACUCUAUAAAUUCAUUUAUAUUGUUCACAAUGAUUUCAAAAAAAUUCUCUCUUUUUAUUCAAACAAAUUACAAUUUGUAUUUCAAAUUAUAGGUGAAAUGAUGGUUGGUCCAGCGUUGGCACUAUUUAUGGACGAGAUUUCCACUGGUUUGGACAGCUCAACGACUUUCCAGAUUGUUAAUUGUUUCAAGCAAAAUAUUCACAUCAAUAGUGGAACUGCUGUGAUAUCUCUCCUACAGCCAGCACCAGAAACUUAUAAUUUAUUCGAUGAUAUUAUCCUUCUAUCUGAUGGGCAGAUUGUAUACCAGGGUCCCCGCGAACUGGUGCUAGAGUUUUUUGAAUCUAUGGGCUUUAAAUGCCCCAAGAGGAAAGGCGUGGCUGACUUCUUGCAAGAAGUAUACGCUAAUAGAGCUCUUGCUAUAGUAUUUCUUUUUCUUAAUAUUUUUAAUAAACAUCCUGUGGCUUAUCUUUACAAAUAAUAUGUUGUAGGUGACAUCAAAGAAAGAUCAAGAGCAGUAUUGGGCACAUAAAGACAGGCCAUACAGGUUUGUUAAAGUCCAGGAAUUCGUUGCGGCAUUCCAAUCAUUCCAUGUGGGACAGAAACUUUCUGAUGAGCUUCAGACUCCAUUUGAUAAGAGCAAGAGCCACCGAGCUGCUUUGACCACAAAAGUUUAUGGUGUUGGCAAGAGGGAGUUGUUGAAAGCUUGCACCUCAAGAGAACUCUUGCUGAUGAAGAGGAACUCCUUUGUCUACAUCUUCAAGCUCAUUCAAGUAAGUAUCAACUUAAAUUUUUAGUUGUUUUAGUCAUUUCUUUAUGUGAUAAAGAUUAUUGAUUAAUUUUUUCCCCUGCUAUUAGAUCGGAUCUAUCACAUUGGUCUAUAUGACACUCUUCUUCAGAACAAAGAUGCACAAAGAUUCAGUAACUGAUGGUGGAAUUUAUGCUGGUGCCUUGUUCUUCACCAUUGUGAUGCCCUUGUUCAGUGGAUUUGCUGAGAUUUCUAUGACCAUAGUAAAGCUUCCUGUCUUCUAUAAGCAAAGAGAUUUCAAAUUCUUUCCUCCAUGGGCAUAUGCUAUUCCCUCAUGGAUCCUCAAGAUCCCUAUCUCGUUUCUGGAGCCGGCUGUUUGGGUAUUCUUGUCAUAUUAUGUAAUUGGGUAUGAUCCCAAUGCAGGAAGGUAGAAAGAAAACAAACAAAAUUCUCUAGUAACUACUGAAGUUUUUAUUGUACGUUAUCUUUAUCCAUCUAGUUUAAAUAAUGAUUUUCUUGUUGCAGGUUUUUUAAGCAGUACUUGCUCCUCUUGGCUUUUAACCAGAUGAUUUCUGGAUUGUUUAGAUUCAUUGGAGCAACAGGCAGGAACCUGGUUGUUGCUUACACUUUUGGUUCAUUUGCAGUACUCGUGCUUUUGGCUUUGGGAGGCUUCGUCCUUUCACGAGGUACAAAUAGUGUACAAGUAAAAGAGACUAUAUUAGCUUCUUUUAUCAUAAUUUAACAAUUUCUUUGUUUCAUACUGCAGAGGAAGUUAAAAAAUGGUGGAAAUGGGCUUACUGGAGUUCUCCUGUGAUGUAUGCACAGAAUGGAAUUAUGGCAAAUGAAUUUCUUGGGCACAGUUGGAAAAAGGUAAUUAUUUGAAAGAUUUGAGUUUUUUUUUUUUUUUGGUUAGUGACAUACUCAUGUCUGUGAUUUUUCAUCUGAUAGUUUACUCCAACUUCAACUGAAUCGCUUGGAGUUCAAGUUUUGGAGUCUCGUGAGUUCUUCGCCCAUGCAUAUUGGUAUUGGCUUGGAUUAGGGGCUUUGUUUGGUUUCAUACUACUGUUGAACGUUGGUUUCGCCUUGGCUCUUACUUUCCUUAACCGUGUGUACCUUUACCUUGUUCACUUAUAUUACUCCUAAAGCAGUCAAUUUAUGUCCUAAUUUCAUGCAAAAAUAUGUUGUAGAGUUUGAGAAGCCUCGGGCUGUAAUAACAGAGGAAUUUGAAAGUGAUGAGCAAGAUAACAGAAUUGGAGGAACUGUUCAGUUAUCAAACUGUGGAGGUAGUUCUAGUUACAAGACAUGCUUAUGUUAUAAAACUAUUUCAUUUGAGAAAGAACGAGUUAUCUUUUAACUUUCUUCUUAUGCUAAAAAUUAUUUUAAACAUGUAGAGAGUGGAAAUGACAAUAGGGAAAGAAACUCGUCUUUCCAGUCCUCAUCCCUUACAGAAGCAGAGGCCAGUCAUCCAAAGAAAAGAGGAAUGGUUCUUCCAUUUGAACCUUAUUCCCUUACCUUUGAUGAGGUUGUAUACUCCGUUGACAUGCCACAGGUAAUAUUAAUUUAAAAGUUAAUUAGGUAAUAUUUAGAGAGUUCAAUAAUAUAUUGUUUUAUUACAACGUAUGCCCUGGCAUGAUCAACAAUUAAUUUGAUUUUACUUUGCAGCAAAUGAAACUUCAAGGAGUUCCUGAAGAUAAAUUAGUGCUUUUGAAUGGUGUGAGCGGUGCUUUUCGGCCUGGUGUACUAACUGCUUUAAUGGGUGUCAGUGGUGCUGGUAAAACUACUUUGAUGGAUGUAUUGGCUGGCAGGAAAACGGGUGGAUAUAUUACUGGGGAUAUAAGAAUAUCUGGUUACCCAAAGAAGCAAGAAACGUUUGCUCGUAUUUCAGGAUACUGUGAGCAAAAUGACAUCCACUCUCCUUUUGUUACUGUAUAUGAGUCCUUGUUCUAUUCGGCCUGGCUACGUUUACCACCUGAAGUUAAUUCUGAAACCAGAAAGGUUGGUACUGAAAUCACCUGGAGUGUUGAUUCCCAAAAUACAUUCUUGGUAAUGGUCAUACCAAUUUUUAGUUUUACCGUUCAAUUACAGAUGUUUAUUGAGGAAGUCAUGGAGCUUGUGGAGCUGAAACCAUUGAGACAAUCACUGGUUGGUUUGCCUGGUGUAAACGGUCUGUCAACAGAGCAGCGUAAGAGACUUACCAUCGCGGUUGAGCUGGUGGCUAACCCGUCCAUCAUAUUUAUGGAUGAGCCAACCUCAGGGCUGGAUGCGAGGGCUGCUGCAAUUGUUAUGAGAACUGUUAGAAACACAGUGGACACUGGAAGAACGGUAGUGUGCACCAUUCAUCAACCAAGCAUUGACAUAUUUGAAGCAUUUGAUGAGGUAAGAAAGAAAUCUUGAUUGAAAUUGCAUAAAAUUAUUUUUCUCCACUGUCUCCUGAUUACAGUGGUUCAACAAUGCAUUGCAGCUAUUCCUAAUGAAGCGCGGGGGACGUGAAAUUUAUGUUGGGCCACUGGGUCACCAUUCUUGCCAUCUUAUCAGCUAUUUUGAAGUAUGUCCCGAUGCACACUUUCAUAUUACAACGGAAGUCUAACUUGAAUAUCAUUCUUCUUACUUAAAUAUCACUCUGAAACUAGUUAAUGCAUGUGUAUUUGCAUUUUCAAGGCAAUUCCUGGAGUCGAGAAAAUUAAAGAUGGUUAUAAUCCAGCAACUUGGAUGCUGGAAGUUUCGGCAUCAUCGCAAGAAGUAGCUUUGGGGGUUGAUUUUUGUGAUAUUUACAAACGCUCAGAGUUGUAUAGGUAUGUUUAUGAUUUGCUGCUAGGCAACAUAGCCUAUAGAACAAAAUCCAUUCAACACUGCCAACGCAUUUGUUUAACUGAAAAUUAACGUUGAUGUAUGGAUAUGUAUCAGGAGAAACAAAUUACUCAUUGAAGAUUUAAGCAAGCCUGCUCCAGGUUCAAAGGACCUCCAUUUUGCUACCCAGUACUCUCAGUCAGCUUUCUCCCAAUUUAUGGCUUGCUUAUGGAAGCAACACUGGUCAUACUGGCGAAAUCCAGCAUACACUGCUGUUAGAUUCCUUUUUACUGCUUUUAUAGCAUUGUUGCUGGGUUCAAUUUUUUGGGACUUGGGUGGUAAAACGUGAGUUACAGCUAGAUGUCUGCUUAUAUUUAAAUGUUAUUCAUAAUUCUUCUUGUUUCAUCUGCCUUCGUUCUUAAUUCUCACUUUUCAAUUUAUAGGGAAAAGAGGCAAGAUCUGUCUAAUGCAAUGGGUUCCAUGUUUACUGCACUUAUCUUCCUCGGCUUUGAAUAUUGUAUAUCAGUGCAGCCAGUAGUAUUUGUUGAAAGGAUGGUCUUUUACAGAGAAGUAGCCGCCGGCAUGUUUUCGGGCAUUCCAUGGGCUUUAGCACAAGUAAUCGUUUGACACAUUAAACGUAUAUUUGAAAUGUUAUAAGAAAUGUGUUUCAUUGUUGAUUUUUUAUUUUCUUUCCUGCAGAUUAUGAUUGAGAUUCCUUACGUGUUUGUUCAGUCAUUAAUUUACAGUUCUAUAGUGUAUGCUAUGAUGUCAUUUGACUGGACAGCUGCAAAGUUCUUUUGGUAUAUAUUCUACAUGUACUUCGCAUUAUUGUUCUUCACCUUAUAUGGCAUGACGGCUGUGGCUGUGACACCAACCCACCACAUUGCUUCCAUUGUUUCGACUUUAUUUUUUGGAUUGUGGCUCCUCUUUUCCGGGUUUAUUAUCCCAAGACCCGUAAGUAUUAAUUGUCUUCCCAUUUCAAUUUUAUAUGCUAGAUUUUUCUAACUUACAGAUAUUUUGCUACUAAUUCUUUUCUCAUCUUUCAACUUGUCAAACAACAGAGGAUUCCAAAAUGGUGGAGAUGGUACUACUGGGCAAACCCUAUAGCUUGGACCCUGUAUGGAUUGAUUGCUUCGCAAUAUGGGGAUGUGGAGGACAAAAUAGAAACUGGUGAAACAGUGAAACAUUUUCUUAGAGAGUAUUAUGGUUUCAAACAUAGCUUUUUGGGAGCAGUCGCAGGUGUUCUUAUUGCCUUUGCAGCGCUCUUUGGAAUUCUCUUUCCCCUAGGAAUUAAGCAAUUUAAUUUCCAGAGGCGAUAGGAAUUUGAUUUGGCUUUGAAGAUCAAGUCUGGCUUAAUGGAACAUGUACUGCUAUCAAACAUUCUAAGGCACACGGAGGAAUCGGGUCCCAGAUGCCUUAACUAAUCCCGGUCUUUCAGUUUCCUGAGUUUACCUGUUGGUACCUUUUUCCCCCAGUUUUCAUAUAGCAAUAACAUCAAGUUCUUUUUAAUAGGGGACAGCACAUCUAGCCUUUCUGCAUUUUAUAAGUUUACUCUUUUUGCCUGCGGUUGUUAUUUGUUCGAUAUUCAAAUGUUGUUUCUUUCUUCAUAAUGCAAAUAGUAGUGUGCAGAAAAUAAAUAAAAGAAAUCUGUGAUUAAUUAAUGUGACUAAAAAGGAUCAUGUUUAACUAAGUCAAAUCAACAAGUUUGUAACUUAGCAUGUGAAAAUCCACAUUCUUGCUCUUCCAAUUGCAUCUAAAUUAUUGAUUUCCUUUGUUAAAAAAAAUUAAAUAAGUCAGGCCGCACUGUUGACAUUAUUGUAUCCUCCUCCAUCAUGAAGUUUUGUCUAAUAAAUCGAUCUUUCCAAUAUCCUAUUUCAUUAUUAAUAAGAUCAGCAACCAAGAUUUAAGAAGCAAUAGCUGCGGAGAGAAUGAAUCGAAUGUGCUGUGAGCCUGUAACCCAAAUUGCUUUCCAUAAAUAGCAAAACACACAUACUUAAUUCUUCAUUUUUACCCAGAUGUAGAACUUUUAAAUUAUAAUUAGUCUCGUACUUGCGUUUAGAAUUUUUUUUUUUUUCUCAGAUGCUGAUAAAUGGAUCAAAAAUCUUGUUGGGACUUGAAAUCCAGCAAAAAUUUUCCAGCCCAGUGCCUGCCAGAACCCAUCGUAAUGUUAUAAAAGUUGAAGUUUACCUUGAAAUCUAAAGUCCAUCUCGAUGCUUGUCACGAUUUAACUCAAUGUCUGUAUCAAAGUCUGGUCCAAAAAUCCACUCGAAAACAGAAGAAGAAAUGUGUGCUCCUACAUACACGAAUAAAAACUCAAACCCUUGACAUCAAGAACAAAAAAAUAAGGUUUCCGCUACUUACCGGCUCAACCAAUGAGUGGUUUUGCAGUUUUUAUAUUUGACGUUAAAUAUCGUUUUAAUGUUGAUCCUAAUUUAAUAAAUAGUAAUGAUUAGUUGGCUGUUUGGUAAGGCUUAUCUAAUGGUCAUAUGUGUUUAUAUAAUUUGUUCUUUUUAAGGCUUUUAUUAUUAUGUGGAGUAGAGUCUUUGAAAAUUAAAUAAGUUAUUUUGUUUCUACUAGCAAACUUUAAAUUUUAGACUUUUGGGAAUAGAUGUUGAAAUUUUUUUUAAAAUAUUGAAAUGUGUAAAAUAUCUUUGACACGACUUGUCCUGAAUCAUUUUGGGCGAGUCUAUUUGGUUGCGAUUAACUAUAUUGAUAUUAAACUUAUUAAUGAGAAUUCUACUGAAAAUCGAGCAAAGUCUCCCGUAUCAAUCUAAUAUUCUCAACCUGCAAAUUUAUAAAACGAACACUCCCAAAAGGAUUCAAUAUUCAAUCAACAUUUACAACCAAUUUCCUUAAUUGAAAUACCAAAUAUCAUCCAAACAUCUAAUAUCAAAAUACAGUAGAUUAUCCAUAAUCACAAAAUAUAACAAAAUUAUAUAAUCUAAAAUAUCUCAACAAAAACAUCUCGACUUCUAGCACUAUCACUGCUAUAAUUUCAAAAUAACUAUCAUUGCUAGGUUGAUUGUUGUAAUUGCAAAUAUCCUGUCAGGGGAGAGCGAAAUGUAAUAAAACGGGUGAGUAUAAAACUCAGUUAACUCAAUGAGUGGAUAAUAUUUUUUGAAAAUAAUCUUACUUAAAAUAAAUUAAAUCUUUUCGCUAAACAAUUUCAUCAAAUAUCAUAAGAACUUAUAUAAACUAAUUAAAAUUAAACCAUGUACUGAUAUAACAACAAUACAUAAUGCUGCAUAAAAUCAAAGAAAUCGUAACACUUAUAAUAUCAAAUAGUAAAUGCCAAAACUAUCACUAAACAAGUACCUAGGGUAAUAAUCUUGUCACACCCAGACCUCUACGGACGGUGCAAUAACAUACUAUUUGGGUACCAUCAUGUCUGAAGCUAUACAAAUAGACAGGGAAAUGUCAUUUCAUAUCUCAUACUUGGAUCUCCACAAAUUGUGCAAUGAUAUACUAUUUGGAUACCAUUUUGUUCAAAACUACACCGGUUAUCUCAUACCUCAUCAAAUCUAUGCAUGCAUAAUCUAGUCCUCAAAUGACAAAAUGUGUCCAAAUACACACCUAAAGCCUCUGUGUAUACUCAGACGAGUCCCAAAAACCUUGUAUCUCAGUAUAUGUAUCACUGUUAUCAUCAUAUUGCAUGCAUAUGCCCCCAAAAGGUAUAAGCGCCCAACACACACGGUUCAAAGUCUCUAUAUUUAGUCAGAUGGGCCCCAAAGGCAUCUCAUUUCAUAUGUAUAACUAUAUCUGGAGGGAAAGAGUACUGUCCAAUAAUUUUAAAAAUAAUCUUUAUACUCAUAUUCAUAUACUUUUUAACCAUACUUUUUUUUUAAGGAAAAAGACUUCAUUACGGAAAAGAGAGUAAACACAUAACUUGUGAUGGUAUAUUUUCCAGCCAUACAACAGAUUCUGAACCUGUUAAUGCUAUCUUAGCCAAGGUAUGGGCAUUAGCAUUACAAGACCUAAGGGGGUGUUGAAAUCUGAUUUCCUAGAAAUCUUUUCGUCUCUCUUUGAUUUCUGAUAUCACCCAAAAUAUCUCAGUUUUGCUAUCCUUUCUGUUGUUUGCCAAAUCAAUGGCCGCUUGACAGUCUGAUUCCAAAAUGACUGCAGUGAUGCCUGCCUUUUUUGCCACUUGCAUUCCCCAUUCAAUUGCUUCAGCUUCUGCAAAAGGCACAUCUCCGUUGAAACUUGAGGGCUUAAUGGCUGCAGCAAAUGGCUGCAGCAACCACAUCUCAAUUGCUUCAGCUUCUGCAAAAGGCACAUCUCCGUUGAAACUUGAGGGCUUAAUGGCUGCAGCAACCACAUCUCCCUUAUCAUUCCUUAUCACCACUCCCAACCCAGCUCUUUGACUUUUUAACCAUACUUUGAAUCAUACUUUUCUUUUUAUUAACCCAUUUGAAUCCACUUUUCUUAUUUUUAAAAUACUAUCACGUUUUAUUCAAAGUCGAUACGGAAAAAACCAUUAACCAUACACUUUUUAAUAAUAUACCAAUACGUAUAUAAAAUCUAUUUCGAGAAAAUCAUUAAAUUCGAGUAUUAAAAUAUUUAUUUCACAAACAUACUUUACUAUCAUAAUAAACUAUAAAAAUAGGUUUUGUAUAUUUCACUCAUAGUGACGGUGCUCAAACUCGAAUAUCGUUCACGUCCGCAGAUCAAUUCUCAAUCGCGAUUCCUCUUACAUCAAGAAAACGACAUAAUUACUUUAUGUAAAUGCAAAGUGCAACUAACAACUUUGAAAUGACAUUUAUUUGCAAUAAACCAUUCAUAUAAAAUUACCAAAAUAUCCCUACAUUCCUAAAGUACUAAAAUACCCUUAAAAUUUUAAAUUACCAAAUUACCCUCAUAAUCCUAAAUUACCAAACUAAACUGAAUUCAGAUUGCCAAAAUAUCCACAAAAUUUGAAUUUACGAAAUUACCCUCAGAGUCUAAAACUACCUAAAUGCCCUUGCCCGUCAACGGUGAUCGAAAUUCAAGAGCGGCAACCGGGAGGUUCGGGUUAGACACUUCUGGCCGAGCUGAGUUCAAUGGUGCCGGCGUGAGCACCAACGCCGGAUCAAGCUCCCAAAUCCGUGAAUCCUCCGACGGCCGAUCGACAGCAAAUUGGCUCCCCCGGUAGCUGUGGAUGAUCGGAAAUGGAAGGUGAUGAUGUGAGGAGUAAAACCCAGCAAGUGGCUUGGCCAAAAUCCGGUGAAAUCAAUGGCGAUCAUGGAUUCUUCGCGGUAUUUUGUGGCUUAGUUUGGCGGCCUUCUUUCCGGUUACCGGCGACGUGGAUGUGUCUGAAACGAAGGCCGGCUUAAGAGCUUUCCAUUGGUACCUUCCUUCGCCAGUGGGGUGGCCGAAAGUGGGAGUUACGAGCGGGUCGGUUUUGCGUCAAAAGCGUCGGGUUUUCUGGUAAAAAAUGGGUCAACGGGUCAGCUGCUCCUCCCUCUCUCAAUCGGGUCCCACUUUUUUAUUAAAAGCUUAAUACAAAUUAAGCUGAUACCAGUAGGGGUGGGCAAAAAAAGCUGAUUAAUCAAAAAUCGAACCGAAUCGUUCGAUUCGGUUCGGUUUUUUUGUGGUUUUUUUACAUCUAAAAAAUCGAAAUAGUAAUUUAGUAGAAGUAGUAAAAUCAGUCGGUUCGGUUUUCGAUUUAAAAAAAAACCGAAAAACCGAACCGACCACAGGAAAAAACCGAACGCAAAUUUGAUUUUUACACAAUCCCUAAUCGAACACAUUCUUAAUUCUUCUCAUCUUCUGAUCUUCACAAACCUUCACCGCUGGAAUCUCGUCCCCGCUGCUGCUGCUACUGCUGCUCAUCCUUCACGAACCUUCACCGCUGGAAUCGUGUCCCCGCUGCUGCUGCCGCCGCUGCUCAUCCUUCAUGAACCGUCACCGCUGGAAUCGCGUCCCCGCUGCUGCUCAUCCUUCACGAACCUUCACCACUGGAAUCUCGUCCCCGCUGCUGCUGCUGCUGCCAUCUGACUGCUGUUGUGAGCUGCUGCUGGUAACUUGAGCUGCUUGAGCUUGAGCUGUUUUUGCAGAGAACUUGAGCUGCUGCUGGCGUGAAAAGGUAAUCAAACAAACAGCUGCUGCUGCUGGCGUUAAAAGCUCCCUUUGUUUUUACUGGUGCCAUUGGUUUUAACCAAUUUCCACGAUUCUUCUUCGACUCCAAUUUGGAGAUAACAGUGCAAUUUGGUGAUGAACAUAAAUAAAAUCAAAACUCAAGUUUCGAUUAAUUUUAUUUAAUUUUAAUUUGUAAAGUGCCACAUAAUUCAACUUGUGAUUGUGUUUUGGCUUUUCACGUGCUAUUGACACGCUUUCUUAGAAAUUUGUUUCGUUUUCUUUGAAGGCAAAUUUGAAGAACACGUUGAUUAAUAUGUUUUGCCUUUUUUAUUGUCUUCACAGCAGAAUAAACAAAUGGCCGUUUGCAGCAUGCAGUUUUAAGCUUGAAAUAAACUUGUGCUUAUAAAAUUAUUCCCCUGGUGAUCUUUGUCCUUUUUAUAACUUUGGGAAUGGGAAAAUGAAUUUUUGUAGUGUCUGGUUUCCAUGUGCAUGUGGAUUUCCCAUUUAGUUCCUCUGAUUGUUGUGGUAUGUUCAGAAUUUUGUAAAAACACUGUGAUUGUUGGAUCUUUAUAGUAUGUAUUCUUGUUUGCAGUUGUUUGACUUGUUUCUACGGAUAGUUUCAUUGUUUUCUAACUUACUCUGUACCGUUUAAACUUAUUUAAAUAUUUGUUCCAUGAUUGAGUUUUUCUCUUUUAUUAGUUGCUUAAUUCCUUAGAUUAUGUUUCUUUUAAAAGACUUUUUGCUUAUUUAUUUUGAUUUGAACUUGUUAUUUAAACAUGUUAUAUGUUCUUGAAUAUACUUUGAGACAUAUUUUGAUUUUUUAUUUGUUAACUUUUUAUGUUUAUGGUAGAUUUAUUAAUUUAAGGUUUUAAAUUUAAAAAAACCCAAAAUAGGCCCAAUAGGCCCAUAAUCGAAAUAAUCGAACCGAACCGAAUCGAAUUAUUUCAAUUAAUCGAGUAUUUGAUUAUUUCGGUAAUUUGAUUAAUCGUGAUUAUGAUUUUAAAAUAAUCGUAAUCGAACGAUUAUGAAAAAUUUAGUAAAAAACCGAACCGAACCGAACCGCGCCCACCCCUAGAUACCAGACCCGAGUCUUAAAAUAAACUCUGACUACAUGGCCAUUCAAUCGCAUUCGAAUUGUCUCUAUUUUAUGUCAUGACAAACUUAAAUUAUUCCAAACACGAACCAUUUAUUAAAUCUAUAAAAUUUUAUAACAUAUAUCUAUUUAUUCAUAUCGAGAAAUCAAGUUGUGUCAAUUUUUGCCAAUGAGAAAUUGUAAUAAGUCUAGUGACUUUAAAAUAUAUUUUAUGCUAAAGGAGAAAAAUAAUACACUUAAUUAAAGAAAUAAAGUGCAUAUGUUAUAAUCUUUUACUUAUUUAAUUAUUUUAUUUCAUUUCUUUCUUAACACAAUUUUUAAAAUCUACUUAUUAAAAAAUCUACUUGUAAAAUCUCUAACAAUAAAAAAUUUAUUUAAACAAGCUUUAUUUGAAAAGUUAUAUCAAAUCAAGCUUAACUUAAUAUGGUAAUUAUAUUUAAGUUGUCACAUCUACUGGACUCAAAUACUAGAAUAAUAGUUGAGAAUAACAGAGAUGGGUGAGGCUAUUUAAACUCAUAAUUUUACUAAUUAAAUAUGUUUUCUCAAUAAACCCACCAUUAAAAUUCAAAUAUUAGAUUUUUACUGUAUACACCCUAUAAAAUCUAAAAAAUAACCUCAACUAAAAUAGGAGGAUUGCCACUUUCCCCCUUACAGUAAUCAACAUAUACCAUUUACCCCUCUACUGUUUUUAUAAUGGCCAAAAACCCUCCUGACAGCAUAAGUUAACAAUAUUACCCUUAUUUUCAAUUACUCUUUUAUUUACAUUUAUUAAAAAAAAUAACAUGAAUAUAAACUAAAUAAAAAAAAUUAAGUAUUAAAAACAAGAAAUAUAUGUUUUGAUGUGAGUAAAAAAAUUAAUAAUAAAAUUUUUUCUUAUAAUUAUUUAUUUUGUGAACAUUUUCUUAUAAUAAAUAUUUUGUGAUAUUUUAAAGGAAAAUUUACACCCGUCCACCUGUUUGUUUUGCCUUUUUCAAAAAUACACAAACACUUUUUUUUUGUAGCGCGCCACCUGAAGUUUAUUUUUUGUUGCAUUCAUCCACUUCCGUCUAAUUUCCGUUAGUGGAUUUAACGGAAUAUUAAUGAAAUGACAUUUUUACCCCUCAAAAUUAUAAUUUAACCCAAAAUAAAUGGAAAUUGGAGAUAAAUUGGAUGGAUUUAAUUUUUUUAAAGGUGGAUACUAGAAAUUGGAGGAAAAUAGUGUUUGUUGCUUGCUAAAUUUAGAAAAUUUGUAUUUAUUUUUUUGAAAGACAAAAAAAUAAAUACCAAAAAAAUAAAUACAAAUUUUCUAAAUUUAGCAAGCAACAAACACUAUUUUCCUCCAAUUUCUAGCAUCCACCUUUGAAAAAAAUUAAAUCCAUCCAAUUUAUCUCUAAUUUCUAUUUAUUUUGGGUUAAAUUGUAAUUUUGAAGGGUAAAAAGGUCAUUCCGUUAAAUUCACUAACGGAAAUUAAACGGAAGUGGAUAAAUAGUGGAAAAAUGCAACAAAAAGCAAACUUCAGGUGGCGCACUGAAAAAAAAAAAGUGUUUGUGUAUUUUUGAAAAAGACAAAACAAACAGGUGGACGGUUGUAAAUUUCCCUAUUUUAAAAUUAAAUGUAAAAAGUAUAGGUAAAAUAUUUUAUUAUUUAUCUUAUAAUAAAUUUUUAUUUGUCAUUCACGUUUUCUUAUAAUAAUGUUUUUUGAUCAUUUUAUAAUAAUUUUCUUAUAUUUUUAUUAUAAGAAAAUUUUCACAAAAUAAAUAAAAGAAAAAAAUUUUAUUAUUAAUUUUUUUGCCCAUAUCAAAAUAUAUAUUUCUUAAUAGGGAAAUUUACACUCGUCCACCUGUUUGUUUUGCCUUUUUCAAAAAUACACAAACACUUUUUUUUUUUUCAGCGCGCCACCUGAAGUUCACUUUUUGUUGCAUUCUUCCACUUCCGUCUAAUUUCCGUUAGCAAAUUUAACGGAAUGACCUUUUUACCCCUCAAAAUUACAAUUUAACCCAAAAUAAAUGGAAAUUGGAGAUAAAUUGGAUGUAUUUAAAUUUUUUCAAAGGUGGAUGCUAGAAAUUGGAGGAAAAUAGUGUUUGUUGCUUGCUAAAUUUAGAAAAUUUGUAUUUAUUUUUUUGAAAGAGAAAAAAUAAAUACAAAUUUUCUAAAUCUAGCAAGUAAUAAACACUAUUUUCCUCCAAAAAAAUAAAUACAAAUUUUCUAAAUUUAGCAAGCAACAAACACUAUUUUCCUCCAAUUUCUAGCAUCCACCUUUGAAAAAAUUUAAAUACAUCCAAUUUAUCUCCAAUUUCCAUUUAUUUUGGGUUAAAUUGUAAUUUUGAGGGGUAAAAAGGUCAUUUCGUUAACAUUCCGUUAAAUCUACUAACGGAAAUUAGACGGAAGUGGAAAAAUGCAACAAAAAGCAAACUUCAGGUGGCGCACUGAAAAAAAAAAAAGUGUUUGUGUAUUUUUGAAAAAGGCAAAACAAACAGGUGGACGAGUGUAAAUUUCCCAUAAGGGUAAUAUUGUAAACUUAUGCUAUCAAAAGGGUUUUUGACCAUUAUAAAAAUAGUAAGGGGGGAAAUGGUAUAUGUUAAUCACUUGGUCAAUCUCUGUAGCCUCUCUAAAAUAGGUAAUUUCUUUAUCUAACUUCCUGUAGAGUUCAAUUUAUUUUUAAUUAAUUGACAAGAGAUUAAAGCGUGAACGGGGCAAUCUUCUUAAAACCAAGGACAAUUUGAACUUUUUUGUUUUUCUCUUGCCCUUGUGGUUUUGUUUCAUAUAUAAUAAUAAUACUGUUGGCUUUACCGAAAGAAUUUUAAUAUAAAAUAACGUCUUCAUAAUGUAGGGUGAGAACAUGACAUACAAGAAAUCUAGUAGUUGUGCCUGUAAUUGUUCUUUGCUUUGUUUCUUGAUUACCAAAAUUUGAAGUUUAUGUAAAGAAGAAGAGAAGAAAAAAGAGAAAAAAAAAAAAGCAACAUCAAGUUCUUUCUCAGGCAAAAACCUGCAGAGAGAAUUAUAGUUCUUUGUUUUGGGAAUUCUUCUAUAAACUAUUUUACAUUUUUUUUUUCAUUAAUGGAUCUAUAUGCAUGAGAGAAAGAGUAGAUAUGGUUUAUAAAAAAAAUGGGUAUAAUUAAAUUAUAGUUUUUAUUUGUUUAGAUCCUAUUGUUCUUUUAUGUAAUUUUAUUUAAGGAUAAAUCAAUGAUUAAAAAUUUUGUUGAAUGAUGGGUUCAAAGAGUAAAUUAAUGGGUUCAAAUAGCCUCGCCCAAUUGAGAUUCCUAUAUCAUUAUUGUUGAAAUUUAAAUUUUCAAAGCGCUCAUAUUUCCCAAAUUAACUUUAAUUAGAUAUUCAUUCCUUUCUGAUUUUAAAUUAGUUUUUCAAAUCCAUAAAAUUUUCUAAUACUUUUUCAUUGAGGGUGAUAUUUGACCCCUUAGUUUCGCUAAGUAGUCCCCACUAUGCAAUUAACCUCACUUAUUUAAAAAAUGAUUGUUAUAAAAGAUAAAAAUAUAAUUAAAAUGAAAGCACAGAGGUAAAAUUGGAAUGAAACCUCACAUCAAUUAUUCUUAUUAAUAAACCUCAAGAUAGACAAUCAUUAUUCAUAUUCCAACUGAAUCCUUACGUAAAAUAUCUGAAAUAAAGUCUCUAAAAAAACGUCUCUAAUCCAAAAUAAAAAGUCUAGCUAAAUUUAAUCUUUACUGCAACUCCAAAAUCCACCAAAAAAAAAUCUUCAUCUAAGUAGCCAAGCCACAUCUCUAAUCAAUCUACAAAAUAUUGGAGACGAGGGUGAGCCGUCAACUCGGUAAGCAAAUCCAUGCACAAUAUUUGAAAACAUUUGUCAUUAUACCUUUAAACAUUUUAUAUCAUCUUAUAAUAACAUCUUCAUUUAGCAUAAUGGAUGGAUUCAUAUAAAAGCAUUAAAAAAUAUUAAAACAUAAACAUUUGGUAGCUCAUGCCUCAUAAUUAUCAUCAUUCAUCAUUUAUGGUACUAUACCCCACAUUAUUCAUCGUUGAGGGUACUAUACCCUGCAUUGUUCAUAGCAUCAUUAUGUACAAGAUCAUCACCAUACCAGCAAGCUGGCCAUAGCAUUACAUAAAAUCAUAACAUUUGCAUCUUAUACGUUACUACAGACUAUAAGUCAAAAUAUUUUUGAAUCCACCUUACAUCCUUUCAUAAAUAGCAUUUAAGGUCUUCUAAAACAUUUAAGAACCUUUUUUUGAUCAUUUAAUUCUUUAGAAAAUUUUUAAGAAAACAUUUUGUUUAAGAAAACUUAUUUCUUAAGAAAAAUCAUUUUAAAAUAUAUUUAUAUAAAUUCAUUUAAAAGUGUUUUUAUUUUACAAAUUUCAUUUAAAUAUUUUAGAAAUCAAUUUUGUAAAAAUUUCCAUUUAAACAUAAUUCUUAUAACAUAUAUUGCAUUUAUUAUAAAGCACAUCAUGCAUCAAUCUACUUAUCUCGAUCUGCAGCAAUCAACUCAAUACCUCAUAACAAACCAAUGAGUUCACAUGUGUCCUUAAGGCAAACACUAAACAAAGAAGUUAUAAAACCUUUUUUUCCUUCUCCAAAGACUUAUGUUUCUUUUUUUUUUUUUUAGGAUUUUAUAACGGUAUAAAAAAUAAAAGAAGGCUUCCUCUGAACUAUUUUUGGUAAUUAAUAAAUAUUUUUUAAAAAAAAAUAGAAAGCAAGAAAACGAGAGUUUUAAGAAAAUUCAUUUUUUAAUAAAAGCUAAUAACCUACGUAACUUAUUUAAAACAAAUUGAUAAGUUUUACUCACACACAAAUACCCAAUAUUAACUAUUCUAACCAAUUUAAUAAGGAUAAAAAAGGGAAGCACAUAACUAGCGUUACAUACACCCCCAAGGUUUAGGAAAAUUUUCAUAAAGACCCCAAGUUUUCAAUAAGAGACACCGAGACCUUUUUUUUACUAUAAUACCCUGCGACUCUAUAAAUCCCCAAAACAAUAACCCUAAAAAAUUUUAAUAAAUGGAAAUAUAACAUUAAAAUAAAUGUAAUAAUAUAUACAUUUCAAAAUAAUUUUAAUAUUUAAAAAUAUUUUUAUAUUUUUCAAUCUAUUAGACAUUUUUUUAUAUUAAAGUAAUUUUUAAUAAUAGAUAGAACUGCUGUACGGCCAAGGCGGAUGUACGGAUAUAUUAUUAAAAUAAAUAUAAUAAUUUAAAAUUUUAAUAAUAUUUUAAAUUUCACAAUUAAUUUAAUAUUGUUAGUCUACUAGAUAGACUAUAUUAUUUAUAUUAAAUUUGUGUUAAUUAAAAACCUUUAAAGUCAAUUUUCUACUUAUUAUAAUCAAAGGGUAUUAUAGGCAAAAAGAGGCUUUUUUGACCAUAAAUGGAAAUAUAGAUAGAAAAAUAAUAUUAAAAUAAAGAUCCCCAAGUUUUCAAUAAGGGAUACCAAGACACUUUUUUUACCAUAAUACCCUUUGACUCUAUAAAUCUUAAAAAAAACUCCAAAAAUUUAUAAUAAAUGGAAAUAUAGCGUUAAAAUAAAUGUAAUAAUAUAUACAUUUCAAAAUAAUUUUAAUAUUUAAAAUAUUUUAAUAUUUUCCAAUCUAUUAGACCUAUUUUAUUAUAUUAAAGCAAUUUUUAAUAAUAGAUAGAAAAAUAAUAUUAAAAUAAAUAAAUUAAAAUUAUUUUGAAUAUGAUGUAAAAGUUAAUUUUAAUAUAUUAAUAGGGAGAUUUAUUUAAUAAUUUAAAAUUUUAAUAUUAUUUAAAUGUAAAAAAUAAUUUAAUAUUAUUAGUCUACUAGAUAGACUAUAUUAUUUAUAUUAAAUUUGUGUUAAUAAAAAACCUUUAAAGUCAAUUUUCUAAUUACUAUAGUUAAAGGGUAUUAUAGGCAAAAAAAAGGUCUUGGUGUACAUUUUUUAAAACUUAGGGUCUUUGUGACCAUUUCCCCAAACGUUGGGGUUGUAGGUGUCCUUUUUUCCUUAUUUGAUUGUUUAUUUUUGUAAUGGUUCUAAUGGAAGUAAAAAAUGUAUCUUCUUCACUAUUUUUUUUUUUGUUUUGUUUUAGAAAUUUUAAAGAUCUUCUUAAUUGUUGUUGAAAUUAAAUAGCUAAAUAUGUAACAAAUUUUGAGACAUUUUAUACUUCUUUGUGUAUUGAAGUUGCAGAAUAAAAUCACGGAUCACAAAAAAAUUGGCCUAAGACUCCAAAAAUUCUAAUGUUGGCCCUGAACCAACUAAUGCAUGUAUGAUAUGUGUAAUUGAAUUUAAUAUAACCAUCACUUGUAUAGUGGUGUUAUAAAAUAAAUGCACAAUGUCAUAACAUCAUUUUUGUAUGGCUGACGCAUGUAAUUUUCUAAAAAAAGAUUAUAUAUAAAUACGUUUUUCUAGAAUAUAUGAGUAGAAAAUUUGAAAUUAGAAAAAUUAAUUAUUGUAAUGACACUUCUGACUUUUUACAAGAGUUCGAGAAACAUUAUUUCGAGUAAAUUGAUCACGAUUGUCGACAAAAGAUAAGAUUCAUUCUGCUCCCCAAAAUAGUACGAGAUUAACAACAACUUCAAUGAGGCUGCUGCAACACCGCGCAAUUCUGCUCCUUGGCCUCAACUGAAAUUUGUAAGUCUGGUUAGAGGUGGCAAUUUUUGACGACUCACCAACCUGCCACGAACACAAAAUAAAUUUGUCUCUGGAUUGGUUAAACUUGACACGAUUACAAAUUUUUGGUUCAGGUUGCUUGUUUGAUAUUCGUGUCGGGUUUAAAAUUUCUGACACGAAUAAUUAUUUGAUUAAUUAUAUUGUAGUGACCUACGUUUUAUUCAAUAGAACUACAUUAUACUUUUCAAAUGUACUACCUACAUUUUAAAUGAAAUUGAUAAGAGUUUAAGUAGGUAGUGCUACAAAGUUUCUAGACAAUAUAUUAAAAACGUGUUAAAAAGCUACAUAUUCAAAAAAAAUAUAAAAAUUAUGCAAAAUGGUUUACAUGAUUAUGCCAACCCUUGAGGAAUCUCAUAGCCACCACUGCCGUAUGGCGGUCCAUUUAUGCUGUUAGAUGAAGUAUAUAUAAAUAUAUACUAAGUUGAUGUAUCACUCCAUUAACAGUAAGAGAGGACACUGCUCUGUCAAAUUAACUAAUUAUUAACACACAAUAUUUCUGUGCUUGAAUUUCUCUCUAUUGAAUUCAACGAAAGAAAGAAAAAUAUAACUUGUGGGUUUUGGACCAUUUGGUUGGUUUCAGCAGUACUGAUUGAUCAGUUUGAGUUGCAAUGGAGGGCAAUAAUGAUAUCUACAUGGCCAGUACUAGUCUGCCAAGGAGUAUUUCUAGAUGGAGAACAAGCUCUAUGGGUGCAUUUUCGAGGUCUUCUAGGGAAGAAGAUGACGAGGAGGCUUUAAAAUGGGCUGCUAUUGAGAAAUUGCCCACUUAUAAUCGUUUGAAGAAAGGGCUACUUACUACUUCACGAGGAGAAGCUUUUGAAGUUGACGUUUCUAAUCUUGGACCGCAAGAAAGACAAAGGUUGAUCAAUAAAUUAGUGACGGUCCCUGAAGUUGAUAAUGAGAAGUUCUUGUUA